UUUUUUUUUUUUUUUUUUAUACGCAAAGGGUAUGUAGUUAACUUUAUGACAUUGAACAAUUGUUGUAUACAACUUCGAGUCGAGUUUCUACAUUAUAGAUCGUGCUUUUCAGGAACGGAGCUACUUAAGUGCCAAAGCGGGGCUAUAUGACACCCUCCAAAUUUUGGAUCGACAAAUUGGUCUCUCUCAUUUAUGUACGAUGGCUCCAACCUGGUUUUUUUUAUCUUCAUUUAAUUUUGUAUCUAUCCCUCGCAAUUUUGCGAAGUUUCAUGUACCAAAGUUGGACACUUUAUGUUUUACUACUUUUUUUUUUUGAGAGGAUAUGCUUUACUACCUAUGAGAAUUCACCAUGUUGGAUGAUAGUUGUACGUACGUUCUUGAUAAAGCAAUGGUUCUAUGGUCCUCCAACUAGCAAGUUUCUACACUAAAGUCCAACAUUUUAUUUCACAACUCGUGAAGUUUAUGAAGCAAAAAUAAUCAUUGUAUGAUUAAUUAAUUGGAGAUAUCGAUUUUCUCUUUUGUUAAUUGAAUACGAGUGUGGCUAUUGGGACUUUUAAAUUUGCUCAUUAUACCUCUCAUUCUCUCUACACCUCUUUUUUACUUUUCAAUAUAAACAUUUGCUCACUAUACCUCAUUUCAAAUUCCUAACAUAACCUUAGUUAUUUAUUGACAUAUAUUUCAAUCAAUUAAUUACCUCUUAUUCACUCAAUAUACCUCUCAUUCUUUGUUUUUAGUUUCCUUUUUGUUUUUCAACAUCCAGUAUCCCUACCUUCAUUUUUAUUAUUUUUUCAUGUAAGAAAAUAUUCUAUCAUGAACUAUUAUAUAUAUCUUUUUAAUUGUUUUCUCUUUUGUACGUCUUAUUUUUUCUUCAAUUUUUUUCUUUUGAAUNNNNNNNNNNNNNNNNNNNNNNNCAAAAAUAUUUGUAUGCACCUUGUAAGUAUAUGCGUUCAACAUGUAUGAUAAUACAAAAAUUUAUGUCACAUGAUCGAUAUUGAUUAUUUUUAGCUCUUAUAAACUAUAUAUAUAUGCUUUAAUAAAAAUAAAUUGGAAAACAAAAAUAUAUAAGAAAAAUAAUAAAGAAUGGAAUCAAUUAUUAUUGAAUUGGAAAGUCUAAAGAGAAUAAAUAUAAUAUUUCAUUUUCUAUAAUUAUUGUCCUUAAUAGUAAUUAUGUAUGAGAAUAUAUACGUCAUUUAAUAAUUCACAAUACAGUGAGGUCUAGUGAGUAAAUUUGAAGGUCUCAAUAGCCGCACUUAUUAAAUACGUUGUUAUCUAAUGCGAAACUUUUGCAAUAAGAUUAGACUUUUUGGUUUUUAUAGAAAAGUAAAAAUUUAUAUAAUAAUAAUCAAUCAUUACAACCGUAGAAGAUCUCGGUGGUAGACAACAAGUCUCCACACUCCUCCCUACCCCUAUACCAGGGUCCAAAUGUAACAUACUCCAAACCCCAUCUAGAAACCUCGAUACAUUCUUACAACCAACCUUAAGAAGAAACAACCCUACCAAACACUAUAUACCAAAACUGCUAGCAUAUAUGCAGAGCAACAUCUCCAUUACAUUGACAACAAGAAAACACCGAUGUUAACAUUGUAGUCCCUAGACAUGACAUCAACCAUGACCCAACCAAAACCACCAACAACACCAACUAAAACCAAAACGCUAACACCCUCGCCUGAAUAGGAGGGAUAACUAACCAACCAUAAAACAAACCAACCAAAUGCUAAAAGGCAGACCAACAAGAAAGCAAACCAACCAAUCCUCACCCAAAGAGGAGGGACAACUCACCACCAUUGCCGCCGCAAUCGCACCGGCACCAAACCUCGAUGCACCUCCAGCUACUUCCCACCAUACCGUCGAAGGGCCAUCCAUAGUCCCUAAUAGAGUCAACACUGAAAACCUCCAGAUCGACUCUGUCUUUAAUUCAGUCAAAACGAAAUAAUCCAGCCUUGUUACCCAUCAAUCUUGAUAAGUCCUUCGUCAGUCGCAAGUCGCAAACACAGUCCAGCAAGAAUCCAAUUUCAAGCCUGACUAAACUUAUGGCUGCUCCUCCGUCCUAGAUGCAAUCGUCGCCUCAAAACGAGAGAGUUUAAGGGAUUAGACCUUUUGUUUUACAAAUUGUAUAAUUCACAAUAUAGAGCAAUUAUAAAUCAUUGUAUGUUUGUGCUUUAACUUUCAAAUUAAAGACUCCACUUCCCUUUGUUCUAUAUUGAGCCGAUUGCUUCUACGAUGCAAAUUUUUAUAUAUAAUGUUUGAGAUUUUGUUUUAGGACAUUAGAUUUUCAAAAGAACUUUCGAGGUAUUUCGUUGCCAAAAACAUUUAUUGGUUAAUUGUUUUUUGUGUUCUUUGUGAUCGAUAUUCUACUCAUCAUCAAAAGUUCAAAACUAACUCAACCUUAACCAAUUCAUAUACUCAUUUAGAGAAAAGAAAUGAUCUCACUCUAUCAACACUGUUCUCUAUAGACAUGAAAUCUAUGAAAUUUUUUUCUGUCAAACCCUUGACCAACCGAAUAACAGAUUCAGUUGCUGAAUCUUGUCUCAUUACCGUAAAAGGAAAUACCCUCAACAUGUUUUUAUCUUUUUUACCAUGUUUCAACAAUCCCAUGCAAGAUCACACAUGGAAACUUUUUCUCAGGUAAUCCAGAUAGAUUAUCAUCAAUACAGAAUCCAUAAAAUUUCAAUUUCAAUCUCCAAAACGUCCGGUAAUCAAAAACCCUCCUAUUUUUCGAUAAAUAUCCAUUCUGCAUUUAUGAAAAUAAAAAUAAAUUUAUGAACAUAUGGAAAAGAAAAAUCACAGCAAUUCCAGACUAAAAGUGUCCCAAAACAAACCAAACCAAACUAGUCCUCUCCCUACUUUCCUCCACCGCUUUCAUUCCCAAUUUUCUCCCUUUUUUGCUCCAAAAGACCCAAAACCAUAUAAAAGAGAAAAGAAAAUUAAACCAAAAAAUCAAUAUAAAAAGCAUAACAUACACCAAAUAAAAACCAUUUUGAUUGAUAUAGCUUGGUAUCUCCUUCAAUCAUUCCUCUCUUCUAUUCUAUUCUCUUUCUCUCUGCACCCAAUACAACACCUUGUUUGGAUCAGAGACGAAGAAGAAGACCACCACCCACCACCACCAUGGUUGAGACCAGACGCAGUUCCUCUUCCAAACGCGCCCUAUCCGCCUCUCCUCCCCCCAAUCCCAAACGCUCAAAGGUACACACUUUGAUAAUUCGCAAUCCCAAUUAGCCCUAAAAAUCCUGUCUUUCUCUCUAUUUUCUCAUCUGGGUUUUCAAUUUUAUUCAUUGCAUGCGGUUUUGUUCAAAGAUUUGAUCUUUAUGGGUUUCUGAUUUCUUGGUUCUUUUUCUUUGAUUGGUGAAACCAAACCCUUUAGGCGUCUGAUGCUUCGUCGUCCAACAACGGCGUCCGGAGCGGGACUCCGGCGGAGCCUCUGGGUCCGAUAAAGGAAUCUGAGUCUCAAUCGCCGGACCUUGAGCUGCGAUCCCCUGAUCCGCAGACAGCUGACUCCUUGAAGGCCGUUAACGGCUCUGAUGCGGCGGAGAGGGCCCCUGAUGACGUGGCGGAAGCAGAAGCCGCCGCCGCCUUGGAGUCGCCGAAGCCUUUGAGUAAGAAUCUUGCUUUUUUGGAAUCUGGGAUUUUGAUUUUGGGAUGAAUUUGGAUUGGAAGUUUGAAUUUUUGAAUUUCAGGUGACACUGCAGUGCGUUCUGGGUUGAAGAGGAAUAAGAAAGUUCCGAAGAGGAGUGCGAAAUCGAAUCAGAAACUGGCGUGGGGACAGCUUCUUUCCCAGUGCUCUAAGGUGGGUUUUCUUGCUUGUUGAGGGUGGAGUGUUUAGUUAUACAACCUGAUAGAAAUGUGCUUCGUUUGCCAACUAAGGAGUGCUUUCUUCCCAGCAUUUGAACAUAGUUGUAGGUUCUGAGUUUGCAAGUUUGUUCUGGCAUAAGUCAAUUUCCAUGCUGAACACAUUAGUUUUUUAUUUUAAAUUUUUUAUUUAUUUCUAAGUACAGAACAAAGUUUGCACUACAUCCUCUCUCUAGAGUUAGAAAUUCAGAACAGUAGCAUGCAAUAAUUUUUGGCAUAGGGUUGCAGGUGAGUUGAGAAAUUUUUACAUGCGUAGACAAGAGUACUUAUUUGGUUGAUGGCAGAGCUGUCAGGGUUAGUGUUUUACAGACUAUCUUACUAGAGAAAGUGGAUUGCAUGAGUGUUGAGGUGGCUUGUGAUGUGAUGUACCCAUCAUAUCUCUGUCUAUCCCUGCACAUACAUACAAGAUUUAAGGUCAUAUUAAAAAAAUGUAUUUAAUAUCUUAGCACCAAUGAAGUGAACUUUUUGUGUUACAUGCGUGUUGUUUCUUUGGCACUAAUGUGAUUAAGACUACCAAAUUAUUGAUAUUUAUGAUACAGUAUGAUGCUUGCUCUCUCAUUUUAUAUUACUGAGGCAUGUAUCUAUUUAGACUAAUUCUCUUGAUCAUCUGCCAGAACCCGCAUCAGUUUCUUUGUGAUACUUUCACUGUUGGUCAAGGUCGUGAGUGCAAUUUAUGUCUUAAAGAUCCAUCCGUUAGUACUACACUCUGUAAACUUAAGGUACUGCCUCUUAUACCACUUAUACAUAAAACCUGAUUGGUUUCUUUUUAGACUCUCCAGUUCUGCUUAGAAAGCUGCUGCUCUGAUAUUAUCAACUAUAUUUAAUAAUUUUGUAUUUCAUAGCCGGGUGAAGGUUCGUCAACUGCAGAAAUGGAAAUUACAGGGGCGAAGGGUUAUGUUCUGGUCAAUGGAAAGAUUUAUCAACAAGAUUCGAAGGUUAUUCUAAUUGGAGGCGAUGAGGUUGUUUUCGGUUCAUCCGGGAAACAUGCAUAUGUAUCCUUUUUGUUGAAGUAUCUAGCAUUUAUGACAUACUUAUUACAUCUGAGCCUCAAUUUUCCUGUGUACUUUCUUCUUGUUUAUUGUUUUUUUGACCACCCUACCUUCUUUCAUGUUCAAUGGAUUCCUUGACAGUGGAUCAGAUUUUCAUGCAGCUGACUAAUGGUAACAUAGCUAAUCAAGGCAUUUCUUCAAUUAGCAUAUUAGAAACCCAGAGCGCUCCAGUUAAUGGAUUACAUAUUGAGGCAAGAUCAAGGGACCCCUCGGUUGAUGGGGCAUCUAUAUUAGCAUCUAUGUCAAAUGUGCCAAAUAACUUAUCACUACUUCCAGCAUCUGCUAAAGCUGGUGGUGAUCUGCAACAAGAUGCCGAUAUACCUUCUACUCCUUCUGGUUGUGGAGGGUCAGAUGAUCGUACUCCAGACACUGAGAUGAAGGAUAGUACUAACAUCAAUGAUGGUGACAAAGAUAUUGUUUCAUACCCCGACACUGCCAACGAAAACCCCAAUCUCGAUAGCCUUGCAUUGGACAUGGAUACUGAAACGGGAAAGUCCUCUGGGGCUAGGUGGCCUCUCCUCCGAAUGUUGGGUUCUGGUGCCAAAUUUGACUUCAGUGGCAGCAUUUCAAAGAUUCUUAAUGAACCGAGAGAAAUUAGAGAACUCCUUCAGGAUUUUGAUCCUCCAAUUUUGCUGUCAACUAGACGACAAGCAUUUAGAGAUAAACUGCAACAAGGAAUUCUAAAUCCUAAUGAUAUUGAAGUCACAUUUGAAAGUUUCCCAUACUACCUAAGGUGCACCUUUUUGCUAUAAUUGAUGUCUUCUAUUUGACUUGAUUGAAUAGGUUCUGUUUCCAAUUUGAUAUUUCUCCUUCUAUCACAUGUAAAGAAGUGGAAUAGUUGCAUUAUCUAUUUAUCACUCAUGUAGUAUGUCUUUUGCAAUACAGUGACACAACCAAAAAUGUUCUUAUCGCUUCCAUCCACAUUCAUUUGAAGUGUAAUAAGUUUGCGAAGUAUGCCUCAGAUCUCCCAACUGGAAGCCCACGGAUACUAUUAUCUGGUCCUGCAGGUUGUUUUUCCAUUUUCUUUUUGCACACUGUCUUCUAUUUUUUUGUUUCGAAAAGUCAUUUUUUUUUGGUUUAUUGAUAUUGAUAUGUUGACUACUUUCCUUCUCGUUUCCUUGUGUAGCCCUAAUAAUGCGUGAGUUUCGUUUUUGCAGGAUCGGAGAUAUAUCAGGAAACUUUGGCAAAGGCACUUGCAAAACAUUUUGGUGCUAAACUGCUAAUUGUCGAAUCUCUUGUUAUGCCUGGUGUAUGCUCUUUGACAUCUCCGUUUGAUUAUUUGUUACUUUUAACCAGCUUUCAUUUUUGUUUUUGUUUUUGUUAUUUUUUUUCAAGUGUAUCUUAUGUGUACGUAUUUAAUAUUCUGGCAGUCUUUGCUUUAUCAUAUUAGUAAUGGUUUUGUUUUGGUUAUCAUCUUAAAACAAAUUCAGGGACAAGCAUCCCAGAAUACUGAGUCUGCUAAAGAAGCAGCUAGGGCUGAAAGAGUUAACAUGUUCAGUAAACGAGCUGCACAUGCUGCUGGAUUAAGGCAUAAGAAACCAACCUCCAGUGUUGACGCUGAAAUGACAGGCGGAUCCACCCUAAGCUCGCAAGCUCUGCCAAAGCAGGAAACAUCCACUGCAUCUUCCAAAGGCAUUACAUUUAAACAAGGCAUGCUAUUUUUCCUUAAAAGAGCUAUCCUGUUAUGGCUUUCUUAUGUGUUGUACACUUGUAUUGAUCUAUAGCUAUCUAUGAUAUGUGCAGGUGAUAAGGUGAAAUUUAUCGGUACUGCUGGGCUUCCUUAUGCAGUGAAUCCUAUGCCUAAUCUAAGGUAUGCAUGAUGAUAAACUUUUAUGUUUCUUUGAUGAUAUAAAAUUUUAUUUAUUCUUGUAGCAUUUAGAGUGUGGAUAUCAUCUUCUGAGGUAAGAAGAUUCUGCAUGUGCAACUUUUCAGAUGCCAUCAUCUUUUUAUUCAGUGCACUAAAUAUUUAUUUUUUGCAGGGGACCACAAUAUGGGUACAAAGGCAAAGUUGUUCUUCCUUUCGAAGAGAAUGGGUCGUCUAAAAUUGGUGUUAGAUUUGAGAAAGCGAUACCAGAUGGCAAUGAUCUUGGUGGCCAUUGCGAAGAAGAUCGUGGUUUUUUCUGUUCAGGUGAUUUUCUGAAACUAUAUAUCUUAUAUGUCACAACUUUCCAUUAUUGUUGCUGUAUUCAUGUUUAUGGUCGAAAAUUAUAUGCGUUUGUUUUAAUUUUGGGUUUAUUAUGCAGCUAAUCAUUUAAUGCGCAUGGAUGUUUCGGGAGGUGAUGAUAUUGACAAGCUUGCCAUUAAUGAGCUUCUUGAGGUACUUGUUGCAUUGUAAUCGACCACGAUAGUUGUUGGUUUCAUGGUAUUAAAAUGUAACCAAUCUUGUGCAGGUUGCAUCAAAUGAGAGUAAAAGUAUGCCUCUAAUAUUGUUCAUGAAAGAUGUGGAGAAGGCAAUGGUAGGUAAUUCAGAUGCAUUUAUUCACUUCAAGAGUAAGCUUGAAAGUUUGCCAGAGAAUGUCGUUAUAAUUGGCUCCCAUACUCAGUUGGACAAUCGUAAGGAAAAGGUAGGAAGUUAAGGAUUUCGUUUUUACUGAGUUUAUACUGUACAAUCUAUACUAUUAUAUGUAGUUUCAUCUAACUGUAUUACAUUUUUCCAGUCCCACCCCGGUGGUCUUCUGUUUACAAAGUUCGGUUUCAGCCAAACAGCUUUGCUUGAUCUUGCUUUUCCGGUAUGCUGGUCUAUUAUCUUUUCCCUUUUCUUCUUUGUUGUUGGUUUGUAUGGCAUGAAGGAUUUAAUCUUUUCCCUUUUCAUCUUUGUUGUUGGCUUAUAUGGCAUGAAGGAUCGAUUUUGGUCAUCUCUCAUCAUGUCGAUUUAGAUGACUGUAGACUGAUAUAUGUGCCUAGUGUAUGCUGUGAUGUGCCCAUGAGAUUUAUUUGAUAUCAAUUUUUCUUAUUUGCUUGCUCUCUCCCUCUCUCUCUCUCUCUCAAAUUCUUUUAAUCCAUGAGAGGUUCAUCCCUGUUUACCUUGAAAUGUGUGAUAGUUCCAGCAGAGUACGGAAUCUGUACUGGGAAUUUUGAGAUUUCUUGGCAAGAUUUACUUGUUGCUCACAUAUUUUUGAAUGAUGUGCUGGUGCUUUAGGAAUCAAAAUGAAACAUUUACUUUUGGUGAUCAGGAUAACCUUGGUAGACUGCAAGAUAGGAGCAAAGAAACCCCUAAAUCAUUGAAGAAUCUUACUCGGAUUUUUCCGAACAAGGUGACAAUACAGCUGCCUCAGGUAACUAGCCGCUUUCUUAUGUGUUUAUUAUGCUGAUUAUACUCUGUCAUUCGUGACGUAGCAUCUUUUCAUCUUUCCUGGUAGGAUGAAGCUUUACUUUCAGACUGGAAGCAGCAGUUAGAUCGUGAUGUUGAAACUCUGAAAGCAGUGUCAAAUAUUGUUAGCAUUCGUGCAGUGAGUAUAUCUGAGCUCGUUUUCUAUUUAUUUCUAUGCUGGUGGUGGUUCUGUUGUGAAAAAAUUGUUUCUUUUAUGAAUUUACUUGAUAAACUGCAAGUUAUUGAUGUUAUCAUAGAGGAAAUCUACAAGUGUGUACACACCCUUGUGUGCAUUCAAACCCAUAACCUGUUAAGAUUCUGCCCAUGUAAUUUCUGAUUUGCAUCUGUGUGAAGAUAUGUAAUUUGUGAUUCUCGUUGUUCUAAUCCUUUACGUCAUUUGUUUUAGGUUUAGUCCAUGAUUUUGUUCUAGUUUUUCGAGCUGGCCUUGUUAUUUACAAUGACAUAAUGCUUUCAGGUUCUUAACCGAAUUAAUCUGGAUUGCCCCGACCUUGAAAGUCUGUGCGUUAAGGAUCCUACCCUUACAACUGAAAGUGCGUAAUCUUAUCUUGACUCAGAUUUUUGUAGUGCUGGACAUUUUGCAGAUGAUCAUGACUGGAAUAUUCUCUUAAAUGACUACUCUCCGCUUUUUGUUUUUUGUGCGUAGGUGUUGAGAAAGUAAUAGGCUGGGCUUUGAGUUAUCACUCUAUGCAUUGUUCUGAGGCUGAAGUUAAAGACGGAAAACUUGUCAUUUGUACUGAAAGGUUGUAUUUUUUUUGGGGUAAAAUACUGUAUAGUCCUUGUUGUUUAAAGUCGACAUCUGUUUGGUCCUUAUGGUUUUAUUUUAAUCUGAAUAGUCCUUGAAGUCACGAUUUUUCAUCCAAAUAGUCCUUAUGGUUUUAUUUUAAUCUGAAUAGUCUUUAAAGUCAUGAUUUUUCGUCCAAAUAGUCCUUAUGGCCUUUAACUGAGAAAAUUGUUAGAAGGAUUAUUUAGAUGAAAAAUCAUGACCUUAAGGACUAUUCAGAUUAAAAUAAAACCAUAAAAGACUAAUUGGAUGAAAAAUUAUGACUUUAAGGACUAUUCAGAUUAAAAUAAAACCAAAAGGACUAAACAGAUGUCGACUUCAAACCACAAGGACUAAACAAAUUUCAAUUUUUUUUUUUUCUGUUGUCUUAUGCUAAUAAUAGACUCGCUCGGUGCAUUAUCUAUUCUGUUCUGCUAAUAAUAUUUUUUUCCUUUUUUAUAUAUAUUUCAGUCUUAAAUAUGGACUGAACAUCCUACAGGGCAUUCAGAGUGAGAACAAAAGCACAAAAAAGUCCCUAAAGGUUUGUAUUUGCUUCCUGCUUGUUGAAUGUUUUUAUUUUUAUUUUUUAUUUUUAACUGCGACUUGCAUUGGACCUGACUUCAUGAUUUUGCAGGAUGUGGUCACUGGAAAUGAGUUUGAGAAGAAGCUUCUUGCUGAUGUCAUUCCACCAAGCGACAUUGGUGUCACUUUUGAUGACAUUGGGGCCUUGGAAAAUGUGAAGGACACACUGAAGGAGUUGGUGAUGCUUCCGCUUCAGAGGCCUGAACUGUUUAGCAAAGGACAGCUGACUAAGGUCAUAACAUAUCUAUUUUAUUUAUUUAUUAUUAUUACUAUUUAUAUCUGCUCAUCCUUUCUCCACUGCAUGGUACAUUCUCUCUUGCAUACUUGUUUACUGAUCAUUGUUCUUACUCUACAGCCUUGCAAAGGAAUCUUGUUGUUUGGUCCUCCUGGUACUGGGAAAACUAUGCUUGCAAAGGCUGUUGCAACUGAAGCUGGUGCAAACUUUAUUAACAUAUCAAUGUCAAGUAUUACUUCAAAGGUCAAUUUGUGUGUUAAUGGCUAUUGAUGUUGUUGGACAUUUAUUUCAUAAGAUCUCUAAAAUCAUUAUGAUACCUCCUAUUUUUGUUGCAGUGGUUUGGGGAAGGAGAGAAGUAUGUUAAAGCAGUGUUCUCUUUAGCUAGUAAAAUUGCUCCUAGUGUUGUAUUUGUUGACGAGGUUAGUUUUUGCUUUGUCUUAAAACCUUGUUAUUUAUUCCUCAUUUGUUUUUGAGUUUUCUCAAUUGGAAAAAAUUGCCCUCAUUUGCCUUGGCUUAUACCCAUCUAUUUGGAAGUUUUGUUAAUUUUGAAAUCCCUUCUGUCAUGCAAGAUGACUAUCUCAGUUUAUAAGGGAUGUUUGGUUUUUUUUUUUUUAAUAUCACACUUCUUUUUUCUUCUGGUGGUGAUGGCUAGUAAACUUGUUCUCAUGGUUACUAUUGUAGGUUGACAGCAUGUUAGGAAGACGUGAGAAUCCUGGGGAACAUGAGGCUAUGCGUAAAAUGAAAAAUGAGUUCAUGGUGAAUUGGGAUGGUCUACGUACAAAGGAUAAAGAACGUGUAUUGGUACUCGCUGCUACUAACAGGCCUUUUGACCUUGAUGAGGCUGUUAUUAGGAGGCUUCCAAGGAGGUAACAUAAUGAUUUCAUUGUUUACUUCAAUUCUUGUGUCAUAAUGUUUUAGUAAUCGUCUUCCUACGAUAUUGACCUAAAUUCAAAAUCAUGUGCAGGUUGAUGGUUAACUUGCCAGAUGCUCCAAACAGAGAAAAGAUACUGAGAGUUAUAUUAGCCAAAGAAGAUUUAGAACCUGACGUUGAUUUGGAAGGUGUUGCGAGCAUGACGGAUGGGUAUUCUGGAAGUGACCUAAAGGUUGCCUAUCAAGUUUCGGAGAGUCUUCCAUCUCUUUCUAUAUGUAUUUCUUCUUUUCGAAUCUAAUGAAAUGGUUUCUCUUUUUCUUUUUUUUGGCAGAACCUUUGUGUUACCGCAGCUCACCGUCCCAUCAGGGAAAUCUUAGAAAAAGAAAAGAAGGUUGGUUUUGUUUACCUUUGUGUUCUUUAUUUUUUAUUUUUUUGUCAAAUAGUGUGUUCUUUUUUACUCGUGUUCUUUCUUCUUUCUCUUUUUUAAGUUGGGAUCAGUAGUGUUGUAUAACCAAAUACGCGGUCAUUUGCCUACUUAUCUCAGGAGCGAAGUUUUGCUUUGGAGGAGAACAGACCUGUACCGUCCUUGUAUUGCAGUGCUGACAUUCGCCCUUUAAAGAUGGAGGAUUUUAAACAUGCGCAUGAACAGGUAUGUUGUGACUAAUGCUGAUUCAAAAUUUCCUUCCGUUACAAGUAAUUUUCUGAGUGUUGAAUUGAAGGAUUGUUGGAGUACUGUUUCAAUAUUAAUUUCGUCCUUCAUUAUGGUUUAAACAUUGAAACUGAAUGCAGGUCUGUGCAAGUGUGUCAUCUGAGUCGACAAAUAUGAAUGAGCUUCUCCAAUGGAAUGACUUGUACGGAGAAGGUGGAUCAAGAAAGAAGAAAGCGCUGAGCUAUUUUAUGUAGAGUAGGUAUUAUUUUUGUAUAGAAGUCCUUGUUAUGUUCAUUCUUCCUUAUCCAGCUAAAAGCCGCGGCGAUACAGUAAUCCUUGGCAAUCCCUUAGAAGGUUUCUGUCCCCCAUUUGUAUGAUAGAUAUAGGUUUUUCUCCUUUCCCCCCCUUUACAUUGGAUUACAUAAUCUUUAUAUAGGAAAUUCCAUAAUCAGAUUAUCUAACUAGCCUUUGUCAUUUCUCUUGGGCCUUUUGCCCUGUACAUACUAAUGAAAUUAAUGUACAAUCUUUUUGCCAUUCUAUCAAAGCUUCAAAGCUUAUGAAAUAUGAACACCGAAUAUUCACAACUUACUCUCUUUUCAUUUUUGGUUAUGUGGGGUGUAUGGUUAUUUCAUUCAUGUUGGGUGGCAAAUAUUGAAGCAAAGGGUUCUACUUCAUUUCUUAUGAAAUUGUGUAUGAAAAUCGUAGAUAGGUGCAGCAUUAGACAAAAAAACGAGACAUGCGAGUUGGUAUGUGUUCAAUGUGUUCAAUUGUGUGUUUUACUUCUUUUUCUAAGCCAGUUGGAUGAGUUGAUCAUCUUCUGUGUAUCUUUCAUUACCGCAUUAUGCGGCAUCAUACAUUGUCAAAGUUUUUGCGAUGCCUCGUCAAACUUGACACUGAUAUUUAUAUUUUGUUGUAUUUCCCAUUAAGCCCCUCCUCCCCUUUUCUCUGACCAAAACCAAUUAAAAAGUGACACGUGUCUGAUUAUGGCAAAAAUAUCAAUUUCGCAAAGCCAAGCCUUUCCAGUUCUCCUCUUCUCUUCCAGAGAAUUGUAAAAUCCAAAAACAAAAACCCACACUCGAUUGGGACUAAACCUUUGGCUCGAUCCGACCAACGAAUCAGCUGCAGUAGUGAGCCCCAAACGGCACGUCGUUUUAGAGUUCGCAUGGAGCUCAUGUCUCAUUCCUCGACAUUUCUCCUCCCGCCGCCGUCGUCCAAUCAAACGACGCCGUCGCUGACGUAUGCGCUCGUGGUGCUUAACCAGCGCCUCCCGAGGUUCUCUCCAUUGCUGUGGAGCCACGGUAGUUAUCCUGGACCUUUCCGUUUUGCUCAGUGUGGUUAUUGUUUUUUCUUCCGAUUUUGAUUGAUAUCGUCUGUGUGUUUUGAGCAGCACAGCUGCGAUUGUGUGCCGACGGCGGUGCGAAUCGGCUUUAUGACGACAUGCCUCUGCUCUUGCCUCAUGAAGACGCAUCGGUUGUUCGCCAAAGGUUUGAUUGCUUUUUUGAAGCUGUUCAUGCUUGUUUAAUUAUGCUGUUGGAAUUUUGUUUAUGGAUCAUUGGAGAUUAAGCUGCGGGUUCGGUUUAUUUAUUUUUUAUUUGAUUUAAUAUUGCUGUAAAUAAUUUACGAGUUUCUGGAUUUGAUAUAUUAGGUGCUGGUUAUUGUGACAGGUACAAGCCUGACGUUAUUAAAGGUGACUUGGAUUCAAUCAGAAAGGAAGUCUUGGAGUUUUAUGCUGAUAUGGUUAGUGGAUCCCUUUUGAGCUUCUUCUAUCUUCUGCAUAUUUGUUUUUCUUGUAUUGGUUGAUGACGUCGACGUAGUUGUUGUGAUUCAAUCUGGAUAUUCAGGCAUGGAGUUUCUUGAUGCAUUUUACUUUGUCUCGCUUGCAUACUUAUGGUGGUAUGAAGUUUUAUCAAGAUUUCUCAGUUUGGUAUUUUCCUGAAUUUGUCAAUGUAGGGAACCAAGGUAGUUGAUGAGUCUCAUGAUCAGGACACAACCGAUCUUCACAAGUGUGUGGCGUACGUAUGUGACUGGGCACAGAACCUGGACAAGUCUAAUGUAAGUUACACUCUUUCUGUUUCAUCUGCUUUGAAGUUUACAUUGUCCUUGCAUCGAAGUUGGAAAUGUUGUUGGCUGAUAUUGAUGUUUGCUAAAUUGUCUGCUAGUAUGUUUCUCAUAUUUUUGCGGUAAUUGGUUCACUUCUUUGGUACAGCAGCUGUGCAUUCUGGUUGCUGGAGCACUCGGUGGAAGGUUUGAUCAUGAGAUAGGAAACAUCAACGUGCUGUGUCGUUUCUCGUCCGUUCGAAUGAUCCUUCUUUCUGACGAUUGCCUCAUCCACCUUCUUCCACGCACACACUGUCAUGAGAUACAUAUUCAAUCUUCAGCUGAAGGUCCUCAUUGUGGACUUGUCCCCAUCGGGACUCCUUCUGGAAGUACAACAACUACCGGGCUUCAAUGGGAUCUAAGUGAGUACUUGUCAAUGACAUAAGCCUAUUUCAUUGUCAUUGUUGCUAGUUGUUAUGUGAGUCUGACCCGCUCUUACUUUUGUUUUCAGAUGAAACCGAGAUGAGGUUUGGUGGUUUGAUAAGUACUUCAAACAUUGUCAAAGAAGACAAAAUAACAGUGCAAUCUGAUUCAGAUCUUCUCUGGACUAUAACCAUAAAAAAGCUGUAGUGCAGUGCAUUUAGAGAUGAGUCGCAAAAGCCACAGAUACCACAAUCCGCUCCUGCAUUGUCAUGGUUCCUCGAGUUAGCAGUGUUCAUAGUUAGAUUUCAACUUUCGAUCUCCAUCUCUUCUUCCCCGUUGCCCCAUUACCCCAUUACAGUAUCUGUUCGGUUAGAUUGUAUUGUAUUCGUAUUCUUUUAGCGUCUCUAUCCUGUUCAUAAUAAUGUUGAAAUGUUAUCUGUUCAGAUUGUACUCACCAUGUUUAUGGUUAAAAGUCGAUACUUGCAUUGGUUUGCUUUACGAAUCAGUUUGUUAUCAAUUCACUCAACUCGUAUAAGUUAAAACGUUCCAAGUUCUUUAGGAGAUUAAAAAUCAGUGAAGCUGGUAAGUUUGCGUUGGAAAUGUGAAGAUGGAUUGCAAUUUUAUUACCAUGAAGCUCUGUAAAUCACCUUACAGCAGUUCACAACUUCACGUAAUAGAGAGGUGACCUUGGCUCGUAACUAAUUACGUGAAACUGUAAAAACCAAUCCUGCAAUCACUUUUACCGUCGGCAGAAAAGUUAAAUGUUUAGGGUCAAGCGGUUGCUCUUCAGUUUUGGCGGCAAAAUUACAAGCUAGGGAUUAAGGAUUUAGGGCUUUCUCAUUCUCAAUUUCAUGAACCUCGGUUACAGUCUCAUCUAGUCUAAAUUAGGGUUCCGAUGGAGGCCACACCUCCUCCGUCCGAUUCACCGUCUAUAAAACCCAUAAACAAGUCCGUGGUCCACCGGAUCUGCGCCGGCCAAGUCAUCCUCGACCUCUCGGCCGCCGUCAAAGAGUUGGUCGAGAACAGCCUCGACGCCGGCGCCACCGCCAUCGAAAUCUCCCUCAAAGACUACGGCAAAGAGUGGUUCCAGGUCAUCGACAACGGCUGCGGCAUUUCGCCGGGAAACUUCAAGGUCCUUGCCCUCAAGCACCACACUUCCAAGCUCGCCGGAUUCCCUGACCUCCAGUCUCUCACGACGUUCGGCUUCCGCGGCGAGGCCUUGAGCUCUCUGUGUGCUUUGGGGAACUUGACGGUGGAAACCAGGACUAAGUACGAGCAGGUUGCUACGCACUUGAGUUUUGACCACUCCGGUGUGCUGGUGGCGGAGAAGAAGACGGCGCGGCAAGUCGGCACAACCGUGACGGUUAAGAAUCUGUUUGUGAAUUUACCGGUGAGGUGCAAGGAGUUCAGUCGCAACAUUCGGAAGGAGUAUGGGAAGCUUGUUUCUCUACUGAAUGUAUGUAUGCUCUUGCAGAUUUUCGCUUUGUUUUCGUCGAAAUUUGAAUGCUGUUUGUUACAUUAUUUAGUGAUGUGUGAAUUUUAGGCCUAUGCUCUUAUUGCAAAAGGAGUUCGGUUAGUUUGCACGAAUGCCAUAGGUAGAAAUGCAAAGUCUGUGGUGCUUAAAACGCAGGGAAGCGGUUCACUUAAGGAUAAUAUUGUGACAUUGUUUGGGAUGAGCACUUUCAGUUGUUUAGAGCCUGUGAGUAUAUCUGUAUCCGAUAGUUGCAAGGUUGAAGGGUUUCUUUCCAAGUCAGGACAGGGUAGUGGUCGGAACAUGGGAGACAGGCAGUUCUUUUUUGUGAAUGGCCGACCUGUGGAUAUGCCUAAAGUUACAAAGCUUGUGAAUGAGUUGUAUAGAGGGGCAAACUCCCAGCAGCAUCCCAUUGCCAUAUUGAAUUUCACUGUUCCGACAAGAGCGUGUGAUGUCAAUGUUACUCCUGAUAAAAGGAAAGUGUUCUUUUCUGAUGAGAGCUUUAUACUGGUUGCCUUAAGGGAGGGUCUGCAGCAGAUAUAUUCCAGUAGUAAUGCUCGUUACUCUGUUAAUAAACUGGAGGAGCCUGCCAAAGAAGCAGGCAGGUCUCAGUUUUGUUCACCUGAUCAAAGGUCUUGUAAACAAUUAACUAGAGAUGAUGAUGAGGAUGUUCCUGAAGAAGUUCUUGUUGUUGAGAAAUCUGAGGAGUCUACUGAGGAAGGAGGCAGGUCUGAAUUCUAUUUUCCUGGUCACAGGUCACAUAUGUUUCUAAAACAAUCAUCUAUAGAUUCUGUACCUAAAGAAAUUAGUCCUGAGGAUCACUCUCCAGAAGGUGAUGCACCUCUGAAAGUUGUGGAAACUGAUUCUGAACCUACUCAUGAUGAAGAAGGGUUUAGCCAAGAAAAUUCAAUGUGGAAGGAUAGCCAUGAAAAUUCAAUGGGGAAGGAUUUCGCUUUAAGAGUACACAACAUUAAAAAGGCCCAUGGAACUAGUCAAUUGACAAAGAAUCUCACUAGUAUGAGAGCUGAUCGAAUUGCAGCAAAGGAAGAUUCAUAUAGUCGCCCAAGCUCUGUACAAGCAUCACUUAAUGAGUUUGUAACUGUAACUAAAAGAAAGCAUGAUAGUAUUAGCCCAGUCCUGUCUGAAAUGCCUGUCCUGAGGAACCAAAGUCUUCAGUGUCAAUCCAAGACUGAUUUACCUGAUGCUGUUUCAAAACCCCCAUUUAAUCAUGACCGGAUCGAUGAUUCUACUGAAGUUGAUAAUUCUUCUGAAGUUUGUGUGGAUGAGCCAUCCAAGUAUCUUAGAGCAGAUAGGAUCCACAACAAAGUUAGAGUUCCAGUUUCUCCUGGAGGCAAGAAUGAGGGUGAAAGACUUGGAGAAGUAAGUGGUUUUCUUCCUUUUUUUCUUCUUCUGAUUUUGAUUGAUUUGAGCUUAACCAUUGACAUAGUUCUUAGUUUCUUACAUAAUUGAAGGUUAAGGAAAUCAGGUCUGAUGUUUUAAAUCUCAAAGUUCUUGGAUUAUAUGGCCUUUUUCUGAUAUUAUCAUUAGGCUUUUAUAUCAUUACAGGAAAGGUUUAUUUUUUAGAUAUGACAGAACUGGAAGCACUGUAAUUUUGUAGAAUUAUGGGCCUUAUGGCAUAUAUGAUAUAGCUAUUUUGUAAAAAUUGACAUUAGUAGAACAUUACUAGAAGUCUAUUUAAACAAACUACGGAAGAAAGAAGACUAAUGAGCUGCUCAAGGAACAUCUCUUACGAAAGAGUUUCUUUACUUGUUCUGUGCUGAAGGAGCAUCUCUUAUUUAUACACUCGAGUUACUUUUCUGUUCUGCUGCAUAAGGAGCAAUGUUCUAGGCAUGUAGUUUGAAAUUACAAACACCAUGAACACUGCAGAUCAGUUUCUUUUGGUUCCACUUUCUUAAGUUGUUUAGUAUCUUCAUCAGGACACUGUUGUGCAUUACAUCUCUUGAAACCUGGCUGAUGAAAUUUUUGUGCCCAACUUGACUAUUUCGUUACCGGAUUUACAGGCUCAACAGGAAACAGUGCCUCUUGCUGAUAUGACACCAACUGCUUCACCUAGCAGGGAUAUAAAUCUGACUGAAGAUCUUCCAGCUGCAUCACCUUCCUCAUGUGUAUUGUUGAAUACUCCAAAGCCUUCUUCUGAUCUUAUGAUGUGUUCAACCUUAACAUUUAGUUUCCAAGACCUAAAGACAAGGAGGCAGCAAAUAUUUUCUAGAUUGCAAUCAAGCAUGCCUGGAGUAAAAGCACAAAGGUUUUAGAGCCGUAACUUCUUCUUUAGUGUAGCACUACAAUCUGUUUCUAUAGAAUUGAUUUUUCUGGUCACUAGCAGGUGCUAUGCAGCUGCAACACUGGAGCUUUCUCAACCAGAAAAUGAGGAGCGGAAGGCAAGGGCCUUAGCUGCAGCUACCAAGGAGUUGGAAAGACUUUUCAGAAAGGAAGAUUUUGGUAAAAUGAAGGUUGGUGCAUGCAUUAGCUCAAUUUUUUGCAGUGCUUUUGGUUUCUUAAAACUAUUUGGUUUUAUAUAUUGUAUUUAUAUAUUAAAUAUUAUUAUUAUGACUGUUAUCCUAAACUCUAUCCAUCCCUAACAUACUGUGCAUAUAUCGACUCUCUGAUUACGUUAGGUGAUUGGGCAAUUCAAUCUUGGCUUCAUCAUUGGAAAGUUAGAUCAAGAUUUAUUUAUUGUAGAUCAGGUACUUUUGAAGCCAUGCAUUUCAAGUUAUCAUUAAGUUCUAUUGGUUGAUGUCAAUUCUUUCUUUUUUAUCCUCUGCAUUUACAUAUAUGAACCUAAUUGAAAAGUGGUACCUUCUUGAUACAAGUCUUUUCUGUUUCCAGCAUGCAGCUGAUGAGAAGUACAACUUUGAGCGUCUGUCACAAUCUACCAUCUUAAACCAACAGCCUUUGCUUAGGUGAGUCAUGGUUUUCAAUUAGCUGUAUUAGACAUAUCCAUCAUAAUUAAAAUGUAGGAUUAUCAUUGCAAUGUGCUAAAUUUUUAACAGUUACUAGUAGAGGACCCUGUAUACUUCAUCUACCAAAACCAUGCUAGAAAGUUCAUUUGCAUCACCUAUUUUAUAGCAUAUGACUUUUAAGUUCUGGUGGUAUAGCCGCAUCAUAUUAGUAACACUUCCAAAUUGUAUGUUCUUUUGGAUUCCUUGAAUAGUUCCAGUUCUUUAUUUUCUUUUUUAAAUUCACCGUGUUGUUAUUGGUAAUGCCAGUUCUAGAGAGAAGGCAAAUCAUUUUUCUUGUGUGGCUAGUAAAGAACCAUGUCCAGCUGUCGUGUUCGCUAAAACAUUUCACAUGGGGAAAUGCUGUCUGCUGCUUCAGUAGAGGCAGGUUCAGAUGUUUUUUUAUUGUAUAAUAUGGGAACUGGUAGUGCUUUAACAAUUCAAAAUUGGUUUAGUCGAAGCUUCAGUUAAAAUAAGUUGUCAGUAAUAGACUGGUGGAAAAAGAAAGGACAGCAUAGGUGUUUGAAAAUAAGCUUAAACCUUGACGGUCUUCUCUAUGCAGACUUCUAUUCUUCCCCUUGUUAAAUAAAGGAUUAAUUUCAGUUUACCCCCAUCAACUUUAGGUCGAUCAUCAUGUUAGUCCUUCUUCUUUCAAUUUCAUCAAAAACACCACUCAACUCCCAAUUUUCAUCAACCGCGCAUGUCCAAACCUCCAAUCUCCAUCCAAUUCCUCUGUCAAGUGAUGACUUGAUAUCAAGAAGAAAGAAAAAAGGCCAAAAUCACUAAGGUUAGGGGGUUGUGAUGGGAACAAAGAUGUGUAUCGAUAUGGGGGAAAACUGGUUCGAAAGGUAACUUUCAGAAUUUGACUUUCUUCUUGAUAUCAAAUCAUCACUUGACAAAGGAAUUGGAUGGAGAUUGGAGGUUUGGACAUGCAUGGCUGAUGAAAAUUGAGAGUUGAGGGGUGUUUUUGAUGAAAUUGAAAGAAGAAGGACUAACAUGAUGAUCGACCUAAAGUUGAUGGGGGUAAACUGAAAUUAGUCCUUAAAUAAAACAUCAAGUUCUGAAAGCUUACUUCUUUGCUUUUGUAGGCCGUUGAGGUUGGAGUUGUCUCCUGAAGAAGAAGUUGUUGCUUCAAUGCACAUAGACAUAAUCAGGUGAAAACUGAGUGUGUAUAAUUUCAUUUAUAACAGAUUUUAUUCACUAAAUGAUAUUGUUUCUGAUGAUUAUGUGGAUUGGUUCCGAUCUCAGGAAAAAUGGAUUUUCUUUGGAAGAGGAUCCACAUGCUCCACCUUGUCACCAUUUUAAAUUGAAAGCUGUUCCCUUCAGCAAAAACAUAACUUUUGGAGUUGAAGGUAUGAUGUAUCCCUUGUUUCCAAAUAUUGCAUGUUGUUAUUUGGAGAGAAAUAAGCACUCCUUGAGUUCAGAAAUGUCCGUGUUCAUAUUGGACGUUCCUUAUUCAGCCUAAUCAAGUUAUAUCAGCAUGCUCUUUCCUCAGACAGUAACUUACUGUUGUUUGAACAGAUGUUAAGGACUUGAUUUCCACUCUUGCUGAUAGUCAUGGGGAAUGUGCAAUCAUCGGUAGUUAUAAGAUGGACACUGUUGAUUCUGUUUGCCCUUCUAGAGUUCGAGCAAUGCUGGCAUCACGUGCAUGCAGAUCAUCUGUUAUGAUUGGAGAUGCCCUUGGAAGAAAUGAGAUGCGGAAGGUAACCACAUCUCAUAACUUUUUAUUUGUUUUGAUCCUCCACCUGAUACACAACCACCCCUACUACCCUUUCGACCCUUCUUGUUAAUCAGAAUCUUUGAUUAUUAAAAAUGAACUUCAAGUUUAUGCAUCUGUUUUUUUUGUUGCAUAGUGAACCUUGAUUCUAAAAUGCUUAAGUUCUCAGGAAUGGUGUUUCCACUUCUAACAUCUAUCUGGUCCUCACUCUUUUGGGGAAGUUGUCUUUGUAAAUACACAUGAAAAUGCUGACUUGAUAAUCGGCUGUUUCAGAUUCUUGAGCAUCUGGCAGGUCUGAAGUCUCCUUGGAAUUGUCCUCAUGGCAGGCCAACCAUGCGACAUUUGAUCGACUUGAAAACCAUACGCAGGUCUGAAGAAAACGAUGAAGCAGAGUCUUGAUGGAUCUUCCGAACCUUUCGAGGCGCUUAACUUAUCCUGUAUAGACCUCACGAGUUUGUGAUAACAGUAACCCCUGCCAAGUCCGGCACACUUGUGUACAUAUUAUAUCUGAGGCUUGGGCAGGUCCUCUGUAAAUGUUUUAACCCUGUGCGGCCCCGAGUGUUGGAAUUUGUAUGGUCUGCGGAUGCCGGAGACUUUCAACUCUUCUGUCACUUUUGCAUUGGACAGUCCCACAAAUCAGUAUUUGGAUUUCGUUACGCCUCGAAUAUGCAAUUAUCACUUUUUUUUCUUUUUCUUUUUGUCAUUCCAGAUUCCCGCCAUCUGUCUCUUGGGGCGCGCUGCGUGCGUUUCUUUUGUUCUUGUUAAGGCUUUAACUUUUUCACCAAGUUGUCUAGCUCUAAUCUCAGUAAUUUUGAAUACAAGUGUUCAUUUGUUGUCAAUGUGAAAAAUUAAGAGUAUAAGUGAAAAGUUGUUAAAUCAAGUGGUCUAGUGGUAGAGCGUAAAGGCUUCCAACCUGUGUUUUGUAUUAUGAAGCUGUUAAAGUGUCCAAACACAAUAUUGUGUUGCAAUGCGCGUUCAAAGCGUUUCACAUGUGUUUUACAGUAAUUCUGAGUGACUGUCAAUGUACUGCAAUUCACAAUUGUAGCAUUCCACAUGGUAAUUAGGCUCAAUAAGCUUUUAGGAUAUUCUAAUUUUUCAUCUUAUAUAGUAAAAAAAAGCUUGCAUAACAGCACUCAAAUCUGUUGAUUAUAAAACAUCAGUUUAAUCAUACGUCGAAUGCCUGUCAAUGUAUUGCCUUGUAUUCAGAAGUUUUAUUAAUCAAGGUUUAAGAACAGCCGUAUCAGCCUUUUAUUCAAAAAAAAAACACGAAUUUUAGUCAUUACAUCAUACACAUUGAUGGAUUUUAAUCAUUUUUUUUUCCGAAAGAACACAUUGAUUGAUUUGCUGCUCUUAAUGGAUUGUUUUCCACAAUUUUCAAAAGUGCCAAAAAAAAAAAACUAUAAUAAAAAAUAUAAAAAAACAAUUUAACCCUCAAUAAUUGUCCGAGUCGAAACAGGGCUCAAGGACACUAUUUUUCAACUUCGUAAAAAAGACUAAAAGCAGAAGAACACCCCGCUCACUCGUAGAAACGAAGAAAGAAGAAGAGGAGGGCUGAGCUAAGCAAAGCGCCGUAAAGUUCGCGAUCCGACUUUAUUUUCCGGUAAAUCCUCUUCAUCCUUCAUCUAAGCUACUACAAUACUUUCUCAAACACCAAAAUCUUCUAGGGUUUUGUAUUCUCCGUCCUCUAAAAUCUCCUCUGGCUUCGUUUCAGGUCCCUUGUGCUUUUCGCGGCGAGCUCCAAACCCUAAACCAUGGUACGUUCCUCUUCUCUCAGAUAGUUUCCGUUACCGUCUAUUUGUGGUUUAUGAGAAUUUAGGAAACUGUAGCGAAACACCUCUCCGAUUUCUCCUUUGGAGCUGGAAAGGAUGUGUUCAUAAUUUAGGGUUCGGAUUUUGUUUUCUUUUUUUGUUUUUGACUGUGACAUUUUCGCAAUUGCAGCUUCCGCUUUCUCUGCUCAAGACUGCCCAAGGGCACCCCAUGGUAAGAUCCGUGGUCCUCUGCUGUUAUAUUUGGAGAUGAAAUUUACUAGUCAAUGCACCAUCAUGGUUUGGUUUUGGUGUGCUAUCAGAUUUAUGAUUUGCGUGUUGUGGCGUGCUGUAACAGUUGGUGGAGCUCAAGAAUGGGGAGACUUACAAUGGGCAUUUGGUGAACUGUGAUACUUGGAUGAACAUCCAUCUUCGAGAAGUCAUCUGCACUUCCAAAGUGAGUAUUUGUUUGUAUGUUUGUAAAGCUGGAUUUGUAAAAAUAGAGAGAUGAAGCUCUUGUAUGUGUACUCAUCGAGUGUUGUUACGGUACUGUGUAGGAUGGAGACAGGUUUUGGAGGAUGCCUGAGUGCUACAUCCGUGGGAAUACUAUUAAGUAUCUGCGAGUGCCUGAUGAGGUAUGCUUUCGGAUUAUUAUUUUAAUUUGUUCUUUCCAAGGGAAGUCAUAUCAUAUUGUGAUUUCCAUAAGCAGGCUUUCAGUUUGGUUCAUGUUGUCCUGUCAUGACAGUAAAGCCUUGAUAGAUUUCUAUCACGCGUUCUGGGGGGAGCCAUGUGCACCUUGAUAAUGCUAAGGAUGCAUUUUUCAUAGUUACUUCCCAAUGCAACAUCAUCAGUUUGGCUUCUUUAAUAUAUGAGUCCCAUAGACUUAAGUUGUAAUAGAAGUUGUCAUUUAAGCAUUCUUUUAUUUCUAGUGAUUUCAAUACCAGUACAUUGCAUUAGGGUCUAAUCUAGGUGCUCUUGCCUUUGUUUAUCAGGUGAUUGACAAGGUUCAGGAAGAAACCAAGAGAACAGGUAUAGUGAACUCUUUAAAACUGGGAUUGGGUUUGUGAUCUCGAUGAUUAUUUGUGACCUGGAAAGUAGAUCUUUAGUGUCUUUUCAGUUUAUGUCUACUGACAUUGGACUCAGGUUUUUGUUCAUUGAGAUGAGUAGAAAUAGCUCUAAUGUUUUGUGCUUUGAUAAACUUCUUCAGAUAGGAAACCUCCUGGAGUAGGGCGUGGAAGAGGAAGAGGAGGUAGGGAGGAUGCUCCUGGUGGACGACAGCCAAAAGGCAUUGGACGUGGCCUUGAUGAUGGUGCUAAGGGUGCUGGUGGAGGUCGAGGCAGAGGUGGACCAGGUGGAAAGGCUGGUGGAAGAGGUAAACUUGCUAACUAAUAUACCUAUUUUCAUCAAGUAUAAAAUGUUCUUAUUUUUGCUCUGUUAAGAGAAAAUGCGUCUUUGUAAAAGUUUGAUCGAUACAUGUAGGUUUCCAAACUAACACAACGGUAAUAUCUGGUUUUGCUUUCAGGUGGAGGCCGAGGCCGAGCUUGAUUCAUCUGAGCUUGAUUCGCUUAUAUUGUGGAACAACGUAGAUGGGCAAGUUUGCUACUUUUAAUGGCAUUUGUGGCCCGAUGCUUUUGUGGAAUCUUGGGGUUUUAUAGUUAUGACAGUAUUUCUUAUGUAUGGUAAUGUGAUGUAGUUGGAAUGGGUCUUUUCACCUUUGUUGGCCUGGUGUUUGUCUUAAGGAAAUCGUAUUACUCUAUUGGAUUUGAAAGUUUAUGCCAACAUUAUAUCCAUAUUUCCGCAGUUUUUGGUUUGGUGUCACAAUCUCCCUUGGUGAGCAUAUAUUGCUUGAGAUACCUGUGUUCCAGUUUUGUUUUUUUUUCUUGAGCAAAUAUUGUCGCUAUUUCCUUUGUCUGGUGAUACUUAUUGGACCUUGUGCAUUAACUGUAAGAGUGCUUUGAGCUAGUUUUGUGCGUUAACCCUAAAUAGAGGAGCAAUGAUGCGAGAAAUUCAGAAGCUGGGAAUGCUUUUUCUUUGUCAAAUAGACAGACGAUAUCCUGGAUCCUAACAAAACAAAAAUUAUGGAGGAUAGAUCAAACAAAAAUUCCCAUUCACUGGGAAUCAACUCCCAUACAGAGAUUAAUAUUACAAGGUGAUGCCAAGAAACUUGUAGUCGAGAUAUCUUCUCUGUAGCAGUAUAGCCUGCUCUGCUAGUAAGGGCUAUGCCUUUUUGACUUGCGGAUCUUUGGUGAUCUCAAAACGAGUUCGCUUGAAAUCCAUGAUCGGUUUAUGGUGUCCACAGAACCAUCUGAUAGCCAGCAACAUAAACGGCCAUCUUCACCACCAGUCCAUCCAAAAAAACUCUGGCCUUGGGGACCUGGCAUGUUUGACAUAGGCAACACACUUCGAACAACACCCGUAUGGCCACCUUCAAAAAUUGCUUCAGCGGUACCUAUGGCCUGCGUUCCUGAAUAACUUACAGGGAAGUAGCCUAAAGCACCAGUGUUAGCACCACCAAUAAGCCAUAAGCGUUCUGCUUCUCUUGAGUAGUGGCAAUCAACAAAGUAAUCAACCUGCAGUAUUACCCGGUCAGUGGCCUAGCUAACAGUAGAAUCACGCUUAAUAAAACAUCGAUAUGCCUCAACCAAGUCUUUAAAAAUUAUUUGCAGUAUUACCAAGAUCUUUAGUGCUCUUUUAAAUCACUACUCCAGACAAUUUUGGUUUCGGAGUGCUUAUUCAACAGCAGGACAAUAUCCACUACCAUAAUUAUCACACUCCCUUUCAAAAGAAGGGUAUGAAAAUUUUGAUCAAGUCUUGUUAUGUGACUAAAUAAUCUGUUAGAGAACUCACAUCACCUAGACUCCAACUUUUAGAAGCCAAAGAACGAGCGUCCUGGAAAUUUGUUUGAGUUGCAUCCUUCCAGUCCCAGAUACUACAUCAGGAGCAUCAAUUAACAGUUAGGCCAAAAAGUAGAGUAAAACAUAUAAGCAUCACUUUCAGUAAUCUCUAAUCACACGUUUAAAUGUAAGGAUCAGUUGUUCAGAGACCGCAACUUCAAGCCUAUGCAAAUCACUCAAUGGUCCACCAUGAUUAUAAGGCUACAGACAGCGGUUGUGCAAAAACGAAUACGAGUAAAAUCAUGAUUAGUGGAUGGAAAGAUGUACCUUAAGGUUUCAAUAUGGGUCAGACACCAAAGCUUUUGAUAUGUCUCACCAAAAAACCCCACCUUCCCGAUGGAGGUGCCCACAUUUAGGACCUAGAAUAUUGAAAACUGAAAGGUUAAAUAGAAAUGUUCUAGGAUAGUAAGAUAUUAUUGUUUACAGCGCUCUUCAAACAUGAACUUACCGACUCAAGAUGAUCAUCUUCGUUGAUAUCUCCAUCUGUAUCAAAUAUACAUAUCAAUCCAUCUACAGAAGCAGAAAGGAGCUUGCUUUGAUGGUCAGGAAUGAAGUGAACCUAUCAAAAUACACAAUGUAGCUCAAGUUUAAUAAUUCGCCCAGGUAAAUCCACAUCCAUUGAUCACACGCACACGCACACACAAUCUUUUUUGAAGUUUAUAAAAGAACAAAGUGCUACAACAGCUACAGCUAAACUAACAAUUCGAUGAUCGCAAAUGCAUAAGAGCCUGCCUGAGUAACAUCUUCCACAUGAGAGUCCUCUAAGCAGGCUACUUGUUUGUCGUUCCUCCAAUCCCACAAUAGUAUCUGAGUAUAGUAAGAUAAAACAAAACGAAUCAGUUUUAGCAAUCCAAAAAGUGAACCUAAAACAAUACACUAGUGAUAUUUGAUGUCAUUAUCAAUGUGCUAAAAAUCUUGAAAAUUCCUUCAAGCAACAAGUAACAACCAAUUCGAUUAAAGCCCUUAUAAUAACUUCCAGCACCUGAGAAUUACAUCCUGCAGCUAGAAGAUUAUUAGAUGAUCCUCCAAACGAAAAGCUGAAUAUCUCAGCACCCGAACCAGAAGGAAAAGACGACACCUGCAGCACAAACAAGCCAUCAAAAUCAAAACAAUGAACACAAUGCCAGGAAGCACUCUGCCAUAUGCAAAUGCCAAUGGUGAAUCGAACCUGUUGGAAUGUGCGGGUGUCCCAAAGCCUAAUGGUUCCGUCGGAAGAGCAAGAGUGCAGAACAUGUGGGGAUGAUGAGUCUGCAAAUGAGAUGUGAUUGAUUGUUGCAGAGUGGCCUUUGCACUCUCCAUAGUACUGACCCGUCACCGGUGAGUAGAGCUUCACUGCGUUCGUUGACAAUGACACCGCCAUUGCUGUCCAGUCAUCCCUUCAAACCCCACAACAAGACCAAAUUACAAAACCACUUGCAGUAAAUUAUUUGGUCUCCAUAAAAUGUUGGGAUAUUAAAAUAAAGUAAUGGGUUUAGUAAGAACAGCAAAACCCAAUUGAAAUUUUGUGUUUUUCAGUAGUGGGUUUCAUGUUUUGGGUCUCAAUUUCAGAGAGAAGCUAGAAAAACACUUACUUGGGGACAAUUUGGAAGACGUAAUCGUCUCCAAAGUUGGUUUGGAUGGAGGUUUUGAGGCCGAAACGUUUGAAGGAGUUUGGAUUGGAUGAAGACUCAGGUUGAGGUUUUGGCUCCAUAUCCAAGUCCAUGGCUUCCAUCUCUCCGUCCCUCUCUUUCGCGCUUAUUAGUUUGAGUCGGCUAAAACCAGAAAUCUGGGUUUUAGGGUUUUAGGCAUUUUUAGUCAACCAAUUGGGUGUUGCCAUGUCAUUUACUGUCUUUUAAAAAUACCCUUGACUACCCUUUAAGCCAAGUCCCCGGAGAAGCUCGCCUACCCUAUACUUGUGAAAAAUCAGUUUCCAUUUUGGCUGGACGUUUUGCUUCUUCAAAGAUUAGCUCUCGAACAUGGUCCGGACCACUUUUAAUUGUGUUCAUCUCAUACUCUUGCGAGUUUAGUCUUGUAUGAUUUUGUUAGUUUGAGACGAGUGCAGAGAACAAGAAAAUUAAUCGAGAGCGAUCACCGACCUUUGCCGGAAAUGAACACGUCGUUCGAGAAAACCCAUUCAUUGCCAUUGUUGUCCCCUACGAGAUCGAUCAACCUUAAAUGCAUAUCUCUCCUUCAUUGCUUGAUCGGUUUCCUCUCCACCACCAAUGCCGCCUCUCCUACCGCCACUACAAUCUCUUCCACGAAAUCCGUCACAUCGACUCUUUCAGAGACAUGUUAUGGGUCCAGGUGAAAUAUGAAGUUCAAACAGAUGAUAACCAUUUUUGGCUAGUCUCUUCUUUCUUCUUGGUUCAACAAACCGACUUAUUCAACAGUUGACCUACGUUCAAAUUCCUCACAAAAUACGUUAAACAAUAAUCAUCAGUCUGAAUCAUAUUUUCAACACAUUCUCUUUUGCUACAUUUUACUUUCAGCAAACAGAAAAUCUGAAAUCAAGGUGUAAACAAAUAUGAUAUAUCCAUCAAUCUUAAGAGCCGAAAAAGGGAAUAAGGAAUUGACUUGAUAAAAACCAUAGAAAUCCAUAGCUCAACUCCAUGAAAACUGAAACAAAAUUAACUAAAAUACAUCUGUCAGAAGUCUGAGCAUGAUCUAGCCUUAGAGGCAGGAAAAUCAGCUCCUAACCAAAAAGCUGAAAAGCCAUUGUUUGUUGACCGCAUCAGUAAUGCUAACCAAUACGAAAUCAUGUGCUUGAUGCAGCUUCCUUUUUCUCUCCUGAGGGAACAGCUUCACUCUUUGCAGCAUCUGAUUCUCCUGGCUUGGAAACUUCUUGAUCUAUAAUAAAAAAACAAGAAUGAUGAGAUCAGCAACUUGUUUAUGGGAAUUACGAUAUUUUAUAAGUACCUAAACUUAAGAUAAUUUAGAAGAUCCUAAGAUAAGUAUUAUGUAUAGCACUUCUGAGAUCACACAUGGGAACUCCAUUUAUAGUAUAAAAUAUUGUGAAGGUCAAAUACCACUGUCCUAGAAACAACCAAAGGAAUGCCCAAGUACAAGUCAUUCCGGCUUAACAUUUGAUGUUUUUGACGAUGUAAGAACUUUUGAAUAACAAAUGCAAAUGCUGAUCUGAUCAACACUCUUCAUUUGACUGAUAAAACGCUCAUGAUGCUUUGUCUUUAAGGCUUAAGAAGUUUCCCAAGACAUAGCACCCAUACAGGCUUUCCAUAGUGAUGCAUAAAUUGGACAUUGGUGGUUGCCUCAAGGAAGCCAAUACAAAACCAGGAUUGUAUAUAGUAGAUAUAUGAUCACUAUUAAGUACUCAACUAAUCAUUAAACUAAUAGUCUUCUUACCAUCAUCACUAUCAUCAAAGUCACCCGGUGCACCAUCACCUCCCAUGCCAGCAAAUUUCUACAGUACAAGUGAGUUAAAACAAUUGAGCAGGUAGUUGAACUAAUCAGAUAGUGGAAAAUACAACAAAUCAAAAUAAUGAAUAUAUACUAACCGAGAAAUCCAUCCCACCCAUUCCACCUUCACCUCCCAUGCCAGCAAGUUUCUGUAAAAUGCAGUUAAGAGUCAGAAUAAUGAUCUGGUAAUGAAACUACUUCAGAAUAAAAUAAAAUAAAUUAAAAACUCAUGAGAUGAUAUAAACGCUAUUACUCACAGAGAAAUCCAUCCCGCCCAUUCCACCUUCACCUCCCAUGCCAGCAAGUUUCUGUAGAUAAAAGUGACAGUUAGAACUGAACUGAUAAAUGAAACUACUUCAAAAUAAGAGAUAUCCCACAAGCUGAUAUAUACUCACAGAGAAAUCCAUGCCCCCCAUUCCACCCAUGCCGCCCAUUCCGCCCAUGCCGCCAAGUCCACCCAUGCCUCCCAUUGCAUCAUCACCUCCCAUGCCACCAAAUUUCUGCACAACACAGAUAUUAGAACAGCACACCAAUACAUAAAACAAACUAAUUCAGUAGUUAAAAUGCCUGUAGCUAGUGUGUAGUGUUACUAACCGAGAAAUCCAUGCCUCCCAUACCCAUGUCAUCAGCACCAGCUGCUGCUGAGAAACACCAAGUGUUAAAAUGGCUCAAUCACACAAAACAACCCAUCUUAGUCAAAACUAAAAACUGCAAAUAAAAAAAAAACUGUAACAUGUUACAUACGAGGAUCCUCAUCUUCGUCGACCCACUUGUCCCAAUCUAUCUUGACAUAAUGCGGUGUCCUUCCCUGUUCUUUCAACAGCCUACUCCACCAAACCUUCUCCGCCUUCUCCACAAUACACACGAUACUCCUCACACCGAUACUUAUUUUGCUCUCCUACAACACAAACAACAACCCCAUAAAAAAAACCCGUCAAUUUCAAAACAAACAUCUCAGUCACUAAUUCAUCAAACAAAGCUAUAACUAAUCCAUACCUCGACAUCAACCUUGUCGAAAAGGUCGAGCUUCAGCUCAUACUGGUUAUCCCCGGCGCCGGCGCAAGCAGAGAAGAUGAAAGUACCUUCAGGCUCGAGCUUGACCUUGGCGUCCUUGGCGUCGGGGAGAAGCACAGUAAGGAAGACCUUGUCCUCCCUCUGGGCCCACUUCACCUCAGGAUGACGACUGCAAACAAAUUCGAAGCAUUCAAUUACCGAGAAAUUCAUAAUCGAACCAAAAUCCACGGCUCAACUCGAAUCAAACAACAUUGAAUAUGAAUACGCGAAAUUGAAAACGGAAAGGAGAUCGGAGAUAUGGGCAAUAAUAAGAAGAGGAAGAGAGAAGAGAUGUACCUCAUGAUGAUUUAGGGUUGGAAAGGGAAAGAGAGACUCAGAGAGAGUGAAAAACCCUAGAGAAGCAAAUGAAAACCCCUCUUUGAGCGUCGUGACCUAAAACACUCUCUCUCGGUUUAAAUAGACAAGGAAAGGCAAUGCGUCAUCGGGACUUUUUAUGAUGUCUUUAUUACCCGGAAUUGGAGUGAGUUCUACUCAUUCUCUAUUUUUGGUAUUUCUUUUCUUAUUACUCGACCAGGAUUUUUGAGGAAUGAGAUUCUUUCCCUUUCCAAUCUUUUCCUUCUUUAAGUUGGAAAAAAUGGUUGCAAUGCGUGUACUACAACUCUCAUCUCAAACAAUGAAAUAAAUAAGUUGUGUUACUACCUUAGUCGUGAUCUGUUUUAGAUAAAACUCUCAUGUUUAUCACAAAAGCGUAGUUCUAUGCUCGUCACACUUUUUUAUUUUACUUUGAUAAAAUUAAGAAGUGAAAUAAACAAGUUCAUACUAAUUAGACCGGUUACUGAGACAAAGUAGAACGGGAAUUGUAUCCACAAUAAUUCACAGAGAUACGAAUUUAACAAAGCAAAUACCAAAAGGGAUACAAAUCGUUUACGAAAUUACUCCAUUUUUAUGAGACCACAAGCUCAUCGAUAUGAACUUCUGAAGUCAUUUCCGUUAUCCACGAAGCUUAAUACGACUCCGAUGCCAUGUCCAUGAGCAGCUAACCAAAAAUAAUCCACACCCUGUCAAUGUGAUUGCUGAGAGAGGACUGACGACAGAUUUCGGUCAUGAGCCUUGAACACAGUGAAGAUCUUUUUAGGUUCUUUCAGAUUCAUUAUACUUUUUUAAACGAGGUAUUAACAGAUUAACAUGACAGAGGCAGACGGAUAUCCACCAAUCUAAAGAGAUGAAAAAGACAUGACUUUGUAAAAAUACAUAAGCAUCUGUCGGUCUAUAAGCAUGAUCUAGCAGAAUAGCUCCACAUAGUUAGAUCAAACACACGCAGUAACUAAUGCUGGAAAAACUACCGGCCUCAGCCAUGAAGCGGGCAUCAGUAAUGCAAACCAAUCCGGAAAGAAACAUUGAAAUCAUGCACUCGAUGUAGCUUCCUUUUUCUCUCCUGAGGAAUCAACUUCACUCUUGCCGGCAUCUGAUUCACCUGGCUUGGACACUUCUUGGUCUACAAAAGAAGGACAAUCAAAAUUUCAGCAAAUGUUUAAUUCCCAUCUUUGUAAACAAGUGAGAUAACUUCAAGCAAUUUAUGAUCCCCUUACAGAAAAGUAGGUAUAGCAUUAACUUGACCACUGGCAAUAAAAGAAUCAGACUUGCCAAGAAUACAAAUAUGGUGCAAGUAAUUCUAACCGAAAUUCCACAUUUCUAGACACUCAAACAUCUAAACCUAAGCCACGUAGGAGUCACCUCCUUGCCCUGCAGUUCACUUAAAUCUCUUGACAACAUAUUAACCACUUCUGACUAACAAAGCUUCAAUGCUAAUCGACACUUCUCACUUAAGUAACCAACAUAUAUUACAUGUACUUGCAACCAAAUAAGUAAAUAACCACCUAUAUCCUGGUAUACUGAAACAGUUCCUGUCAACUAAUCCCAAUUUUCCGUAUUAAAGUUUCUUUUAACAGACUUAAUGCCAAAACCUAAUCUCAUUGGUAUGCAGCUCUAGUUAUGCUCAUGCAUUCUAUUCUAACACAAAAACUGACAAUCAACUUGAUGCAGAAUUUGAUGCCAGAUCAUAGGAAUCCUACUUUACUAGAACAAACUAUAUACACUGAGUAUACCUUUGUUGCAGCUACAUGCAUGCAAUCGAUAGGCACCGAAAUCCCAGUAAAACUAACUACUUCAUGUUUGUUUCCUAAGAAUCCAAGUUUUAUAGUACAUGACUUGGUUGUGGAAGAUAGUGAAUUUUGGGAGAUCUCAGGCUUGCUCCCAAGUGAUGCACCAGAAAUACAGCACACAUCCGACCUUGGGAGUUGCCUUAAAUAAACAUUGGGAGAGCUGGUGUUUUAAAUUCUAUACAUAUGACUCCUAUGAGGUUCUCAACUUGCACAAAUAGAUUAUGAUUAAGCGAACUCGUCUUACCAUCAUCACUAUCAUCAAGGUCGCCCAUUGCACCGUCACCUCCCAUGCCAGCAAAUUUCUGCAGUGUAAGCGAGUUAGACCAAUUGAACUGGUAAUCAAACAUUAUUUCAGAUAGUGGAAAAUGAAGCAAGUCAAAAUAUACUAACCGAGAAAUCCAUUCCACCCAUUCCACCUUCACCUCCCAUGCCAGCAAGUUUCUGCAUCAUACAGUUUAAGAGUUAGAACAAGGAUCUGAUGAUUUAAAGUACUUCAGAAAAUGCAGAAACUCGAAGCUUAUAUACUGACCGAGAAAUCCAUCCCGCCCAUUCCACCCAUACCGCCCAUUCCACCCAUACCACCCAUUCCGCCCAUUCCACCCAUACCGCCCAGUCCGCCCAUCCCUCCCAUUGCAUCAUCACCUCCCAUGCCACCAAAUUUCUGCAGAAGGUGUGACGAGUUAGAAAAAAAUGAACCAAUAUGAUAAACCAAUUCAGAAGUUGAAAUAUCUCCCAACUUUUCAUGUACUAACCGAGAAAUCCAUGCCUCCCAUGCCCAUGUCAUCAGCACCCGCUGCUGCUAAGAAUCAAGAAGUGGUAAAAAUUAAUCACACAAUAUUAAAGAAAUAUGCCAAUAAACAGAACAAAUUAGUAUGUUGCAUACGAGGAUCCUCGUCUUCGUCCACCCAUUUGUCCCAAUCUACUUUGACAUAAUGCGGUGUCUUGCCAUCUCCUUUCAGUAGCUUACUCCACCAAACUUUCUCUGCCUUCUCCACAAUACAGACUAUACUCCUCACUCCUAUACUUAUUUUGCUUUCCUAAAACACGACGACGAACAAAAAUGUCACACAACUGAACAAGAAAGCAUCAAAUCCAUCGAUUAUAGUCUUACAUUGAUCAUAUACACGAGUUGUCACUUCUCACCUCUACAUUAACCUUGUCGAAAAGGUCGAGUUUCAGCUCAUACUGGUGAUUCUCUGCGCCGGCACUAGCAGAGAAGAUGAAAACACCUUCAGGCUCAAGCUUAACCUUGGCGUCCUUCGCGUCGGGCAGAACCACGGUAAGGAAGACCUUGUCCUCCCUCUGGGCCCACUUCACCUCAGGAUGACGACUACAAACAAAUUGAAAGCAAUCAUCACAACAAAAUAGCAAAACUUCAGUGAAAGAACACAAAACAACCGAAACUUCAUAAUCGAAUCGAAAUCAAAUUCCAUAUGCUUUUGAUCAGAAUCAGCCCAGCACAAAUUGAGAACAUCACAUAGAAACAAGCAACUUUACGAUGCAUAUAGAGCACUGGGGAUCAUACAGAGUAGUGAAAUUGAAUACGAAAAUACGAAAUUGGAUACAUGUAAAGAGGAAUCAGAAGAAAUGAGGAGAAGAGAGAAGAGAUUACCUCAUGAUUUAGGUGGAAACGGAAGAAGAGAGAGAGAGAGCGUAAAACCCUAGCAAGCUGGAAAUAAAACCCCUCUUGUUCUUCUUGUUGAGAGAGACGAGAGCUGUGGGAGAGUGAGUAGUGAUCCGGAAUGGGCCUGUGAGGCUUUUAAAUACGGCCUCUUCUGGGCUAUGACUCUGCCAGUUCCAGACCCUUCCAGACUUUAUGACAGGGAUUGACAGCAGUACAUUUCAGUAAUUCCCAUUUUGGGUAACUCGGUUGUGGCGGCAGUAAAGUUGUGGGAAUGGGAAUGCCUUCGUCUUUUUUUGGUCGAGAUAAUGGGAAUCGCUUCACUCCUUCAAUUCCCGUUUACCAUUUCACAAUAAAAUUACGGUGCGGUAAUUUUUACUCUGCUACAAAAUAUCUCUUCUUAUAACAUAAGAUUUCCUGCUGUGCCCUUUAGGGGAAAAAGUGAUUAGUAACUUAAGUAUCUCACGUUGUGAAAAUAUCAUCGGUAUCUAGAACUCAUCUUGUCGUCACGACGUCGUUAACUGACAGUAUUUCAAGGCUACUUUCGUCCUUGCAUUGUUCUACAUUUGUCUUUGUUCUGAGAUUCAUCCUUCAAGUUCGGCGACUUCAAACUGAAACUCGGCAUCUCCAACCCAAUCUACAUCGACCUCCUCCUCCUCCUCAUCGCCUCCUACCCCUUUCUCCUCCGACAGUUCUCCUAAAUUUGUCCCCUCCUCCACCCCCUCACGACCUCCUCUGUGGCGUCCCUUUCACCAUCCUCCGAAUCGCCACCUACAUCAACACCACCUCAACGCCCUCCCUCUGUUCUUAAUUAAAUUGGUUAGGGUUUUACUGGGAGACCUAAUUUAGAAGUGGCAAAUGAAGGUGAGAUGGGUAUGGAAAACAUUAAAUAGCAUAGGUUCACUCCAUAAUUGGUUUCAUGGCCGCCGAUCGAGCUCUGGACUUCGAUUUGGCCCAUUGUCUUCAGCCACUCUUCACUUGUUUGUGCAUAUUGAUCUCUAAAUUCUCCAGCUGAUGAUUCCUACAAUGCUCUUCUAUAAGCCUUCUCGGUCGGUGAAUUGCAAAUCCCAGUAACCUUGCAGUUCUUAUAUUUCUUAGCAAUGUACAGAGAUAGUGAAUUAGUGAUACCUAUCCGCAAACACAUCCAUAAUACUAUCACCAUCUUUAAUUUGUGACCUUACACAAUACAUUUAGGAUGAUGAUGAGUCUUUGGUCUGGAAUAAGGGAGAAAGAAUAACUGAGGAAGAGAGAAAGGAGUUGAUGUUUUACAGAAAAAUAAAGAGUAAAUUACAUACUAACACAUGACCAAAUUUAAAAACACAAAAAAACCAUUUCUCAUAUUUCUUAUACAAAUUAGGACAUGAGCAUAAGGCCCACAAUCUAAUAAUACAGAGCCUGAUCCAAAUUUGCACUAGUAAAUGACCAAAAUGUCCAACUUCGCAGCAAAUUUACACUUCCCAUGCCACGUAUCCUUCUUUCUCUCUCCACCCUCACAGAUCUUCUUUCUUUCACCCACCGUCACAAAUCCUCUCUCUCUCUCUCUCUCUCUCUCUCUCUCUCUCUCUCUNNNNNNNNNNNNNNNNNNNNGCCUCCUUCAUUCUGGCCUGGUCAACUUUCGAAGCAUCGGAGCUCCUCCCAUGGAUUGAGUUCGACAACGAUGGUAGAGAUUGACGGCUAUGGUGGAGAUCGACGCCAUGGCUUUUGAAUAGAAGGAUGAUUCUCAGAUCUAUCUCUCAUUCUUCGUCCUCGCCGGCCACCAUUGCCUUGUAAGAUCCGCCGUCAUCGGCACGCUCCGGGUUUCACCAACCUCGUCGUCCUAGAUCCUCGAUCUCACUUGCCAAACAACGUCGAAUCAAUCACAACAUCAUCGAUGUCUCGUCGGUCAUGAUUUGAUUGCGGCCUCUAAGGUAAUUUCGGUGGAUUUUUGGGGAUUGAAUCAGUUUUGUGCCUUUGUGAUUAGGGGAAUUUGAGCAGUUUGAUUUCAGGUUGUUGAAUUGAGGUAGUGAUUGAAAAUGGAGGUUGUGAGGGAGUAUCUUAGGAACAAGAAGAUCAGGCUCUGUGGAUUGAUGGAGGUUUAUGUUGAAGUUGCAGGUUUUUUUUUUCAACAGUAGCAGCGCGCUAGCAUCAUAGUCGGCAGUAGCAGUGCGUAAGCAUCAUAGUCAGCAGUAGCAGCACGCUAGCUAUCAGAGAAUUGCCGAAAAAAAUUGCAAUAGCACCAACUAUUGCACCAACAGUAGCACCUUUUGAUCGGCAGUAGCACCUUUAUACUCGGCAGUAGCACCUUUAUACUCGGCAGUAGCACAUUAAUGUUAUUAUGCCUGGGAAUCGACAGUAGCAGCACGCUAGCAUCGACAGUAGCAGCGCGUUAACAUCAUAGAGUCAGCAGUAGCAGUGUGCUAGCAUAAGAGUCGGCAGUAGCAGUGUGCUAGCAUAAGAGUUGGCAGUAGCAGCGCGCUAGCAAUCAUAGAAUAGCCGAAAAAAUACUGCAAUAGCAUCUGCAGUAGCACCUUUUGAUCGGCAGUAGCACCUAUUGAUCGACAGUAGCACAUUCUGUCGACAGUAGCAACAUAAUAUGUAGUGAAGGGUUUUCUGGUAAAAUUGUAGUGACAAAUGGCAUGUGCACAUUAAAUUGUCCUAAUUUGUUAAUUUUUGUCCUUAACUGUAUAAGAUAAUGCGUAAAGGAUGUAUUUGUAAAGCGAAAUUUGGUUAGUAACUAAUAUGUAGUUUACUAAAAAAUAAAAAAUAAAAAAUAAAAAAUAGGGUUAGAGUCAGUUAGUGGAAUCGUGAAAAGAACCAAAUACCCUUUGCAGUUUCAAUUUGGGUUAACGCCGUAACAUCAGAAUGCGUUUUAGAUACCCAUGUGAAAACAAAUCCGUGAGAUACCAAUCUGAUAUUUCUAAAACAUGAGAUACCAAAGUUACUAAUAGAUGAAAUAUGGGAUAAUGUUUGUAUUCUUUUCCCUACCCUUUAAAUUUAAUAAAAAUACAAAAAUGCACGGAAUUGUGUUUGUCUCUUUUUCUAUUAAUUGAUGAAAAACAAAUGCAACAACUGAAAACUUAGAAUAAGUUGACACUUCGAGUAUGAUAUUGGACCAAAAGUAUGUGUCAAAUGUCCAAAACUAGUAAUAACAUAAAAAUAAGAGUCGAUAUAUAUAUAUAUAUAUAUAGGAAUAUUGUAUUAAGGUCGCACUUAUUUCGGUUUCAAUGUUAUUAGGAUUUUGUUUUCUUGGUAUGUUUGUAUGGUUUUAGUCGUCUGUCUUUAUGGGUGCGUGGUGUAAAAUUUCAGCUUUGGGCCCCCACCCAUUAAACCGAAACCGAUGGUCAAAGCUCAAGAUGAACAACAUCAAGAUAAAGUAAACGACGUGAAACAUGAUCGUUCAUGGAGAACGUGCUCCUCCCAUUACGACGUGAAGUGAGGUCGAACUUAUCGAAGGUCUAUAAAUUCAUUCACUUAUGGAGAAGAAGGAAGAGAAAUAAUCAUGGGUAACAACGGUAACAUGUAUCAAACCAAUGUUUUUUAUUGUACAUGCUUAAAUCGAAAUUGACUAGGGCAUCGUAUUGUGUUUUUGUUUUGCAGGUACCUUCUCCCCAUAAUCGAUGACGAGAUGAAUGCGUCAAAGGCUUCUCGAGUAUCACAUGAGAGUGAUUUAUAUUGGGUAAUCUCUCUCCCAAAUUUUUUUUGCACCAGCACUCCUCUAUGAGCGAGUGUGUAAACUCGCGUUUAUAUCUUUACAUCAACUGAUAAACUGGUCACAAGCAGAUUCUAAUUUCUUGUAGAUUGUUUCUUUUUUAUAAGGUUCCUUUUAUAAUCCCUUAAGACCUUAUCACAUUGUUCGGAGGCCCAAAGCUGUUUUAAUCGGGGGAAAAAGCCCCAAAGCUGUAUGGAAAACCAAUAAGAUCCAAAAUGCUUCUUUGUUUACACAUUUCAGUGUUCAUCUUCUCACUUGGCUGCUUCGGCAAAAAGCACUUUCGUCCAAUUCCACAAAAUAGACAAAACAAAAAAUAAUGAGGAAGAAUUCGUACUAAUGAACUAAUCAAUCAGAUAAUAGAGAUAGCUCAGUGUGUGAGAUCUUCAAUAUAACGCCCAAAACAACUUGGUCCUUUAAUUUGCCUUAUGUUAAUACUUUUGUCUUGCUCUGAUUGUAAUCUUUCUUCUCUGUGAAAUUCCUGUCCUAGUCAAUUCCUGGUUAAUCACUUGCUUACUGCUACUUGUUCUUCUUCUUCUGCUACUUGUUGUGUCCAAGCUUUCUGCAUCAGAUGACUUCACCUCUGACGUAUACGCUUAGUUAGGUUUCUGGGAUGAUUGGAGAUGGAAUUCGUGGACACCAAGCAACUUAAGCAAAUUAGUCAGAACACCUUAAGGAGAAAAAUUACAACAUAUGCAUGUUGCCGGAAAUAACACCAGUCAUAUUAUUUGACUUGUCUUUUAAUUUUGACGUGGGAGGUCACAUGAUAACAUUAGAUAACAUAUUUCGCACGUGCGAUAUAUUUGUGUGGUUCAAUGACGUUGAUAGUAUCGUUACGGUUUUUUAAUUUGAGUGUCGAAAAAUGUUGGCUUUAUAUUUCUCAUGUCAUCUGAUUGUUGCUUACCAUUUCUCGUAGGUAUGGAUUUUGGUCACUUAAUGAUGCUUCAUUAGUUAGAUUAAUGACAUUCUUAUAAUGAAUUAACAACCAUAUAUUAGAUGUUAUGCAUUCUCUUUGGUCCAUCUUCACAUAUGCUCAUCUAGAUGGUUGGGUGGGGACUUGGUAGGUGUUGUUUAGGGAUCUAGAGUUUGAAGUUGAGAGCUUUCUGUUUUUCUAUAUAUUUAAAUGAAAAAUCAUUACUUUAUAGAGGAAUAAUUCGGCAGGUUGGUUCAAGACAUCAAGAGGAAGUAAAUUGUUAACAAUAAGCAGGUUUCACUGUCAUACAGUCAUACGGUUCUUAUAAAUGAUCUUGGGUGUUCAUUUUCACUUAUGUUUUGUUAACUCUUUUCCUUGUCAAUUAGCAUAUGCCGACCGUAUUUAUUGGUUUUUAUACCGUCAAUGUUCUUGUCCUCAAAUUGAGCUAUGAUCAAGUAGCGUGAGAGAAGUAGAUGACGAAAUUUCAUUCAUUUGAAUAAAAUAAAGAUCUUAUAUAGUAUUUAAGAAUUUGAUGUGACACCGACUUAUUUGAGGUUUGAAUAAAAUGAUUGAUGUUUUCUUUCACCACGUACAUAUGUUGUAGUUUUCUCCUCUUGUUGUACACCAUAGAUAGGGCUUCAACAACAUAAUUAUAAACCUAGGUAGGAUUACUUAACUUCACAUCACUGUCAACUGUCCAUGGAAAAUGCUUCUACAAUUGAAGAUGGAGAAUUCAUAUUGAAUAUGUUCUCUUCCACAACUAGAAUAAUAGAACAUAUUCAUGAGCCAUGUUGCCAAAGGUAUAUAUAUUUCAUGAAUCUAUUUUACCCACUCAAUUGAUUUUAUAUUUAGUUGUAUUCAACUCCGGUUAAAUUCACAUGGUAGAAACUAAAAUAUUUGGAGAUAAAAAAGAAAAAAAAUAUCUAAGGGGUACUAGCAUCGACAUGUACAUUGUCAUCAGUGACACCAUUAGCUCCUUUUAUGCACAAAUUAAGCAAAGUUAAUUGAUAACAGAAGCAUUCAUUUCCACCCGCAAUUCUGCUGGCUGGACCCUUUUGGCUUUCUCAAAUUACACACAAGGACGAAUGUUGGUGGUUUUGUAAUCAAUUUUCUAUAGAAAUUUGUCUGCUUCCGUAUAAAUGAGUGUACGCCGGCGAUCCCUACAUUAGGUGAAGUGCAACGUACUAGGAGAAACUAGUCAAAAUACCCAAUGUAAGAAUAAAUAUCGGAAUACAACAACAUCAAACGAUAGUUGGUACCGACUUUUAUUGAGUUGUUGGACUAUUAUUUUACAACGAUUAUUAUCUACUUGCUUCAAAUGAUUUAGCGAAACAACGAGGAUAUAACAACAAAUCUAUUAGUGUGAUAUAAGAUUUAUGCAUUACUUGAGGUCUUAUACAAACAUUCUUACGCAAAGACUAUUCACUUUUGCCUCACAAGUGUUUUGCUUGUAUAGUGGUUCGUCGUAACUUCACGUUACUUAAUUGACUUGUACAUACUGUUAAUAUGACCAAAACAAAAAUUAGUUAUCUAUAAUUAAGUGAAGUUAAAUACACAUUUAAAUGUCCAAAAAACUCCAAAGGAAACAUGAGUUGGCCUAAACCAGAUCACUCAUGAUUAUUUGCUCAUAGUAGCAGGUGAAUGAAGUGCUAGAGAAUAGAGAUGUUUAUGUUCUCGCGGAAGCAUGAAGUUGAAGGCGAUUCAAGCUUAAUCAUGUAUUAAGUCUUUAUCAAAGAUAUAGAUCAAGACUCAAGAAAUUAAAGAGCAUUUUCUUCUCCAAUUUUCUUAUCGAUGCUUUCACUUCUUACAGUCAUGAUCUUUCUAAAAUCUUUUUACCUUCAAGAGGUGGCUCAAUUAUUUGACAAAUGCUUGCUUUUCCGUUACCAUAUAUUGAUAAGUUUAGUUUUGCUGACAUUCGUUGUAUAUUUUUUUUCUUCUUUUUUUAGAAAAACAUAUGUCGAUGUAAGUUGAAUAGACCUCUCCUUGUCCAAUGAUUUUAGAAUGUAUGAAAUUAUUCACGUACUCACCUCCGAUAGAAAAAAAAAAAAAAAAAUUUAAAACAGUCCCUUUUGGUUUUUUGUUUUUUUUUCGGUUAUAAACAUUACCACCUCCACGCGCUCGAUACCUUUCCACUUCACCACUCUCCACUUUGAUGCCUCUUCAACUCCCAUCUAAACAAGACGUCUCAAAACUCUCCUACUUAUUUGGAUAUUUUGUACUCGGUGGCGCUGUAGGUCAUCACUGCACCAAAUAGUGACAGCGCGUGAAACCCACGCGCAUUAACGGCGGAGGAGCAUGAUCUAGACAACUGAUCGAGGUGGGUAAGAGGCAAAACCUUAAUAAGGGAAAGAAAACAAAAUUUGACCAAAAAUAAAAAAGUUAAUGUUAACACCUUAUUUAUUUUCUUAUCAACAUAUUUUAAUUUUAUUUAUAAAUUACCGUUGAAAUUUGUUUCAUGAUUAGUUCUUAUUAUAAAUAAAGUGUGUUAAUAAUAUAAAAUAAUGUGUUAAUAACACUUACUAGCCAAAUAAAAAUAAAAAGGAAACAAAUAAAUGGUAAUAAUGGUAGUAAUGGUCAAAUGGUCAAAAUGGUUCAAUAUAGAAGAGACAAAUAAAUCCUGUGUCAUCUUUCUCUGUAUCUCACUCUCAAAUGCAGACUCUCACAGAUUAGUUGCUUGCAAUUCCUCCACGUCUUUUCGCUCACGCCAUUUGGUUCUCGUCCAAGAACCAAGACUACUACAACUCUUGUAUAAAUAAAUAUAUAUUACAUAUAUAUAUAGAGCUUAGCCAUAACACUUGCUUUGCUCUUCAAUCACAAAUCUCUAUCUGGGUUUCAUUGCAGAACCAACCAGUGCUCAUCUAGAGGGAGGCCAAGUGCCACAGAAUCCAUUUUCAACCCAAGUAAGGUUCAACCACAUAAAGAAAAACCCUUUCACGGGGUCUUCUACUGUUCAAUGGCUAUUCAUAAAUUCUUCAUAUAGUCUGGUGCAGUUUUCAUCUUCCUUCUUCUCUCUCGCACACAGUAAAAACCUUCUUUUCCUUCUUGGGUUUUUUUUUAUUGCUUUGUCUGUGGAUGUGAAUCUUUCAUUUCUUUAAUCGCUCCUGCAAAUCCUGCCCUGCAAUCAUAUCCCUUCUUGGAAAUAGUAAUUUUGUUGGGUACUGUUGGUCUUUGGCAUCAAAGUUGAAUUAUUGCAGUGAAUCUUUUCAAAAAACUACUUUAUUCAAUCAUCAUUUACCAUCCUUUAUUCCUGUUCUGUUCUCUCUGUUUUCUUUAUUGUUUCUUGUCAAACAAGAACGGUGGUAAUUUUCCAAAUCCACCCAGUCACGAAAACUCAGUUGUUUUCCCUUCGUCAAUUUCCUCCUAUAGAAGAAAGUUCAAAAAUGAUUAAUAGUUUUUUGGUCAAAUGUGACUCCUCACAAGUCUUCCUUCAUGAUUUUCCUCAUGAUUUCCUAGUAGUUACUCUCACCGCAAACGUCUUCCAAUUUGGUUGCUGUUAUCAGACCACGUGUCACUGAAUUUCUGCUUGAUUUUUCAGGUGUGUGAUAUAAGAAGAAGACGAUGAUGACAGAUUAACCACAAAAAGAGAGUGCAGCUUUGGCCUCUGCAAAACAAUGGCGUCCGCGUCGUGGAUCACGUCCACCUCGUGUUCCUCCUCCGUGAUUCACUCCCAAGACGACACCUCAUCAUCAGCUCCGGCCAUCUUUCAAUGGCUGAGAUUCGUCUUCCUCUCCCCCUGCCCUCAGCGAGCUCUGUUAUCCUCCAUCAAUCUCUUGUUCCUCCUCACACUCCUCGCUUUCGCAAUCCAAAAGCUCUACUCGAGGCUCACCUCCAGCCGCGGCGGCGCUUCGGAGCUCGACAAGCCGUUGAUAACAAACAGCCGAGCUCACCGUCCCAGCACCACGCUCUGCUUCAAGCUCUCGCUUACCGUGAGCCUUUUCUUGACUCUAUGUUACUCCAUUGUGUGCAUUUUAGCUUUCACGAGACGAAGUAGUAGUACCGAGUCUCUAUGGAAGACCGUGGACGGGUUGUUCUGGCUGGUGCAAGCUGUAACUCAUGGGGUUGUUACAGUGCUGGUGGCGCAUGAGAAGAGAUUCGAAGCUGUGAAGCACCCGCUUUCGCUUCGGAUUUACUGGCUGGCUAAUUUCGUUGCGGUUUCUCUGUUUACAGCUUCUGGUGUGAUUCGUUUGGUUCAUAAUGAAGGCAGUAUGAGAUUGGAUGAUGUGGUUUCCUUUGUGUCUUUGCCGUUAUCUGUUGUUCUUGCUGUUGUUGCGGUUAGAGGAUCCACUGGGAUUCGAGUGAUGAUUAACGGAGAAGAGUCUAACGGAGUGUAUGAGCCGUUACUGAGCAAGUCCAAUGUGACUGGUUUCGCUUCAGCUUCGUUCAUUAGUAAGACGUUUUGGAUUUGGAUGAAUCCUCUGCUCCGUAAAGGGUACAAGUCCCCUUUGAAAGUUGAUGAAGUUCCGACGCUUGCGCCGGAGCACAGAGCCGAGAGAAUGUCGCUCAUUUUCGAAUCCAACUGGCCUAAACCGGAGGAGAAGUCGGAGCAUCCGGUUCGAACCACAUUGCUGCGGUGCUUCUGGAAAGAGAUUGCUUUCACUGCUUUUCUUGCGGUGAUCAGGCUGUGUGUCAUGUAUGUAGGUCCUGUGCUGAUCCAGAGCUUUGUGGAUUUCACUGCUGGGAAAAGAAGCUCGCCGUUUGAGGGCUACUAUUUGGUGUUGAUUCUUCUGUGUGCGAAGUUCGUCGAGGUGUUGUGCACUCACCAGUUUAACUUCAACUCACAGAAGCUGGGGAUGCUCAUAAGAUCAACUCUCAUUACUUCUUUGUACAAGAAGGGCCUGAGGCUGACCUGCUCGGCGCGGCAGGCUCAUGGUGUUGGACAGAUUGUGAAUUACAUGGCUGUCGAUGCGCAGCAGCUAUCGGACAUGAUGCUGCAGCUUCAUGCCAUAUGGAUGAUGCCAGUGCAGCUCAUCAUUGCUUUAGUCCUGCUGUACAACAACCUCGGAGCAGCGGUGAUCACAGCAAUGAUAGGGAUCAUUGGUGUGCUUGUGUUUGUGGUGUUUGGGACGAGGAGGAACAAUAGGUUUCAGUUCAAUCUGAUGAAGCAAAGGGACUCGAGGAUGAAGGCCACGAAUGAGAUGCUUAAUUACAUGAGGGUCAUCAAGUUCCAGGCGUGGGAGGAACACUUCAACAAGAGGAUUCAGACUUUUCGUGAAUCUGAGUUUAGCUGGCUGACCAAGUUUAUGUACUCCAUCUCGGCUAAUGUUGUGCUCAUGUGGUGCACACCCUUACUUAUAUCAACUGUCACAUUCGCCACUGCCUUGUUUUUGGGUGUCAAACUUGAUGCUGGGACGGUGUUCACUACCACAACCAUUUUCAAAAUUCUGCAGGAGCCUAUUAGGACUUUCCCACAAUCUAUGAUUUCGAUUUCUCAAGCUAUGAUCUCGCUUGGGAGGUUGGACCGGUAUAUGAGUAGUAGGGAGCUGGUGGAGGGUUCGGUUGAGAGAGAAGAAGGUUGUGACAGUAGAGUUGCUGUGGAGGUUAAGGAUGGUGCAUUUAGCUGGGAUGAUGAAAGCAAUGAAGCGGUAUUGAAGAAUAUAAACUUGACUGUCAACAAAGGCGAGCUAACUGCGAUUGUUGGGACAGUAGGAUCUGGAAAGUCUUCCCUGCUGGCCUCAAUCCUUGGUGAGAUGCACAAAUUGUCUGGAAAGGUAUGCAUCUCUGAAUAGUUUUAGAAAUGUCUUUAAAUUAAAUUUAAAUUUAAUCAAGUACUUGUUGAACUAAGAAGCAUUCAUCAUGACAGGUAAAAGUUUGCGGGACAACUGCUUAUGUGGCUCAAACAUCAUGGAUUCAGAAUGGGACAAUUGAAGAAAACAUCCUAUUUGGUUCGCCAAUGGACAGAGCGAGAUACCAGGAAGUUAUGAGGGUCUGUUGCUUGGAGAAAGACAUGGAAAUGAUGGAGUAUGGAGAUCAAACCGAGAUAGGAGAGCGUGGCAUCAACCUAAGUGGUGGACAGAAACAAAGGAUACAGCUUGCCAGGGCAGUAUACCAGGACUGUGAUAUAUAUCUUCUUGAUGAUGUCUUCAGUGCUGUUGAUGCUCAUACCGGAUCAGAAAUAUUCAAGGUAACAUUAUUAGAGAUAUUCAUCUACAUUUGUUCUGAACUGGUUCUUUGAUCUCAUCAUUAUCAUGUAAAUGCUUUUCUUUUGCAGGAAUGUGUGCGGGGAGCACUUAAGAACAAGACCAUUUUACUAGUAACCCAUCAAGUUGACUUCUUGCAUAAUGUUGAUCUUAUAGUGGUAGGUAGUCAGAACAUUCUUUCUCAUUUCAUUGCCUGUUUAACUGCUUGAAGAAACUAUAAUGUAUAUAUACAUGUAUGAUGCAUCAGGUCAUGAGAGAGGGAAUGAUAGUACAAGCAGGAAAGUACAACGAUUUGCUAAGCCUCGAUUUCAAAGCACUUGUAGUUGCGCAUGAAAGCUCCAUGGAGCUUGUAGAAAUGGGCACAGCUAUGCCUGGUGAAAGUACUUCUCCCAAACCACAGAUAUCUCGGCAGUCCUCUUCAAAACAUGGAGAAGCGAAUGGUGAAAACAACUCUCAGCUGGAUGAACCCAAGUCCAAAGAUGGAACAUCUAAGCUCAUCAAAGAAGAGGAGAAAGAAUCAGGCAAAGUCAGCUUGCAGAAUUACAAAAUUUAUUGCACAGAGGCUUUUGGAUGGUGGGGUGUGGUUCUAGUGUUGUCUCUCUCUCUUGUGUGGCAAGGAUCACUUAUGGCUGGUGAUUAUUGGCUGGCCUAUGAAACUUCUGCAAAGCGAGCAGCAUCAUUUGACCCUUCUGUGUUCAUUACUGUCUAUGCUAUUAUCGCAGUUGUUUCAUUCUUCCUGGUAUUGGUGAGAGCAUUUACUGUGACAAUUGUGGGACUUACAACAGCUCAAAUUUUCUUCAAGCAAAUUCUUCACAGCAUCCUUCAUGCCCCCAUGUCAUUCUUUGAUACUACACCUUCUGGAAGAAUUCUGAGUAGGGUAAGAACUCAUGCAUAUUCUCUUUUAAUCCAAAUUCAUGAUUUAUUGUCUUACUCAUUUAUGGAUUUAUUCUAUACCAGGCAUCAACUGAUCAGACGAAUAUCGACUUAUUCCUUCCCUUCAUGUUGGGCGUUACCAUUGCCAUGUAUAUCACUGUGCUCAGUAUCUUCAUCGUCGUAUGUCAAAACUCGUGGCCAACAAUUUUCUUACUGAUACCACUUCUUUGGCUUAAUAUAUGGUACCGGGUAUGUUCAUUCAUCUUAUCCUCUUGUUAGCAUCAUCAGUGUAAGAACAACACAAUAUGAAGAUAUAAGUGGAUGCAAAAAUGUCAAACUAGAUGGCAAAACUUUUUAUACUGAUAAAAACAUCUGUCAGUUGUGGUAUGGUCUCAAAUAUAUACUGAUUACUCCUGUGAUGUUCUGAUUUUAGGGUUACUAUCUUGCAUCAUCUCGUGAAUUAACCCGACUUGAUUCAAUCACGAAGGCGCCUGUUAUCCAUCAUUUCUCAGAAAGCAUAUCUGGGGUUAUGACAAUCCGAUCCUUCAGAAACCAGAACAAGUUUACCAAGGAAAAUGUUAGAAGAGUGAAUGCCAAUUUGCGUAUGGAUUUCCACAAUAAUGGCUCCAAUGAGUGGUUGGGAUUUCGUCUAGAACUUCUUGGGAGCUUAAUUCUCUGCAUUUCCACUUUGUUCAUGAUCUUGCUGCCAAGCAGUAUAGUAAAGCCUGGUACCUAAAUCUUCCUUUUGUUUUUCUUGUGCCAAAACUUGAUAAGAUUUGCCAGAUGAAGUACUUGUUUUGACAUAGCUUCUUAUUUCCAUAUGAUGUAGAGAAUAUUGGCUUAUCACUCUCCUAUGGAUUGUCCCUCAAUGGUGUACUAUUUUGGGCCAUAUAUAUGAGCUGCUUCGUUGAAAAUAGGAUGGUGUCAGUUGAGAGGAUAAAGCAGUUCUGUAACAUUCCAUCAGAAGCAGCAUGGAAGAUAGUAGAUCGUGUCCCUCCUAUGAAUUGGCCAACUCAUGGAAACGUUGAGCUGAAAGACUUGCAGGUAAAAGAACAUUCACUUCUUUAAAUAGGCAAAUAAGUGGUUUUGACAAAUGCAUUACUUUGUCUCAAGCUAAACUGGCUUCCUAGAGUAGUUUGUUCCAUUGUGAUGAUGUUUCAAUUUUGUGGUGAGCAGGUCAGAUAUCGUCCGAAUACUCCCUUGGUUCUGAAAGGCAUUAGUCUGAGCAUUAAUGGGGGUGAGAAGGUUGGUGUUGUUGGUCGAACUGGGAGUGGGAAAUCCACUUUAAUCCAGGUGUUCUUUAGGCUGGUGGAACCUUCAGCGGGAAAAAUUAUCAUUGAUGGCAUUGACAUAUGCACAAUAGGGCUUCAUGAUCUCCGGUCUAGCUUUGGGAUCAUUCCUCAAGAACCUGUCCUUUUCGAAGGCACUGUGAGAAGCAACAUUGAUCCAAUCGGGGUGUAUUCAGAUGAAGAGAUUUGGAAGGUAACUUGACGAAAGCUGUGUGCUUGUUAUUUCAUCAUCACUCUUUUAUUGAGUGCUUAUUUGGCAUCAAUGUUAUGUUUCCUCACAGAGCUUGGAGCGGUGCCAACUUAAAGAUGUUGUUGCUGCAAAAACUGAAAAACUCAAUGCUUUAGGUAUGUGACUCUCACCUAACAAAUUAUCCUAGCAUUGGUGGUAUUAGGUACUGAACAUUUCCAUUGAAUUAAACUCAAACAGUGGCUGAUGAUGGAGAUAACUGGAGCGUGGGGCAAAGACAGCUUCUCUGUUUGGGACGAGUUAUGUUAAAGCGCAGCAGGCUGUUGUUCAUGGAUGAGGCCACGGCUUCAGUUGAUUCACAGACGGAUGCUGCGAUACAAAAGAUCAUCAGAGAGGACUUUGCUGCAUGUACAAUCAUCAGCAUUGCUCACAGAAUACCAACAGUGAUGGACUGCAAUAGAGUGUUAGUAGUAGAUGCAGGUGAGUUUGAUAAUCAGUGUCAUGCUUGGCUUUGCUUUACAAUGAAUUUUCUAAGUCCAAAGUUUCUAAUUAAUUCAUGUGUUUCUGUUAUUUUAACAGGGAGGGCUAAAGAGUUUGACUCUCCAUCACACCUGCUCGAGAGGCGGUCGCUGUUUGGGGCAUUGGUUCAGGAGUAUGCCAACCGCUCAGAAGGAAUUUAAGCAACAAGUAACUGUGCAUUUCCCGGUUUUUCUAUCGCUGAUUCAGGCGGUUGCAUUGAUGCUAAUCUUUGGCAAGUUUUCAACAUCACUGCCUGAAUUGCUGCUGGAAGAAUAACAUUAUUCGUUGACAUAUCAACAUAAAGAAGAAAGUUCAAGUGAAGCCUACCUUAGACUUGUAGCUUACUAGCCAAGUGAAAUUCAGUAGUGUAUUUUGAGUAGAAUGCAUUGAGAUCCUUAGAAAAAAAUCAUAAUCGUGUGCUGGAAUUAUGAAUCAAAUGCUUCUAGGUAAAUGACAAGGACAUCUCAGUUGUAGUAGUGUCCUGAACCUGAAAUUAAUGGAUGCAGUCUUUUGUUCUACCCAACUGGAUUUCUGUCUGCUUCCUUUUAGUACAUGACUUCCAAGUGGUUUUUGUUAACAGUUAAUUAUAAUUUGUAAAAGAUAAUAAAUAAUUGAGGUAACAACUUUGGCUUUUUCUUGACUGUGCAAGUGUAAACCCUAAACCCUAUUGAAUGAAUUUUGAAAAAAAAAAAAAAAANAAAAAAAAACAUCAGCCUUUCUUUGGAUUAAAAUUAAGGAAAAAGAUAUCCCACUAAACAAGAAGUAUAAAUUUGGGUUUUGGCUAAAGAAGGACAAGAAUGCUAAAGUAAUUACAGGUAACUCAUUUCAUAUUGCAUUACAGAUGUAAAUGUGGAAGUAGGUUAAAGAAUUUUAAUAAUUUGUUGUUAUCAUUAUCUUAAAAGAGGUAACACAUUUCAUAUUGCAAUUUGGAGAAAAAUUUCUAUUUCAUUCGAAACAAUUGAUAUAUGAGAUGUAACUUGAGGAAGUUUAGUAUCACACUUGUAUAUGAUAGAUCUCUAACAGUAUGUUAGAUGUGGGUGAAUUCCCGAGAAUUUAAUCAAAAAUAAGGAAUUCCUAAUUUCUCAGGACUGUUUCUCCCGUUUGGAUUCUUAUCCCGUUAAAUUAGCAAUUUCUACGGGAAAAUAAUCGUGGAAUUUGGGAGCUUAAAUUCCCGACUUGAACUCCUCACAAAAUAGGUGUCAUUUGUCAAUUCCUUUAACUGAGGUUAGUCUAAAUACAAAUUCUUGUAAUGAGUAAUGCUAAUAAUUAAAAAAUGCCUAGAGAGCUCGCUCUGCUAGGGUUGGGAGUGCGCCGCCUCCGGCCUCUCUGCACCCUCCUCCUUCAUCGGUGGAGAACUGUCUCGACAUCGCAGUCAGUGCCGAUUACAUCUAGGACAGCUUUUGUUGUGCCAAAACUCUGGUCGUGGGUAACUUAUUGGCCUGUGGUCACUUCCUCCAUUCAGAUCAAACGGAGAGAGGAAGAGGUUGGGGGUGGUACACGACCAUGGUGGUGGGAAUCAAGCUUGGUGAUGGUAAGAGAGACUAGUCUGAUAAGGCCACAAAGGGCUCGUUUGAAAGAUGGUGUGUUUUUAGGGCUAGUCGGGAUUGGUGGUUGCGGUUCUAGGCUCCGUCUGGUGGAUGUGCAACGACGAAUUUGGUUGUUGGGGAACAUAUUCAUUUUGGUGGUCGAGUUGGGUCGUGGUUCGAUCCAAAAGUUUGGUGGUGAGCAGUUGUCUGGAAGAGAUGUGCAGCAUGGUAGACUUCGGCAAAGGUUGGGAAGUUGCUCAGGCAGUGAUGCGGCAUUCCAACUCCAUAAGACGACGGCGUUUCGACUGGAACCUAGGUCGGGGCGGAUCUAGGCUCAGCUGUGUAUGCUGGGUCGGAUCUGGAUCCGGGCUUGGGGUAAGGUUUGGGUCUGGGACCCGGGUGGGUUUUGUGGGCUUUGGGCUUGCAAUUCAAUUUCUUUUUGCUCUUGGAAAUACUGCAAGUGUUUUUGGUUUUGGCCUCUACACUGGUUUUACUAUUGGUUGAUGGACCCACAGCUUUGGUACUUGUUUGUUAAGGAUCGUCUACCAUCACGGUCAUGUCUGAAAUCACCCUUGACCGGCUUCGAUUCCUCAGGUGGAAGAUUACUCUCAGCCUGGUGCCGAAGUGAUUUUUAUCAUUUUGAGCAUUGGAUUUGCAUGGGUAGUCAAAUCAUCGACUACUCAUUUCGCUCAACGGUUGCAAUUCGUGAGUGUAACACUGAGUCUAAGUGUUAUUGUUUAGUGCUGACACUCGUUAUUUGUAGAUGUUUUUCGUAUUUCUCUCGAUGUAUUUUUACAUCGUCUCUAUGUAAUUUUUUGAUUAUAAUAAAGUGUUGACCUUUUCUGUUAAAAAAAAAAUACAAAUUCUUGUCAUUUAUAAACUUUAGAUUAUGAAAUUCAAAUUAUGAAAUUCUCAAUUAAUAGAAUUUAAAUUUAUAAAAAAUUAGUUGUUGUAUUUACGUUGUGACGUUGUGUUUAGAUAAAAUAAUUUCAAUUUCUAUAGAAAUUUUAAAAUCAUAAAAAUCUAAACAAUAAAAUUCUUAAUUAAAUACUAUAACUAAUUUUUCAUGAAUCGAACUCACAAGAUUAUUACAUGUUAUACCACUUACCCUUCAGCAUUUCUUAAUAAAACCUCAUAAAUAAAUAGGGAGAGAUGGCGUGAAACGCAGCGUUUAGAGGAAAUAAAAAGAGAAAUUUUGAUAAAAAGACACAGCGUCGUCUCUACUCUAAAACCCCAAAACACAUAAACCCUAAAUCAAUCCUCUGCCGCCAAACGCAGAGAUGGGAGGUUCAAGAAGAAAGUACAAGCGAUCUCGGACCAAGGUGCGGGUGGCGCUGCCGAAGCGUAAGCCCAACGUCUUCAAGCCGGCCUUCUGUCUCCCUCCGAAGCUCCGGGCCUUGAUCGACCAAGCAGACCCUGCCUCUCGCCCUAAGUGGGACCCCGAAGGCACCGUCAUCCAAAACUACAAGUCGUUCGGCGUCCUCUCCAACCCUAACUCUCUCCAGGUCACUCCUGAUCAGCCUGACCCCGCCGAGCUCGUAGACCCCAACGACGACGGUAGUGAUCUCGAAGAGGACGGUUAGUUCCAAUCUCUCUCUGUUUGUUUGUUCGGAAUUUUCAAUUUGUGAAUUUUAAUUUUAAGGAGUUUGGAAUGGUGUGACUGAAUAUGAUAUGACACAUAGUUUCGAUAGUGAAAUGUUCGAAUUGGUUUGUUUUAGAGGUGUUGUUCAGUUUGAAUUUGGGUUUAGAGCUAGACCCUCAUUUCUUACAGUUGUUUGUCUUGGAUUAUUGCCUAUUCAGCGGUGUCGACAAGUAUUAACAGAAAAUAAGAAUGUGGAGACUGUAAUGUGAAGCUAGAUUCUUCUGUAAAAUUGCGUUCGUUUUAGCUUCUGAUCCAUUUCUGUAAGUAGGUUCAUGCCGAAAAUGUGAUUACUUAAUUGAUUGGACGUAUCUAUUAGCUCAAAACUGUAGCUAUGGUGAGGACAUCUUUGAUUUAAGACAUAUAUUGAGUGGUAAAUUUCUAGUAGGUGAGGGUGCUAUUUCACUGAUGUAUAAAGAAUCUUAGCAUAUAAAAAUGUGAUGGCUUGUCUGGAUUCCAGGAACAAAAGUUAUCUGCAUUCUGCCCUUAUAGACUGCUGCACUUGUUUGAUAAGGGUUUACCAUUACUCUAAAGUCUCUGCUCAUGUAUCGCAUAUGUUUGGAACUUGGCCUUUUCUAUGCUUCUCUUUCUAAGUUGCGAAACUGAUGGUUGGUACUUUGGACUACAUUCAGAUUUAAAAACUACUCUGGGAAAGAAACGGAGAGAUGGGAGACCUGCUUCGUUACUACCGUUAACCACCAUCCAACGUGUUCAUGUCAGUCGGCUUAUUGAGAAAUAUGGAGAUGACUAUCAGGUGAAAUACAAGAUUUCAUUUUGUUUGUGAAGCUUAAGUUGUGAAAUUGUUUAAUUUCUCAUUAUCUUUGACUUUUGCAUUUGCAGAGAAUGUUCAUGGAUACAAAACUAAAUGCAAUGCAGCAUUCUGUUGCAACUUUGGAGAAGUUAUGCAGAAGGUAUCAUAUGUAUAAAGAUCGAAAUCCCUUGAUAUUGACCCGUUGAGAAAGGUUCUGUUUUGUAUGGUGAUGUUGGUAGUCAUGUUUUGUAUGAUGAUGCUGGUAGUCAUGUGAACCCAAGAUAAUUUAUCCUUUUCAAUGCGUAUGCUACAUUUCUACUCACUCAUAUAAAGACUUUGGUUGAUUAUUGUUGUUCUUUGUUUAUUUACAUUUAAAUAGAAUAUAUACUAGUAUUUCAAAAUCCUCUAGGGGAGGCGCAUGGUAGCCGGAGAUGGAUAACUUUUGAAAGUGUUGAGUAUCUCGGUCAUUGAAAACUAGUAUUCUGUGGAGGUGUAGCCAACUGGGUGGCACCCCGAUAUGUUCACGUUUUGGACUUUGGAGUUACCCAAUUGAGUAGAACAAGCUGUAAUUCUAAUGUCUUUUGUAAGACUGUUGAAGCUUAUGUGAAUCAGCUCAUGCAUCUUUGUAUCGACUUGUGCCCCUUGAUGUAAACGGUACGCACGCUAAUGAAUUAUGUAGUGUUAUUGUUAAAAUGAUUUUUUUUGUUAACUCACACCGUCUAUUUUCAUAUCCACACAUUUUUAUUUUGUUUACAAACUGAAUUUGAUUUAUGAUUGGUUCUCACUGUAUAAGGGGUGUGUUAAUAUAAAAAAGAGGUGUGUUAAUAACACCAUCCUAAAACAAAAUAUGCAUUGAAACAAAUAUAUGACUUUGACAACAUGACAUUGCAAUAUUUAGAGAAUUAGACAAAUUAAAAUCGACAUUAUAUUCGAUGAACACAUUUGUCACAUUUUUCAUUUAUAAAAUACGAAUCACGACAUUGAACUUAUUAUGUGAGAGAUUAUCUUUUAAUCAUAAUCUACCUAGCUAUGGCACAUCUGGAUCUCGUAUUACACUAUCAUUGUGUACUGUUUCUUAUUAGUUCCAUUAGUUCCAUCUAAUAUCUUAAAUCAUAUAACUUGUUUUAGAAUAAUUAAUCAUGUAAUAAAUUUGACCAUAUGCAAUCAUGAAACUCAUACUCACCUCAACUUCUUAGCUUCAGUAUUCCAAGUGGAAAUUAGCAUUCGUCCUAUUUCCAGAAUUCCAGUUAUAUAUAUCCGGCUCUCAUGGAUCAUGCGAAAUCAUGUACGCUGUAUUAUUCUCCUGUACAACAGGAAAUGCAAAAGGAAUGAAAUAUAAAAGUUAACUUCAUUCUUUUUAUUUUUACCUUUCACAAUUUUCAUUAUUCUGCAAUGUUAUUGAUCUGCUUCGUUCCUAAGUCUAAUAGGAGUCCAAUUUCUGCACAAACAAGAGUUCGAUCUCAUCCGGGUUUAAAAAUUCUCCAUAUACACUGAAAUCCCUCUUUAGUCGACCUUUGAACUUCACCUGUUCCUUUUGUUAACCCUAAACGAUCACCAAUUGACAACCAUGUUUUCUUUCUUGUCAAAGACGGUAACCAUGGUUAAGGAAGCAGUCACUUCAAAUGAGUAUCUGGUGACCACCGGUGCCGGAGCUCACGAUGACAUGCAGAUCCAAAAGAAGACCAGUGUUUUCCGUGGCUUGUAUAUCUCCUACAUGCUCAUCGACCUCUCCCCUGUCAACUACAACUUCCAAGUCCAUGCCUUGAGCAUCGAGAACCAUCCAUUCACCAUUACAACCAACUUCACAAUCGGCCCUCGCGCCAACGAUGUGGACGCCAUCAGGAAGUACGCCGUGCUGCUCACUUCCCUCGACAACCAGUCCCUCCAAGUAAGCACUGUAAGGGAGUUCAUCGAAUCUAUCAUCCAGCAGUGGACUCUUGCUCUUGCCUCCUUAAUGACCAUGGAACAGGUUUUGACCCCAGAAUUCAUAAUGCAGACUGUUCGAAACAACAUUGAGCUGUUUUUAUAUCCCUACGGGAUCAAGGUUUACAAUGUCGAUGAUUUGGGAGACUUUGAGGGACAUGAGGAGCAGGGGGAAGAGAUUGCUGCUUUGAAUGAGGAUGUGCAACCCUACGACGAAAUAGAAAUUGAUUAUUAUGAUGUGUAGAGACUAAAUCGUAUGUUAUUUUCUUGUGUUAAUUUGUAGCUGAUCUGUGCCCCUCGGCAUCUUUAAGGACAAUCUAGUUCCGAACGAGUACAAAGUUGCAUAAUGUAUGAACGGUUAACAAAUCAAUUUCACUUCGAAAUAGUUGGUGGGUCAUGGCUUGAUCACUGAUAACUUUGAGGUUAUAGGUUCAAACCUCACGAAUAGGUUAAAGUUUUUUUAUUUUUUUUUUUAAUAAAAAAAAUUCACCUCGAAACACAAUUUCUAAACCAUAACCAUAAAUUCGAUAUCAUACCUCCGAGAAUGGUAGCUUCUAUUGCAAGUUACACAGACAUAGCUAGACAGUCAUCUAAAAUCUGUACUUAAAUCUGGCCCUGAGAGGCUGAGAUAAAUCGGUUGAGACGAAAUCAUCUCAUUCCUAAUAAUCCUUGUACCAAUGGAACGUUUUGGGGUGUGAGAGGUUCCCACAACAAGGACAUCCAUUGAUUGCGGACACUACUUGUGUACACCAUAGACUAAUAGUAUGAGGAUGAGAGCAACAAAAGCAACCAUUGUUGCAGCUUAAACAAACACAACAUUACAAACACUUCCAAAUGAACCGAAGACUUGAUGAAUAGUUGAGGUACCAAGGAGUUGAAAGAUUUCACUCCCUAGCCUUGAAAUUGGUAGAUGAUCACCUCAGAGCUUAUAAAUAACAUAGUAGCAUAACCAAUAACCAAUAUGAAGCUGAAAGAAAGUUCAAAUCUAAGUAACCAUCUCAUGAUUCCAGAUGAAGUAUGCACUAAGGGACGCUUGGAUCAGAAGCUACCUUCCUUCUGCACCCAUGCAGAAUUGUAAGCAUUUUGCCUUAAAACGUGGCCUAUUGAAGUUCUCAAUCUUAGAGAAAUGCUAAUGGCCCCUAUCGGACUCCAUUUACAGGCUUCAGCUGUUCAGCAUCAUUUGAGAGAAAGGGUGAGCAGAAGUUGACAGAAAACCUUACCAGAGGUUCUCUAUUAACAGAUGCAUCUACCAGAGCCGCUUCAAAAGAACCUGCAUAAGUGCAUGCAUUCGUAUGAAUAAUCCAAAGCAAAAAUUUGAGCCAGAUAGUUAAUUUAUCACCCAGUAGCAGCUUGUUUGCACAGGGGAUUGGACAUUGAAGCUGCUCAUCAAGGACCGCAACAGAAAGGAGCUUCAAUAGAGGGCCAAAAUCAAGCUUCUUGAUAGUCUAACAGUAAAGCAGGCCAGUAUAGUGUUAUUCCGACACAUGAACAAUCCAAUUCCACAUGUUAUGAACAGAAAAAUGGCAGAAGUUUCAGCAACAGGAUCCAACAAAGGCCAUCAUGUUUCAUCAACUAUCAAGAAACUAAAGUAAACAGUUGAUCAAUUCUCAUGUAUUUGCCAGAGGCAGGGCACAAAUAAUCCAAAAUCAUAUGAAAUUAUUAAACCUUUAUCAUAUUAUGUAUGUUUUACACCACCAUGAUAAACGAGCGACUCUUAACAAAUGCUGGUAUUGACAAAAACUGAGUUCCUCCUAUUCCAUCAAGUGUGUAGAGGCCUCAUUCGGGAACUCAUCGUCUCCUUGUUCUUGUGCAACUCAAGUAGCCUCUCAAGGGACACAAGAGACCAAGUCUCUUCUGUUUGAGCAUAUAUCUUUUCUUUUCGAAAGUCCACCAUUAUGCUUACGCUACCAAACCCAUAUACCUGGUGACCAUCAUACAUUCGCCCAGGUUUAGGCCUAAAUAGCAAGCCAUGUUCCUGUGCUUCUGCUUCAAUAACAUCUUUCAGGGUCAUUUGAUGACUAAUGUCAUCCACAUCAGUUGUGCUGCCCAAUUUCGCAUUGGCUAAAAAAGCUACUGCUCUCUUCUUUGCCUCAAAUUGCACUUGAUCAAUCUUACCCUUCUCUUUCAAAUUCAACUCAUGAUCAAUGUCAUCCAUGUUGGUUUGGGCCUCCAAGUUUGUUUGGGUUGCUGGUACUGCUUUAUCCUGCCUUUUUCCAGCUACCCUAGACUUCUCUUCCAAACCAGGUCGGGCAACCUCCAUCUCCUCAACAGCCUGGUUCAUCAUACCAAGACCAAACUCAAGCUGACGACCAAUACUUUCAUUCGCAUAAAACUCUUUAGGGAUAAGUUCCUUCCAAUCCCUAUACCAAUUGGCAACAUCUUCAAACUUUGGAUUGGUUUUCAACCAUAAAUGCAAACCCUCUAUCCACUUUGGGAAGAAACCCUUCACCAUCACAUUGACCAUCAGAUGCAUAGGAAUAGCAGACGCCCACCUCAUGACCCAAUUAAACUGAUCAAGCUUCUGAUUGGCAGGGUUCACUUCAAAAUCUUCUAGUAGCACCAGCUCCAACUUGGGAACUACAUAUCUAAACAUAAGCAACUCCCAAGUGGUAGAAUCAAACACUGCUUUCCACGGUGACGCUAUGUUAUAACCAUACCCAUCACUCGGGUGCCAUGAGCUAAGAAAGUUACACAACUUCAACCUCAUUGUUCCAAACAACUCCUCCAACUCCAAUUGAUACUCAUUUCCCAACUCAAACAGUAAUGGCAGCCAUGGAUGCACCCACAAAUGGAUAGGAACACUUCCCAAGUUUGGUUCCCACAACUGUAUAGAAACCCUCAAUUCAGGCAAGACCACCAUAUCCAAUAUGUCAUGAACAACAGAACCGGGCAGCAACUCCUUCCAGGCCUCCAAAAACGCGAGCAUCGGUUCAGGCUCCUCAGCCUGCCAACUAUUGAGGCCAGUCAUCCUCACUUCAGAUAACACAAUCUCUCUAAUUAACUCGGUAUAAUAACAUUUCUCUUCAUGCAGCAAACCCUUCCAGGCGGACACAAUGUCGAAACCAAGCCAAGGAUUCUGCAGAGGAUCCCAACCCUGAAACAUCUCGUUAAACAAAGGCUUUGCAAAUGAAAACACAAUUCGAGACAAGUCAAGUAACUUACAAUCGUCAGUGUACCUCCUCCGAAUGUCACCAAACUCAUCGGCCAGCGAUUCCAAUGUCAAUUCUCCCAUGUAAUUUGCUUCCUUCAGUCGGUUCAAAACAGCAUUAAUCUCAUUGUCCAAAUUGGAAAGCUCAUCAACAACAACACCCUGUUCUUGUUCCAUCUUCUGGGCCAAGAACUCCGCCAAACAGAAAUCCUUGUGCUGCUUGUUAAUAACGUUCUUCUUCCAAAUUGGCAUGUCAGUCUUGGCGAGUGGAGGCUUUUGGACCUCAACAAAUGCUUCUUGCGAAUUGGGUAGGUCGGUUUUGGUGUCCUUGUAAUCGUGGAAACCCAUGCCUAAAUUCUUUGGCCUCAAUUUGGGUUGAAUGGGGUUGAGCAUUCCCUGUUCGUUCUUGCCAAGACCGCCUCCUUUGUAGCCCAUGUUCUUCAGCAUCUUCAUCCCGAUUCCGGCAGUGAGACCAAGGCCAUCGACGUUGCCGUCUUGCCUCCUGCGUUUUCCGCACUCGUGGUUGUCUUCUGCCAUCAAGGUUUAUUUUUUCAGGUUCAGGGAUUGUUAUGAUCUGGGAAUAUCAACAACGAAAUGUUAUUUAUAGUCGGGAACUGUCAAAGGUCGGUUUAUUUUUUAUUUCCAACGAAAAUUCUAAAUAGAUCUCAAUAAUAAAGCCAGUAGGCUUCUUGACUUUUCUAAUAAUUAGUUUUUGAAAAUUCGAUAUUACCCAUGGUUUAUUCUAUGCAAUAGUAUAAUAUUUUUUAAAUCAAAAGAUAAAACUGAAAUUAUACAUAAAACUGAAAUUAACUAAAAAAAUUGAUAUGUGCGAAAUUGAUAGGCUAGUUAGUUGUUGUGCUUGAAUCGUUUAUUUGAUUAAAAUUUCGUUUCACGUGUCUUAAGCCUAUGAAACUUGUGUACUACAGCCCCAGCAUAGGCUUCUAGCCUCACUAGCGUGCAUCGAGUGCGGUCGGACUAGAUGUCUUUUGUCGCAUUUUUUUAAUUUUAAUUUUUUCUAAAUCAAUUGUUUUUAGAGUUCUCUUUGUAUCUGAUAAUUAUCUCUGAGUCAUAUGGAGUAGGUUUCCUAGUUGUAUAAUAUUUGGGAUUUUCAUACUCUAUUGAUAGUAAAUCAUACAUUCAUUCAAAGUUUCAAACAAGGAGGAAGAAAUGUGCUCAAAAUCGGAGACGAGUUCUUAAAAGGCAAAAUGUUUGAUGAUUUUGCGAAGUAUCCUUCAUUCUUGAAUAUAGGAUAGAGCAUUUGACAAGUCACUACAGUAUCUAAGGGCUUUAGCCGGUACAAGAAUCCCUGACGUUAAACAAGGACAAAAAACCCUCAAUAAUUAUGUUCACCUGAGUUUGAGCUUUGUGUUCUCGGCAAUCUCUGCCCUGAAACUGUUGAUGAAGCCAUUGUUAUGGUGCCAACUUUGAAGGCCAAAGGUCGACAGAUAUAUGAUGAUGAUGCAAUUCAAAACAUGUCGAGUGACCUGGUUCUGAUCACGAAAUUUGAGUAGUGGAUGAUGCAAAAAUUAGAUUAACUCAGAGAGGUUAAGAACUUUAUUGCAAGUAUAUAUGUUCAACUAAGUUGUUACAAACUCAUAUCCUAAACAAUUAACUCUAGAAAUACACAGUACAAUUGCACAAUCAAAAGGGCGCUGAGACUACUGAGAAUGAUAAUCAGCUUACAUGACAGCUUGAUAAGCUGAUGUACUUGCAAGAAGCUAGCUUGGUUUGUUGCCGUUGCUUGAGAGAAAAAGUACAGAUGUUGAGUAAUGCAAAUGGGAUUAACCUUAAGCACCUCAAAACAAUUGAGUUAAAACAGAAUCAAUAAGACUACAGGUGAAGAAGUAAGCAGUACAACAUCCAAAAAACAAGAAGUUUGUGGAUUUUCACAAACUAAGACUAGCUCUAAAAUGAAUUAACAAGAUAAUCAUAUCAAACGCCCAUGAAUAACCGACAUUGUGAUUCCCAGUGCUGCUUUGCUUGCUGAACCCUCUCCACCUUUUCUGUCUGAAUGCGCUGCUCCCAGUAUUCGCGACAGCUGUUGAAAAUUGAACAAUUAGGAUGAUACUUUGCAUUAUAUUUAUGAAGAAUGUUGCACAUAAUGGACUCUGGACAUAAACAUACCUUCUGCUGAUUAAAAAGCUAAGCUCAUCCAGGUGUACAGCACCUUGGUACACUUUUGCCUGAAAUGGAAUACACAAUCACAUUACAAACCAAUAUGUGAUUACAAUUCAAGGCUGUAAACUUUCUAGGAAAUACAUAUUGUGAAAUUGAGGAUAUCCAUUACUGACCUCUCGGCAUAAAGGGCAUUUUUCUUUAGACUCGGCAGCCUUUAACCCAUCCACAAUGGUCACAGAUGCAGCCGAGCAAGCACACAUAUAGCAGAAUAUAUGACCGCAAGUGAGAGCAACUGGAUCAAAAACUGUGUCCUGCAAAUUGAGCACAUUAAUUACUAAGACUUGUCAACAGAGCACAAUUCUGACUGCGUUCCGAGAUAUUCGACCAAAUGCCUCAAAGAGACUGCAAAAGGGGCAACCAAACGAGAAAAGCCACCACCAUACUCACCAAGCAUAUAGAACAAGUCAAGUCAACAAAAAUAUGCAGUCAAGAAUGCAUGAUAUGCAGGACACUCUUAAAACAAAUGUAACCUUGGAAACUCACCAGGCAUAUUGAACAUGUCAAAUCAAUAUCAACCUUGACAGAAUCAAAGAGUUCACAGGUGAGAGUCGGCUUCUCAUCAUUCAUUAUAAGAGAGCAUCCCUCAAACAAGGCCGGUCUCUUUCUCGAUUUGAUAUUCGAUCGCCUUAAAUUGAUGUGGAAAGCCAUAAGCUCGCAGAGCCAAGGACUUUGAAGGAUUUCAAUGUGCAUACUUUGCGCUUGUGACUUAAAGGCCUGCCCUUGCUUCGAGUAAUGAAUCUGUUACCAAAAAUUCAUUGAAACACAUUUAAGCACAACAACAACAACCAAAACAAACCAUGCAUUCAUCCAAACUCGGAUGCUGUAGUUACCUUAUCAUAUUUUUUGAGUAUUUUUCGGAUCGCAAUGGCGUUGAUGAGUGCAUAGGUAACAAGGUCCUUGCCUUCUUGGAUUAAAGCCACAUGGUUUCCUUGAGGCUUGCCUUUGAACAAAAGCAUGUACUUGCGAAACCCAGAAGCCAAAUGGUACUCGAGCAAUUUCUGUGCUUUCUGAUUGAAAAAGCCUACCACAUCAGACAUUUCAUUGAGCAGCGAAGGGAAAAACGAUCCAUCACACACUGCACAACACCAAAUUUUCAAAUCAAAAUCACCACAACAAUUUCGUAACCAUGAAACCAAAACAGACCCAAAAAGAAUUUUAUAAAAUUUACGGAUCAAAGUUAAGGACUCUAAUAUCAGAAAACAGAGACUAUAUUAGAUUCGGGACCUGGGCAAUGGUCAGGGCAUGUUCUGGGGUCAUGUACGGCAAGAUUAUUAAUGUCGUCUUCCGAAUGAAAAUCCUUUCGGCAUUUCUUCAAGAUCUUCUUAAGCUUCUUGAAGCCAACCUCAGGUAGCUUCUUCUCUUGGCCUUGCAUGUACUCCUCGUAUUUCUUGCAGAACUUCAUUUUCUGAUCAUCAAAUAUCUCCUUCAAUUCCCUCUCUUUUUUGAAAACCUCACACAGAAUUCAAACUUUGCUGACAAAAGCUGAGAUGGGUGUGUGACAGAAACGAAAGAACUAACAAUUUUAACAAGAGAAAUAUACGUGUAUCACUUAUCCUGAGAUGAGCUUUUCUGAAACCUAAGAACAAAACAAUAUUGUCUCUGGUUUUUGUUUCGGUGUUGCUCAAAAAAGAUGCAACGGUUUCUGCCACGCAUCUGGAUGAGAUGUGUAUAAAAAGGACAAAUAUUGUGAAUAAUACUUAAUUCCCAAGAAAUUUUAAGAUUUUCUCGGAAAGUUUAACCAACUUGGAAUACCAAUUUGACUCGGCCCAGAUUUUGCUAUCAGUUCCUUUUCUUUUUGGGAAAAGAUAUUCAAGUUGGAUUGACAUUUCCUAAUGAAGAUGAUUAUUAUUAUUUUUGGGCAGGGUCUAAAAUAAGACUGUACCAAAUACAAUACCAUUCGUGGGUAUAUGUGACCCUUAUUUACCAGCUUACAAAUAUUUAAGAAUAUAUCCAUUAAUAGAAAAUAUUACAGCUAAUAAAAAAUAUUCACGGUGUACUGUGGGGGUUUCAAUGGUAAUAGGGCUCUUUCUAAAACUAAUAUUUUGAAAGUAAUUUUGAAAUCUACUAAACUAGUGUAUUAUUUUAAGAAAUCUUGAAAGGAAAAAGAGGAUAAGCAUCACAUGUGUUUGUAUUCACUAUUCAGUGUGCGCAAGUCAAAUCUGGAAAAAAAACCAGGAUACAUGUGAAUUUGCUACCAACGGGAAGUUGGUUGGAGUCACCCUCCCACCAGCAAUGUUUGGUUGGCGAGAAUUAUAUAUGUGUACCAUAAUCAUAACCAAUGUUUGAAGUUCUUUUGGUUCCAUUUCAAUCCUAAUACGACCAAACUCGAUCGACAUAUUGUUCCAAUAAUCCUAAUACGCACCACGCAAAAUAGUAUGAAUCUAUGAUAGUUUUAUUAGCAUGAUCAAUAUUGCUGAAGGCCAAAGUCAGAUAGAAAGACAAUAAAAUUUUGAUUGAAUGGGACGUUGGUAAAGAUAUUCUUGCAAUGGUUAUCCCUAACGAGUGAUAUCAAAUGCGUCAUUUCUAGCUAUGAUCGACAAACCAAUUUCAACUCAUCAUGAUGCGGUUCAUUAGGUAUUUCGGUAAGGUACACGAUGAAAGCCAAUUUGAUAGAAUUACAUAACACAAUACUCUUAAACAUGCAAGUUUACUCAUGGAUCCAAGUACGUAAACACGCAUACAUUCUAUAUCGGUUAUCGUUCUCAAUGCGACUAGCCUUUCCGGGCUUCCGGCCAUCGGACCUGUCGUUAUUCAGGUCUCUCCCUUUCACGGUUUCACAGUCAAGAAAUUAUACCGAUAUAAACUAAGAUCCGGAUUUGCCAACCAGCAAAGGUUGGUGGUCAUGGAGACCAACCAAUCAACUCUCUCUCUCUCUCUUUUCUCUCUCUCUCUCUUUUGAUUGGUUGGUCUCCAUGACCAUCGAUCUUUGCUGGUUGGCAAAUCCGAUUCCUAUAAACUAUAGAUAGCAGCUAGUCCAAAAAUCUAUCUUCAUCGGACAGCUAAGAGCUUCCAACGCGGAAACUAGGGCUAGCUGCCUUACGUGUUCUAUUCUAUAUAUGGAUCAAAGCUGGUGGCUGACGCCUUCUUUUGCUUCUGUGGUGGCUCAUUUGACGGCGGAUCUUGUUUUUAAAGAGAGAGGUCAAAAAUGGUAAAGGGUUCUAUCGGGAGGUCUGGAAGCGUUGCCACACCAACAUUGCUUGUCGUCUACGACAGCACCGCCACCCUGGUUAGCUUCUAUCUCCGCCGUUAAAUACGUACUGUAUGAUGAUGAUGUUUAAAGCGAAAGCCAAGCAAGUAAUCAUCAGGAUUAUGACUUGAUUAACAAUAUUCCUAGCUAGUCUCGUUGGUUUUGCGUAUGACUACACUCCUAAACCCUUUGUGCUAUCACAAUCUCACCCUGAUCGAAUUAGUGAUCGUCAUAUUUUAUGUCUUUAAUUUGUAUAUGUCAAUGAUGAACCUAAACCGUUGAUUAAAUUAAACUGCAAAAACUGUUAGCAAGUCACAGCAUCAAACCUAAAACACACAAAUAAUAGAGUUAGAAAACUAUAUAUGGAUUUUGUUAGAAAUACUAAAUAUAAUACUGUAUAUCCUUCUUUCAGUGAGAUCGAUGGUGCAUAUAUACUAUAAGCAUGCUUAUCGAUCAUAAGUUAAAACUAGGCUAGGUCAAACUAACAAUAUCAUUUCUGGGCAGCCUAAUCUAUUGACCAACCAAUUCUUAGAAGUACGAAUUAAGCCAAAGCAGAUAAUUUGCAUCAGAAUUAACUUUGUACAAAAUGCUUCUUUACUCCAACCCAAAAGGCCAAAACUGGGAAUGGGAUCAUCUAUGCCCUUUGGGAUUUUAUAUUUGAAAUAUAGAUUUAAUCUCUAUGAUAUUUAUUUAUUUUCAACGAAGCUGUUCCUAUUGGAACAUGAUGCAUUGCAAUAUUGCAUAAUGCUUUGCCUUUCCAUGAUUGAUUUCUCUCUUUAGGUACGUAUUUCAAACUUCUAGCUUCACAACCUCAAAUCAAUGUUGCAGAUGAUGGAUGGUUGUGAAUCACUUCUUUUUUUUCUUUUCUUUUUCUUUUUGGUCGGAUGGUUGUGAAUCACUUUAAUUAGAAAAGCUAGCAUUUUCGAGUGGAAAAGGCACCAAGUGUUGUCGAGCACUUACGUACUCAAAUAGCUAGCUUAGCUAGGGCUGUGGUGAUCGAUGAGUUACCAUAGCAUCGUGCAAAACCAGCAAAGAAAGAUUCUCAAAUUUCUCAUAUUUAUUUCGUUCUAAAAGAAUGUAUGAGAACAUAAUUGACUAGAAAUUAAAAACGCAUAUAUAAGACUAAAAAGAUUCUAAAAAGAUUCAAAUGUAUCAAAGAGAUGGUAAAGGACAAGGAUGCAGGCUGGGGUUUUUAGUUAAUGUAUUGAUCGACCCUAUGUUCUGGUUGGCGUGAUGAAAUCAAGCUUAAAGUCUUAAACAGCUAGCAAGAUCCAUAAGUUCUGAUUAAUUAGACCAUUUCAAUCAUUUUUAAGAGAUUAACUAAGCCAACUUGCAACUAAGCCAUCAGUAGAGGUGUGAGUAUGACCUGCGUUUUUAAUUUCAUGGGAUUGAGAUAUUACCUCUGGUUUAGUCAAUAACCAAAUCCUAACUUGAUAAUUGAUCUAUUGAUUAUCUCAUAUAUACCUCUUCAAUUAACAAAAUUGAGGAGCCGUUGGCCCAUUGCGAAUGAGCCCAGAGCCCAUUGAACCAUGUAAAAAGUACAAAACCUAGACGGUGUUGGGCUGCUUGAUUAUUUGAAUCUGCUUAUUGGACCAUUCUCUCCCACUCCAGAAUUUCUCUAAUGUUUUGGGUAUUGAAUCUGCUUGAUUUUUCAUUUUCUUUAACGAAUAGGAAAAAAAUAUAUGUUGAACUUUGUAUUUCUCGAGCAAACCUAUGCGUAGCGGUGAGGCUGUCUAAUCUAAUUUUUUUUUUUUUUUUUUUUUUUUUUUCUAAGGUGCUUCUCAUUUAGAGAAAUUUUAAAUACACACCCCUAAUAUCUUAAUACACACCCCUUUAGUUAAUACACCACCUAUCAAGUUUUUCAUUUCAGUAUUAUACUUAAUACACAUCCUAAACUGCCUAAAAUGCCCUGAAUUUAUGAGAUAUUCCGUUAUUUAAUAUAAUUAAUAUAUAUAUUUACUAUUUGGUACCUCUUUUUACAUAUUAUUUUGUCUAAUUUUUGCUAGAAAUUUGUGGUUAACAUCGUUCAAUUUAUAAUCAAAUGAUUAUUAUUAUAUUUCAACUCCAAAUCACCAAUACAAGUUUUCAAAAUUCACAAGCUAGUACAAGUGUAGAAGUACAGUAGCUAUUAAACAUAAAUAGCUAGUUAUUCGAUAAAACAUGUCAUGAUAAAGAUGCAGUACUUGACAAUAUGAUCUGCAAGAUCAAACUAUAGCUGAUAAAGGAUGUAGUACUUGACAAUAUGAUCUGUAAGAUCAAACUAAAGCUGAUACGGAUAACAAAAAAAAAAAAACAACAACCCAAAAUGAAUUGUGGAGAAGAAUUAAGGUUAGGGGAGAAGACGUGCUUUCGACUAUUUUAGGGUAGAAGACGUUGAAAAGAAUACUUCUAGCAUGAUUUUUUUUUUUUUAAUAAUAGAUGUAUGUUUUGGUCAUUUAGCUUACCUAUAAAAUCUCAAUAGAAAUAUAAAACAAUAAAGUGUGUAUUAAGAGAUUAGGGGUGUGUAUUUAAAAUUUCUCUCUCAUUUAUCAUCAAAAUGAAUACUCAAAACAGCUUCAUAUAUUUCAUGACAUACAUGUAAUAUGUAUGCAGUAUGGCAUAAGUAAUUCUUAGCUUAAUGAGAAUCUGUUCUGAUGUUAACUUUCACGCAAAUGCAAACCCAAACAGGAAAAGAAAAAUAGAGGAUGGGAUAUUAAUUUGCCAUAUGUACGUGCAUUUCAUAUUCGAUGACAUGACAUGAUACUUAAAAUUCCUCAUAAUCGUUAAUACUAGAUCGAUAAUCAGUUUAUUUGUUUGAUUGGUACCACCUCCAUUGAUUUAACGUUUUGAACAUUGGUUCCGUGCAAGAAUGGUGGUUAUGCCUCGGCAUGAUUCAUGCCCACUCGUCAGCCUCGUCAUUUCUCCAAUUCACCACCAAUUGCCUACAACAAAUGGCAAGGACAGAUCUAGAAAAUCAAAUCAGGGGUGUUGAAUUUACCUUAUGUACGUUAAAUUAUUCGUUCUUUUGUUUUAUGAAAAUCUCGACAUUUGGUGUUGAUAGAUAUAAUAUUUACAUAUUUUUAAAGUUAUCAAUUUUUUUGAAAAUUAAAGUAUUAAACAGACCGACAAUUUGAUCCAAAAAUCGCAGAGCAUCUUAGGUAACAAAUGUAAUGCAAAACAGAAUGAAAUUCCAAGAGCAUUUUAGAUCAUGAUUUGAGAUAUUUGUGUCGGAGAACUUUUCCACAGUAACUAAUCAUCUAAUGCAACUCCAAGUGUGUCCUCCACUACAUAAAAGAUCCUAAAAAGGAAAAAAAUUAUCCUAGACCUUCCUAGCAAAAAGCAUAAUUUUUUAUGAACUACAGAUUUAACGAUUCCUUAACUCAAUCAAUGUGGAUAUUUAUAUCUGAAAAAUAAUAGAUGGUAGCGUACGUAAUGCAUCCAAGUAAUUAUUGAAAACAAAAAGAAACCCGAAACUCUGUCACACUCUUAUAUUUGUAAAUGAAAAUCACCUUAACGAGUUUUGUACUCAUUUGCUAACAUGUCAAAAUGACUAGAUUAUGUAAAUGAAAAUCGAAGAAUCAGAGUUUUGUACUAAUUCGUUAACAGAUCAAAAUGACUAGAUUAACGAGGAUUCCUAGAUUCAUGUACCUUGGUUUGCGAAGUACGGGGUUAGUAGCAUGGUCUCCUACAUUCCCGUUAUCCGUAGAAAUCUGUGGGCGGGGGCUCUCGCCCUUUCUAGAGGCCACGCGAAUCCUUGGGCCUGACGCUAACUCAUAACCGCCACGCGCCAAACGACGCCGUCGCUGUCACCCCCUUAAUAUUCCAGCUCUCUCUCCUUCUAUAUUAGACAGUGAUCAAUUCAAACACAAACACACUGGAAAUUAAGAAGAAGAAGCAGCAGAAGAAAAGGGUUUUCAGGUUUUGGUUUUUGUUUUUGUUUUGUGAAGAGUGAGAGAAAGACAAGAGACAAGUAGCUAGGUUAGAUUUCAUCAAUGGCAGAGAAGCAAGUGAUGAUUUUGGCGGCGGACGACAGCGAGCACAGCGCCUACGCGCUGCAGUGGACUGUGGAGCAUUUCUUCGCGCCGUUCGGCUCCAACACGCCGUUCAAGCUCGUCAUCGUCCACGCCAAGCCUACGCCGUCCUCCGUCGUCGGCCUCGCCGGUCCCGGUAAGCCUUAAUUUUCAUGGAUUAAUUAAUUGAUUAUAUAUGCAUGGUUGUGGUGGUGAUUAUUGGUUAUUUAUAUCUUAAUUGGUUGUUGAAUCAACUGCAGGGGCUGCUGAGGUUAUGCCGAUUGUGGAUGCUGAUUUGAAGAAGCAGGCUGCUCGCGUUAGUGAGAAGGCCAAGGAGUUUUGUGCUUCUAAAUCGGUAUGUAUUCGAUCCACAGAUUUAUUUAUUGUCUUGUGUUUCAUGUUCCUGAAAUUGAAAUUGAGAGGGACUUACUUCUCGAUCAUGCAAGUCUCUGGCACCUUAUCUUUAUAUGAUUGUUAUUGUAUAGAUGUGAUUUUAUUUUAUUUUCGUUUUGGGAUUAAUUUUUCUAUCAGAAUUCAUUAUGUGGUUUCUUUCACUUGAAUAAUCAAAGACCACAGGGAAAAGAAGAGAGAGCUAGAAGAAGAAGAGAGGGAUUAAUCAUGUUUUUCUUUUUCCAUUUUAUCUCGGCAUGGACUUGGUUUUGCUGUUAACAUGAUUACGCAGAAAUGGACUUGGUUUUGCUGUUAACAUGAUUAAGCAGAAAUGGACAUAGAGUUGAAUCCAAGUUUUACGAAUAAGAAAGGGUUCAUGUUAACAUCGUAGUUAGUCUUUGUCUUUUAUCCAUAUAACAAAACAGUAAUGACGUUGUGUUCUAUAUGUUAUGACAAGAUCUAAGGUGAUCGAUAUGGUGAUUUUCUGAACUUUUCAUUCACUAUGCAGGUAAAAGAUGUGGUCAUAGAGGUGAUAGAAGGCGAUGCCAGGAAUGUUCUCUGUGAGGCUGUUGAAAGACACCAUGCAUCCGUCUUGGUUGUGGGUAGUCAUGGCUAUGGAGCCAUCAAAAGGUAUAUUCGUCGGACCCUAUUCCAAUUGUUGCCAGGUUUUAGAGUUCAGUUGUAUGGUAGCUUCUUUGAUUGAUUGGUUUACUUUCUUGAGAAUGAAAACGAGAAGAUCAAAGUGCUUAACAUCAUGGCUUAGCUCGAGUGUUUAUUGGAUUAAUUAGCUGCACAAAAUAGUAUACAUCAUUGUGCAGAAAUGUUAAUGUUCUGUUUGAUUUUGGUGCAGGGCGGUUUUGGGAAGUGUAAGUGACUAUUGUGCUCAUCACGCUCACUGCAGUGUUAUGAUCGUGAAGAGGCCUAAAACCAAACACUGAAGGCUCCUAGCUGAUUGCCUUGUGCUGAUCAUUGUGUCUGCGAAAUUACGCUACCUAGAAUAAAUUGGAUUACUCCAGUUUAAAUAGUGUGAUAGUUCAAACUCUAAAAUAUUGUUUUGGUAUGUAACAUAUAGUUGAGGAUUAAACCUCAAACAUCUGUAUAAACAAGUACUUUUGUACAACCAGUUGCAAUUUAUGGCUUGCUGCACAAGUAAUAGAGGACCUUCUAUGUAAUAACCUCUUUACCUUUUGAACCGGAAACUUCAAGAUUUUCAAACAAAAGUUCUAUCAUACUCUGGAUUUUUCCUUUCAUCCUCUGCAUUUUUCAUAUAUAUAUAUAUAUAUAUAUAUGAUCCGUUGGAGAAGUAAAUUCAGGAAAACUUCCAAAGUAUGUCACACCAACUGCAAUAGAAAUUCUCAUUUUCAUAAUCAAGUGACUGUCAGUGGUCAAGUAAACACCAAGACUAUGCUGCCAAAAACAUAAUUUAAAAAAGAAAAAUGAACAAAGAAAAAAGAUUUUUUGAGAUGCAAGGAGGAGCUCAUCCAUCUGUCACAUUGUAGUAUAAUUUUGAUUUAACUGGUUCAAAAUAUCAAUAGAAUUACAAAAUCUGAUAAUAUUUUAUCUUUUGCUUCUCAAGGAUAACCUUGCUUUCUUAAUGUAGAAGAUCCAGUACUGUGCUGUAAACAGAAUUCCCAGCCCUACUGCAUAUUUUUAUUCUUUUCUGAUAUAUGAGAAUUUUCACACUAAAUUUUGAUCAAGUGAAUGUAGAGCUGUUUGGCCUUGUGGGUAGUGUAAGUGAUGACUGUGUUCAUCAUGAUCACUGCACCUUCAUGAUUGUUAAGAAGCCAUAGAGAAUAAAUAACAUUACCUGCCUCAAAUACCUGAGAAGAUGUAAAAACAUACAUAUUGCAGCAGCUGCUGUGUAUGCCAACAUAACUUAAACUUCUUUUCAAAGGACUGCUUCUUACUAAAUGUUUUAGUGAAAUUAGCACAUAUCUUCAACUUUGUUAGUAAGAUGAUUAGUUUAUCAAUAUACAAUAAAUUGCAAGAGUUGAGCUUGUUCUGAUGCUGAAAGUACCCUAAAUGGUUUGUGUGUCGGGAACUUGAAAGGACAGUAUAAGAUGAAACAAGAAUUUUGUGUUGCCAUAUAUUCACAAUAUUUCAAACACAGUAACUGCCUGAAUGGAAAUGUCUUUGACUUACAACUUCCCUGAUUAACAGACACAGUAACAAGUCGGUUGAAAACUCAAAAAGUGCAGUGAUCUCUCAAGACUUGUCGAGCUAGAUCAAACGAUCCACUCUGUUUGUAGAUAAGAUGUAGAUUAAAAGCUGCUUCUCUGCGAAGAUCACAGUAACCUGGUGAUUGAUUUGGAUUAGAGUGUGGAUUCUCAUGGGGAAGUUUUGGUAUGGGGUAGUCUUUCACAUGAAUGCCAAGAACUUUUUCGUAGUAGGAAGCUGCAAGAGUCACAAGGCCAACUUGAUGGAAUGCCCUGGCUAUGUUGUACAUAGCCUCCUGGCUGCUUUUGCAAACCCGUAAAUUGUUGUAGAGGAAUGCAAAGCCCUGAGCAAUACAGUGGUGCUUGUUCUGAAGUCUAUGUCCAUGGGCCAAGUUGAUUAAGGCAGUACCAGCACACAGAUUAACCAGGGGAUUCUCUGGCAAUAACUUAUAAGCUUCAAGGUAUUCUCUUGCAGCAUCCUGAUGGCGACUUUUCCUAGUAUAAUGAUGGCCAGUUAUGAUACUGGGUGGUGCACAGUCUUUUAAUCUGUUGCGCCUAUGGCGCCUGUGGCGCACAAAUUUAUAAUGCUUCUCGCGAUACCAGUCCUCCUUAAAUCUGGAGAUUACUUUGUAAUAGCAAUUCCAGACAGCAUUGCUGUACGGAUUCUGGUCUGCAAUGUACUUUACAUAAUUCAACCCCUGCUCAGGAUCCAGAGCUGUGUAAGCUAUUUGAGCUCCAAGAGUUCGAAGUUCCCCCCGGAAAGCUGCCAUGCCUUUAGUUGAUUUCAAAGCAAGCUUAAUAAUCUUCAAUGCUUCAGAGUGUCUAUUCAAGGAAGUGAGUGACUUACACAAAUCUAAUAUGAGGUCAUGAUUAUCUUUUUCCUUGACUAGAUCCGGCAGGGGAGGCCCUUUCAGUAUUUCUUGUGGAUCAAUUUCAGGAUCAUCAUCUGAAUCUGAAUAAUCAUCACUUUGUCCGUCAUGUCCAGCAGCCAUUGCCUCAGCUCUCUUUUCUUUCUUUAAUUUUGCCUUUUCCUCAAGUCGCUUCUUUUCUCUGUUAACUCUCCGAUGAUCUGAUAAAGGAAGUGCUCGUGAUCUAUUUCUGGAAAAAACGUUACCUGUUUGCUGAUCAUCCAAGGUUUUGAUUCUUUGGAACAAUUCCUUUUUCAAAAGCUUCCUUUUCACCCUUCUCCCAAGUGAUAUAAUCUUUAAUGACUCGUGUACCAAAUCAUAGAUUGCGUCCACAAGUUCCUUGUGCAUCCCUUUAGCUCUGAAAAUGCUGCAAAGCUUCAACUUCACUUUUCCAUCACGCCACCAUGAUCUUGCUUUAUAAGUUGGGAGGGGAACACAAUCUAGAUUUCUCGGGGGAGACAGCAGCGAUAUAGCUUCAUCGUCUCUAGAUUCUUCAAGGAGUACAGAAGCCAAAGUCAAACGUGCCUCAAUAUGGUCUUCAAGUGUCUUUAAAGCUUGGUAGAAGUAGAAAAUUGCUUGUACUCUAUACUUCAAGGACAUAUAACAUCUAGCAAUUUUCAAAUGUAAAAAACCUCUAUUAAAUUUAGUGUUACCCGCUGCAAAUUCAGUGAACAGACUAGCUGCCUUGCGCAUGUUUCCAAGGUUAGCAUGGCAAAUUCCUGCUUUAACUUUGAUCUCAAGAGGCGGCUCUUUUCCGGAAUAGAGUGUCAGUUGUGCAUGCUCAAUAUGCUGAAGAGCUUCAUUAUGUGCAUUAUUUUCCAUAAGCAGAGAAACUAACAAAUCAAUGACACUCAAGUCAGCAUCAGUUGGAUGAGCUCUGAGAUAAUCCUCCAGCAUAUGGAUAGAGUGUUCAGUCUGACCGCAUUUUGCAUACAUCUCUGCUCCUGACUUGAGUGCCUUCACAUUACCAGGACAGGUUUGGACUAUUUCUUCAUACAAAGCAGCAGCCUUUUCAAAAUCUUUAAGCUGAACAUGGAGUGAAGCACGAUCCAACUUCAGAGCAACCACAUUUUCAGCUUCAGGAUCAGCUGAUAUUGCUCUUGAAAGGCUAUUUGAAGCUCCAGAAAUGUUCCCUACUUCCAUGAACUUUGUGAACAGCAGUGUCCACAAAGAUGGGUUUUUGGGUGCUAAUUGUGCAGCAACAUGGUAGCAAUUCAAGGCUCUACAUUUAUCACCAAGAGCACUAUGGACAUCUCCAAGUGUCUGAUAAGCAUCCGGCAAAUGCGGUGCUUGCUUAAUUACUUCUUUUAAGAUGGGUAUGGCCUUUUUGUAAUCCCCAAACGCAUAGCAAUUUCGAGCCUUACUAUGAAGUCUACUAAUUUCAGGGCUGCACUGGUUCUUUGAUCCUUUUCUUCUACCUUUUUUCUUAGUCUUCCUUGAUCUCCUUCCCCGCCAGCCCAUCAUGAACUCCAUCAAUUCCUCCUCUAAGCUUCCUUUAGAACCAUCAUCUUUCCUGGCCUUCUUAACUGAGCCUUUAGGACGAUUAUCCCCAAGUGGUUUUCUUUUUUUCCUAGCUAAAGUCUCAUACUCCUUCCCCACAAAAUCUGGGUAAUAUUGGUCUGCAAAAGUACCAUCGUCUACAGAAUCCAUAACAUCAAAGGUGUCAUCUUCUUCAUCAUCAUCCGCAUCGUCUCCUUCUGAUUCUUCUUCAUAAUCAUCAUCCUCUUCUUCUCUCUCAUCUUCUACAAUGCCAUCCUCAACACCCAAAUCAAACACAUACUUUGGACCUUCAUCAUGAUCACAACUAGCAUUGCCCUCUUUAUCCAUUACACAGGAAAAUUCACCCUCUAAAAGAAAAAGAGAAAGAACAACGAACACGGCGAAAUUGGAAAAAGGAGGACAGAACCUGGUUGUUGAAUCUGACCUGAAAGCUCAAAUCUUGAUGAUGCUGGACCUUUGAAUUCUCCGAGCAAAGGGCUUCCUUGAACUUGUUCUGUAAUUUUUGGAUCAAAGAUUGUGUCUUUAUUACUCAUUCUCAUCCUCUGUCACUCUUCUUGCUCCCCACGUAAAUUUUCCUUGUUGGGCCCACUCCAACCUGGUUUAGCAGGCCCAUUUAGUACUGACUCGUCUUCAUUUCCAAACAAGUUCUGGAUGAGAUAAGAGUCUCUCAAGUCUCAACCAAUAAUAUUUUUGCUGGCCAAUGCUGGUUUCUUCUUACAGAAAAAAGACCAAGGCAGAUAGAUCUUAAAAGAAGAGGGCUGUUCUUGCUCUCCCUAAGAUUUGAACCUGUCCAUUCAGAAAAGAAAAGAAGAUUUGCACCUGUGAUUCCAUUCACAACAAUGCCAACUCUGUGGAGUAAUGUAAUCGAAACAUACACAUACAAUGAGCACGAACAAGAGCUUUAGGGGGAUGUUUCGCUAGAGAACUGAAUUCAAAUCAAUUGAGCAUAAACACUGAAGUUUUUCAACCAAAUCUUACAACUUUCUUAUUGAAACGAAAACAGCAACAAAGACAAACGAUUGAAGUUGCAAAGCUAGAUUAAGCGUACAAAGGCAGGUCGGUCCAGGCCCCGGAAACAUGACCAUUGUCGCACACAUAAGCCCUGACGACGGGCUCGCCAUCAUCAUGGUAGCCGAAGCCGCGUCGCAAACAGAAGGCGGAAUGGAGAUCCCAAGUGUGGUCGCAGCUGCAAUAAGCGCAACAGAGCUCGACUCUGCUCCUCCUGCCGUCCUUGAUGUUCCGCCAAACCUGAGACCCCUUGAAGUCCUUGAACACCCCUCUGAACAGCAUAUAGUUGCGCUUCUCUUCCACGUGGACGCAGCCGGGCCAGUCGGAGAUGUACAGGGAGUCGCCGCGGAAGCGGCUGUGGAGAAGCUUGUUGCCUUGCUCCCGGUUCAGAUUCCAGACCCCGGAGGCCAGAUGUGACCUCAUCGAUCUGCAGAUCUUCCGCCUUUUCCCGACCGGGAACUCACCGGAGACCACCACGCCGCCGCUUUGGGGUUCAGAGGCUACGGCGGCCUCGGAGGCGUCGUAAACCGUGUCGAAAUACAGAUCGUCAUAGAGAGACCAAGCGCAAUCUGGCGGCGGAGGAGGCGGCGGCGGUUGGUGGUGGAUGAUUUGGGUGGAAGAGGAGGAGGAGGAGGACUGGUGGUCGGGGCCGAGCUCGCGUUCGAGGCCGAAAUCGGAGUGGUCGAAGAGGACGCCGGAGUGGAGGAGGCCGGGGCAGCAGACGGCGAGCUUGUGGAGGGAGGAAAAGCCGGCGGGGGGAUCGUCGGCGGAGACGAGGGAGGGGAGGACGGCGCGGCACUUGGUCUUCCAGCAGACGUUGCGAAUGAGGGAGGAGAAUUUGGUGCAGGCGCAGGCGAGGCGGGCCCAGUGGCGAGGGUCGUCGUCCAGCUUGUAGAACACGUUCAGAACGACGUCGUCCGGGAGCGUCGAGAACAUUAUUAUCUCUCUGCUUUCUUCUUUCUUCUUCGAUUCGAUCUACUGGCCUGCUGCUACGUUUUGCUUUCUUGUUUUUGUUGUAUGGGAUAUUUUUUUUUGUCUUGGAAAAACAUGUGGCUCUCGUCCUUCACGAACCACUCGCCUAUUUUAGACCAUCAAUAUUACACACUACCAAAAAUAUUAGAUAAGAUAUGUUCGUGUUUUAGGAUAUUCUCAAUGUGUGCUUUGGUCUUAUGCCAAUAGGAUAUGUAGUUAGACUAGAUCUAUGUAUUCAUAUCCUUACCAUAUUGGUAUUGUGUAAUUCCCUAUAUAAAGGGCUCUUAUCAAUGAAUAAGAUGAUGACUCUCUUGCUAUCUCUUUGUCUCUACACUUUAUCCUUUAUCACGUUAUCAGCACUUUGUUCUAACCCUAGAGCCAAUAGCCCACCAUUUUUUUCUAAACCCUAAAAACCAAAACCCUAAAAUCGGGCAGCCUUGUUUUUCCCGAUUUCCGACCAAAAUUCCGACUGCCCUCCGCUGGAAUUUUAUAUCCCCAGAAAGCUCUCUCCGCCCCGGAUCCAACGCCGCCGGUCUCACCCUGAGAACCGGCCGGAAAGUCUCCGAACCGGCUGCCGGAAGAUUCCAGACCGCCGCCUCUACCGACCACCGGUUCACCACCUUCCCUUGCUCCGAUCAACCUGAAAUUGUGACAGCAGCUUCCCCAUCCAGAGCUGCUCCUCCUAUCAAAUUUUCAGCCCCAAAUUCGAAGUAUAAGUAGGCGAACCGUUAUUUCUCCUCUCGGCAGCCUCUAGAAAUGUAUGUUUUUUGAAACCUUAAACUUUUCCAAGUUCAAUAACUCGGGGAGGAUAAAAUUCUUUCCUCCCUUCUCCAUCUCCAUUCUAUGCUUGGGAUUUUGUGCGUGCAGGUACCCAAAUCCCGGAAUUUUAUUCGCGGGUCAAGAGUGUGUUUGAUCACUCUUGUUUCUUUGUCCGGGUUGUGUUUGAUCAACCCCGACCUUUCACCGGAUUGUGUUUGAUCAAUCCGAGACCUUUUUCCUAAUUGUGUUUGAUCAAUUCGCGACUUUUCCGGAUUGUGUAUGAUCAAUCCGAAGGACAAACCAUUAAAAGCAUCGUUUGUGACCUCUAUCGAGUCUCAUAACAGCUUGGUUUUAUAUGCAAGAGCAAUGUAACAUUCUGCUCAUUUGAGUUUUGACGUACUAGAUGCCUAAGGCGGAUCUUCGCUUGGUUUCUGUGGAACCUUUCAUUGGAAAGGAUUAAACCACAUGUUUUGACCCCCAGGCUAACAAGCCUAGAUGCCGAGAUUUCACAUCUCAUGCGCUCAAAGUCUUUGACGCGCCACAUCAACAAAAGCCUUCAAUAGCAAUCUGUGCAAAAAGUAAUGACCACAAAGUACUGUGGAAUGCACUUAUGGAGCAUUUCUCGAAACGUUCAUGUAACUCUACUCGUUGAGCUAUUAGUCAAGUGGAUUGCUUACCACCUUAAUUGACUACAUAUUGUCGAUGAUCUUUUGUGGCAUCAUGAUCCAUAAUCUUUAGCGGAUUCGAUCAUCAUCAAGUUCUCUAGGUCCUCCAAGUUGGUGUGGAAUUACCAACAAGACUUGAUUUUGAUCAUACAAACGAGAAUUGUAUAUACGCUAAUGUGAUAAACUUAUUUNNNNNNNNNNNNNNNNNNNNGAGGGGGAGGUGUUGCCGGCUCUAAUAGCGACACUCCCGGUCUAGACACUAUUUUGUCAAAACUACUCACGUCAGCUCAUGACAUUAAUGCAACCGUUGUGGAUCUUCGGAUCACUGGUUCAAGAUUGUCAAGCUCCUUUAAAUUGUGAAUGCAUACAAAAAGGUAUGGAAAAUCAAUAUGAGGACAAGAACGUCAUCCUCAUGAUCGCGAAUUUCAAAGAUUCAGAUCCUGCUCUAGCUACCCAUGACUUUGAUGUCAUCGGCUAGACAUUGAUUUUCGUUCCAAGUUAUAUGUACUAAGGCGUUGUAUCGACGUCCUUUGUCUAUUUGAGACCUCGAUGUACUCACAUUAGCAAUAACGAAUGCCUUGAGAAUUUUUCGAAGUGAAACUAUUCUCCUCUUAUGGUUCAUAUUGAUUUACAAUCAAGAUGUACACUUACAUCGUCCUUAGAAACAUGGCAUAUUGUGCCGAUUUUGGUCUCUUCUUUUGAAGGUGACUCAUGGCGCUGCAUCCUCAAGGAGGAUCGCCCACGUGUUUCCGGUUAAGUCUUCUACCCUAUAGCGGAUUGUUCAUCAUCAAUUGUUUAACUAGGCUCAUCCAAGCUCAGUGUGAUGUCUUAGAAUUGUCCAAAAUUAAGGAGAUAGUCGUUUUAAGUGUGCCUCGCACUACCGACCCUCCACGGACAUGCCUGGUCAUACUGACUUGGAGUUACCGAAAGCUUUUGAUUUUGGAUCCCCCUGCGCUAUUAAACCAAUUGCCGUCUUGCAAAAGACGUUGAAGACUUAUCAAAGCUGGAAAAUUAUCAUCAUAAUCGGAUCCUCUAGGUCCUCUGAGUUAGUUUAUGUUCAUGUCAGGCAGCUUUUGCUAACUAGUCAUGGAGUUUACGACCGUAGAACGAUCGAAAGGACUUGUUUUUGAUCAUACACACGUCACUUUUGGCUAAGGCAAAAGCCUACACGCCACCUGCAAGCUUCACAGCUUCGCACAUGCCAAAUCUGCGAAAAACAGCAAUCUGUCCUUUUUGGACAGUCAACUUCGUUUAAGCUUUGUGAACAGCUCCGGACGAAUCAGACAAUGAGCUUUAUAUCAUUGGAAAGCUCUAUGAGUCUAGUUUUCAGAACUUUUCACGGUUCGUCCAUAUCUAUUUUAACGAAGAAGUUAUGGCUGUUCUAGUGCGCAAAGGUCAUUCUGCGAGGAAAUUUUUAUGCACUCUCGGGAUUGCAGCUUUUCGUAGCUUCUUUCAAUCCUUCUAAAUGGUUCAAGUAGAACUAUUUACUCGCCUAUCUACUCCUUGUAGUUAUGUCUCAUAGAGACAUUGGGUGCUUCGCAGAUAGUGGAACUAUCCACAACAUUCUAAGGAACCAUGUUAUGAGCUUUAAAGACAUUCAUGCNNNNNNNNNNNNNNNNNNNNNNNNNNNNNNNNNNNNNNNNNNNNNNNNNNNNNNNNNNNNNNNNNNNNNNNNNNNNNNNNNNNNNNNNNNNNNNNNNNNNNNNNNNNNNNNNNNNNNNNNNNNNNNNNNNNNNNNNNNNNNNNNNNNNNNNNNNNNNNNNNNNNNNNNNNNNNNNNNNNNNNNNNNNNNNNNNNNNNNNNNNNNNNNNNNNNNNNNNNNNNNNNNNNNNNNNNNNNNNNNNNNNNNNNNNNNNNNNNNNNNNNNNNNNNNNNNNNNNNNNNNNNNNNNNNNNNNNNNNNNNNNNNNNNNNNNNNNNNNNNNNNNNNNNNNNNNNNNNNNNNNNNNNNNNNNNNNNNNNNNNNNNNNNNNNNNNNNNNNNNNNNNNNNNNNNNNNNNNNNNNNNNNNNNNNNNNNNNNNNNNNNNNNNNNNNNNNNNNNNNNNNNNNNNNNNNNNNNNNNNNNNNNNNNNNNNNNNNNNNNNNNNNNNNNNNNNNNNNNNNNNNNNNNNNNNNNNNNNNNNNNNNNNNNNNNNNNNNNNNNNNNNNNNNNNNNNNNNNNNNNNNNNNNNNNNNNNNNNNNNNNNNNNNNNNNNNNNNNNNNNNNNNNNNNNNNNNNNNNNNNNNNNNNNNNNNNNNNNNNNNNNNNNNNNNNNNNNNNNNNNNNNNNNNNNNNNNNNNNNNNNNNNNNNNNNNNNNNNNNNNNNNNNNNNNNNNNNNNNNNNNNNNNNNNNNNNNNNNNNNNNNNNNNNNNNNNNNNNNNNNNNNNNNNNNNNNNNNNNNNNNNNNNNNNNNNNNNNNNNNNNNNNNNNNNNNNNNNNNNNNNNNNNNNNNNNNNNNNNNNNNNNNNNNNNNNNNNNNNNNNNNNNNNNNNNNNNNNNNNNNNNNNNNNNNNNNNNNNNNNNNNNNNNNNNNNNNNNNNNNNNNNNNNNNNNNNNNNNNNNNNNNNNNNNNNNNNNNNNNNNNNNNNNNNNNNNNNNNNNNNNNNNNNNNNNNNNNNNNNNNNNNNNNNNNNNNNNNNNNNNNNNNNNNNNNNNNNNNNNNNNNNNNNNNNNNNNNNNNNNNNNNNNNNNNNNNNNNNNNNNNNNNNNNNNNNNNNNNNNNNNNNNNNNNNNNNNNNNNNNNNNNNNNNNNNNNNNNNNNNNNNNNNNNNNNNNNNNNNNNNNNNNNNNNNNNNNNNNNNNNNNNNNNNNNNNNNNNNNNNNNNNNNNNNNNNNNNNNNNNNNNNNNNNNNNNNNNNNNNNNNNNNNNNNNNNNNNNNNNNNNNNNNNNNNNNNNNNNNNNNNNNNNNNNNNNNNNNNNNNNNNNNNNNNNNNNNNNNNNNNNNNNNNNNNNNNNNNNNNNNNNNNNNNNNNNNNNNNNNNNNNNNNNNNNNNNNNNNNNNNNNNNNNNNNNNNNNNNNNNNNNNNNNNNNNNNNNNNNNNNNNNNNNNNNNNNNNNNNNNNNNNNNNNNNNNNNNNNNNNNNNNNNNNNNNNNNNNNNNNNNNNNNNNNNNNNNNNNNNNNNNNNNNNNNNNNNNNNNNNNNNNNNNNNNNNNNNNNNNNNNNNNNNNNNNNNNNNNNNNNNNNNNNNNNNNNNNNNNNNNNNNNNNNNNNNNNNNNNNNNNNNNNNNNNNNNNNNNNNNNNNNNNNNNNNNNNNNNNNNNNNNNNNNNNNNNNNNNNNNNNNNNNNNNNNNNNNNNNNNNNNNNNNNNNNNNNNNNNNNNNNNNNNNNNNNNNNNNNNNNNNNNNNNNNNNNNNNNNNNNNNNNNNNNNNNNNNNNNNNNNNNNNNNNNNNNNNNNNNNNNNNNNNNNNNNNNNNNNNNNNNNNNNNNNNNNNNNNNNNNNNNNNNNNNNNNNNNNNNNNNNNNNNNNNNNNNNNNNNNNNNNNNNNNNNNNNNNNNNNNNNNNNNNNNNNNNNNNNNNNNNNNNNNNNNNNNNNNNNNNNNNNNNNNNNNNNNNNNNNNNNNNNNNNNNNNNNNNNNNNNNNNNNNNNNNNNNNNNNNNNNNNNNNNNNNNNNNNNNNNNNNNNNNNNNNNNNNNNNNNNNNNNNNNNNNNNNNNNNNNNNNNNNNNNNNNNNNNNNNNNNNNNNNNNNNNNNNNNNNNNNNNNNNNNNNNNNNNNNNNNNNNNNNNNNNNNNNNNNNNNNNNNNNNNNNNNNNNNNNNNNNNNNNNNNNNNNNNNNNNNNNNNNNNNNNNNNNNNNNNNNNNNNNNNNNNNNNNNNNNNNNNNNNNNNNNNNNNNNNNNNNNNNNNNNNNNNNNNNNNNNNNNNNNNNNNNNNNNNNNNNNNNNNNNNNNNNNNNNNNNNNNNNNNNNNNNNNNNNNNNNNNNNNNNNNNNNNNNNNNNNNNNNNNNNNNNNNNNNNNNNNNNNNNNNNNNNNNNNNNNNNNNNNNNNNNNNNNNNNNNNNNNNNNNNNNNNNNNNNNNNNNNNNNNNNNNNNNNNNNNNNNNNNNNNNNNNNNNNNNNNNNNNNNNNNNNNNNNNNNNNNNNNNNNNNNNNNNNNNNNNNNNNNNNNNNNNNNNNNNNNNNNNNNNNNNNNNNNNNNNNNNNNNNNNNNNNNNNNNNNNNNNNNNNNNNNNNNNNNNNNNNNNNNNNNNNNNNNNNNNNNNNNNNNNNNNNNNNNNNNNNNNNNNNNNNNNNNNNNNNNNNNNNNNNNNNNNNNNNNNNNNNNNNNNNNNNNNNNNNNNNNNNNNNNNNNNNNNNNNNNNNNNNNNNNNNNNNNNNNNNNNNNNNNNNNNNNNNNNNNNNNNNNNNNNNNNNNNNNNNNNNNNNNNNNNNNNNNNNNNNNNNNNNNNNNNNNNNNNNNNNNNNNNNNNNNNNNNNNNNNNNNNNNNNNNNNNNNNNNNNNNNNNNNNNNNNNNNNNNNNNNNNNNNNNNNNNNNNNNNNNNNNNNNNNNNNNNNNNNNNNNNNNNNNNNNNNNNNNNNNNNNNNNNNNNNNNNNNNNNNNNNNNNNNNNNNNNNNNNNNNNNNNNNNNNNNNNNNNNNNNNNNNNNNNCCACAUGGUUUUUGUGACUUGACGAGGUUUUUGACGAGGCAACAGAUCAGCACCAUCGGCAUAUCAGCGCGCGGCAUAAGGGGGAGUGUUCUAGGAUAUUCUCUAUGUGUGCCUUGGCCUUAUGCCAAUAGGAUAUGUAAUUAGACUAGAUCUAUGUAUUCAUAUCCUUACCAUAUUGGUAUUGUGUAAUUCCCUAUAUAAAAGGCUCCUAUCAAUGAAUAAGAUGAUGACUCUCUUGUUAUCUCUUUGUCUCUACAUUUUAUCCUUUAUCACUGUGUGUGUUUUGGCCUUUUGGCUAAUACAAUUUUUGUAUACAAUUUAUGUGUGUGAAAUUUAAAUUUAUUUUCUAAUUCAAUUUCAUACCCUACAUACCUAAAUUACCGUCUCAUAUAUAUCAACUUACCCGCUUGUUCAAAUUCGCUACAAAUGCUAUUGAAUAGGGGAGGAGGUAGUCGGAGGUACAUAGGCAAUCGCAAGAUAAACUUAGCCAAUAAUCAAUUUGGUCAUGACUCGAGAGUCAAGUGAGGAACACUCAACAACUUGAGUUUGAUUCACGAAAAUCCAAGUGGCCAAACAAUAUGUUGGAAUGGAAAGAUAGAGCAUUUCACAUGUGUUCUAGGGAUUAAUUUAUGGGUCUAAAAAGUUUUUGGGAUGCCUUGAAUGUAGAAAUAGAAAUUAUUUUGUCAACUUUAAUAGAUGUCACAAAUAUGUAAAAUUUGUUACGUACUUUUUAUUUACGAGUAGAUUUAGGAAAAAUUGUGAAGACCAUUUUGACAUUUUGCUCACUAGUAAUUUUGGGAUUGAAUCCACCCUUUCCUUAUUGAUUUAUCUGUUUCCUUCACACUUGUUGGCUAGACUAAAGGAAUGUACAUAUGGCAUUGGAGGCCUCUUACACAAAUAAGCAAUUUUGUGAUUGUUGUGUGUGAUAAAGAUAAAGUAGUACGAGGUUCACAUCCAAAAUAAAUUGGUUAAUGGUUAUGGGUGGAGUGAUCCAAACUCUUAUAAACUCACAGACAAUGUUUCAUAUUUUCAAUAUGGAAUUGAUAUCUUAAGAGUGUGGCUGUUGAAAAUUGAAAUGUUUCCGCCUCCUCUUUUUCUCUCAACCUUAGCUUAAUUGGGACAUGAUCCACCUCAGGUUAAUCUUCUUUCUCAUCUAUCCAUUUGAUAUUAUUAUUUUUCUAGUUAUCUUUACAUAUUGUACUGUAAGAGAAAGUAGAAAUACAAAAGGAGUGCAGCCUGAAAAAUGGCAGAAGAGAUAUGGUUGCUCAAUUUUUGUCGAGAUUACCUCCUAAAGUACAAUCUAAUCAAUAGUCCAAGUUUCGUGGCCCAGAAUCUUUCAAAUUCCAUGAACAACAAAUUCACCUCUUCCACUCGCAUAAUUUCCAAGCAUAUUAUCCUCAAAGACAGUAGCAUUACAGAUAAGAAUGAAAUUAUUAAUAUCAUUGUGCAUGGAAACGAUGAUAAGAAGCAAAUUUUGCUUUCAUCACUUAGUCUUUGCGAUGAUCCUAAUGGUGAUGACCAAGAGCUUUCUUGUGUUAUUGAGGACGAGCUCAUUAUACCUUUAUGGCUAGACCGAUGUCGCUUAUGGUUCCGAAUUGCAGGUCAUUGUUGGGAGAGGAACCAGAUUAUGCAGCAAAAUAUAUGAACCAAAAUUGCACAGCAAAAACACAACAAGAACAUAAACAAAUAACAGCAGCAGAGAGACACCAAUUUUAACGUGAAAACCCUUCAAUGUGAAGGGAAAAACCACGGGACAAUCUCCGAAGAACUUCCAUUAUGAUAAAUGGGAUUACAGCCACCAAUCUCUCUAGAUCACUAGAGGAAAACUCUCAAGAGAAACACUCUUGGAUACACAAACACAAGAAGACUUAUCAGAGAAGGGAUUGCUGUCCUCUUUCUCUCCUAUCACAGUAAAACACUCUUCUCACUCUCACCAAGGUUACUGAGAGCUGAAUACAUAAAACACACAGACUCUUCUAGUCUUCUUGAGAGAAUGAGAAAUACACCAAAAACGAGUUACAGCAGAAGCACGCCUUCUUUUUGGAAAACUGAAACGACCCUUUUUUUUCUUUCUCCAAGAUAGAGUCCAACUUGGGCUAAAACACUCAUUUAAUUAGAUGUCUAGCAUGAGCAGCGAAUUAACUCCAACAAUCUCCCCCUUAAUUUCUGACUCAUGCUCAGCAAUUCAGGGUUUCUGAACCUAACAUUUGCAUCCACCUUAACGUUACCUAUAGCGGCCUCCUCCAUCUUAGCUUCCAUCAUUGUUAUCAUUAGCCAUUACUGCCAGCUGCUUCUCCUUCCCCCGAAUUAAUUCCCAAUACCUCACCAUGUGCUCUACCUUGCCAAUUCGAGAAAGUUUGAUUUUGAUGAAACUGAAAAUGGAAUUAAAAGGAAGGAACUCAUGGGAGGUUGAUGAAUUGAGCGGGAGAAAACGGACAAGAUCUAUGGCAUGUUCAUUCCAUAAGAUGGCAUGUUGAAUACCAAUAGUUGAAUUUUUCAAAGGCAGGAUGCAUGGUAUGUUUCUAUAUAUUGUUGACGUCGGUUUGCCGAAGGAAAGGUCUAUCUAUAUAACAAGCAUGAGAUUCGUGAGUCUUUUUGAGAUAAAACACAUAUUUCAUUCAAAACAUGACGAUCAAAAGUCUGGCUCUUAUUUUCAUUCUGUUUUGGAGGUGAGUUUCGUUCUCUAUAAGUCGAUCUUUCGUCAAAUAAUGCACCUUAAUAGCAUUAUUUACUCCUGAUCACUACAUACCUUGCUAUGAUUUGCGACUUUGUGGUUAAUGAUCUAGUAAGUGCAUGCAUAUAGAAUCUAAUAAGCUGUGUUAUUGUUGUUGUUUCUUGUUUCUAGCACUAUAAUGUCUCGAGGAUCUUAUGAUCAUUUCAAAUUUGUACAACAAUGGCCACCGGCCUUCUGUGCCACGAAUCGCUGUAAACCAGGGGCAAAACAGAUGUUAAUGUUCACUAUCCAUGGUCUCUGGCCAGAUAAUAAAACUUAUGUGCCUUGUCGUGCCCUUUUACCGUUGUUUGCAGGCCGUCAGGUAUGCAUGAUUAAUCUUUUUAUUGAUACAGGAAAUAUGACAAUUGGAACUUGUCUACUUAUUCUCAUUAGAUAACUCCCUUAUAUAAGGGAUGAAUACAGCAGUUACAAAUGGUAAUUACAAGGUAAUGAAACCUAAUAAUGUCUGAUUGCUCAAUUACAUAUAAUCACAUGAUUCCCUCUUCGUCAGUUACUGAUGAAGGCGCAUCAAUGUAUUUUUCCCUCAACACUCCUCCUUGUGACAAGUCAAAGUUAAAGUGGUGCAUGAGAGUUGCCUCAUUAAAAACCUUGUCAAGUAACAAAAUCCAGUGGGAUAAAAUAAAUCUUGGUCGAAGGGAAAAAGAGCACAACGCACAUAUGUGUGUUAGACUCUCCCUGAAGUCUACACUCCCCCUGAUCCUUACAUCAAUCAAUAGAGCUAGGAACAUCUUUACAUUCCUAUGUUUCUCACAUGUCUUUCAGAUAUAGCCGUAGGCUGCGAUUUGAGAAACAAGUCUUUCCUAUUCUCCUUGAACCUUACUUGAUUCACUUGAAUCUUGAGGAGAGUUUGAUGUUUCUCAUAAGGUAUCGUCGUGUUCCCAAUGAUGAUUACAUAACUAGUUUAGGAACGACAAGUUGACCAUAGAUAACUGACAUUAGUGAACCCCAACCAAAGCAUCGUUUGAGGUGUUGAUGUAGAGGGUUGCAGUUUUGUCUGCAUUCCCUUUGUCUUUCUAUAGGGAUAAGAUGAACCCAAGUCAAUAGUUUAUUUAGGUAUCAUGAUACGUUCUUUGUACCUUCUAAUGACACUGUGUUGGCGUUGAGCUAAGUUUAGCUACAAGUUUUUUGAGAAUGUUAUAUGUAGUCGAGUUCAACGGGCUAAGUACAAUAUUGCGCCUAUUGCACUUUAGAGAAUGAAUUUCGAUUCUCAACCCUUCUUAGUCAUCUUCGUUUGGACGAAAUGGAUUAUUCCUAUACAUCCAAACAUCGACUGAUCAUUGGGAGUGCUAACAGUAUGCAAUUCGUCCAUGUAAAUUGCCUGACAAUCUUUUGGACACAUGCAGACUGGUGGAUUAGUAUUCCACAAACUCGUUGUUAACCGAGUUUCCCAAGAUUAUUCAUCUCAAUUUGGAUUUCAUGUAGCUCGCAGUUUCUCUUAUUUCAUCAAGAGUACCUACUAUGUUCCUAUCAUUGACAUAUGAGCUAUGAUUGCAAAUCCGGAACUUAUUUCCUUUAUGAGUGCGCAAGAGCAUAGUUCACCAUCUUGUAUCCCUUCCCAACCAAGUAGUUACUUCUAUAAAGUGAGUGUUUCAAUUCUAAUUGCAAACGCACUUCGUGGUUUAAAGUUACUUGAGUUGGAUAAUUUAAGGCCAUUAGGCACUUUUAUGAAUAUCUCCCAAUCAAGAUCCCCAUGGAGAUAAAUAGUAACCACAUCAAUGAGCUACAUUUCCAUUAUGGGAGAUUAUGUCUUCUCGUAGUCAAUUAAAACGUUGCGAGAAACUUUAGCGCCACAAGGUGAACCUUGUCCUUUAAGGCUUCAUUCUUCUCAUUACGCUUUAUGACAAAUACUUAUUUAUGUCCUACAGGCUUUACCAAACCAAAUACUUGUCUCUUUGUCAGAGAAUCUAGCUCUUCCUGGAUCGUACUUUUAUGUAGGCCAAUAUGCUCUUUGUUGACAUUUUUCAACAAAGCGUGGUUUGAUACCUUCGUGCUUUAUAUGAUUCCUUGAGCAAUAGUGUGAAUUAUCAAUGUGUAAGUACUCUCGUAAUUCGUUGAGAUUUUGUCUCUGGAAUCAUUGUAAACAUCGAAGCGUCCUCCAGUAUUAAUUCAUGGACAUAACUGUAAUUAGAGACAAUCUUAUGAGAGAGAUUCCGUACAUUGAUGAAGUUGUGCCUUACUCGCCCGAUUCCUUUGGGCAAGUAUUGAUUGAACCAAGUGGCCUCCCCCUAUUCCUUUAGGGAGCCAUGGCCUCAACCACACCUCCAGUAAGUGUGGUUGCAUCGCCUCUAUCUGCGGCGACUUGCCCCUUAUUGUGGACUUUUAACCUUGCAGACAUUUGCAGCUAACAUGUGUGAUCUCGUCACUUCAACAAUAUCUAUAAACAUAUCAGGCAUCGAAACUGUUACGUUCUAGAUAUCAAUUAUGUGGGGAUCAGGAUGAGACAGAGUGGGGACAACCACGACAAUUCUUGUCGUUCCCAUAGAAAAUCAAUUUUCUUAUCUCCCCCUAACGACGGGAAUACUGUCUCAUCAAAGUGACAGUUCGCAAAUCGAGAGGUGAGAUCGCCUGUAAGGGUUCCAAAUAGCGGAUAAUUGUUGGAGGUGCGUAUCCAACAUACAUACAUAUUCGUUUUUGAGUACCCAUGGUUGACACGCUAUGGGGGCGCAAUAGGCACAGAUGUUGCACAACCAAAUAUACGUAAAUCUCAAGCUCAUGUCUAGUUACCAACUGAUACGCAUUAAAUGGUAAGCUAGCUGUGGGUCUAAAAAAAACGAAUAAGUAAGUCUGCGUGCAAUAUUGUAGAACCCCAAGCAGAUAUAGGCAGAUUAGUGCGCAUAACCCUUUUGCGAGACCAUUUUGAGUAUGCAUAUGGGGCGUCAAGAUGUUUUACAUCAAUCUUGAUGGUCAUGCAAUAAGCAUCAAGUCCUUUUGAUGUGAACUCUUGGCAUUGUCAAGUUUUAUAGGCUUGAUGAUCUGGGUGGUGGACCUUUACAUGUAUACAAUGUGCUAAGAGUUUGCAAAUGCAGCAUUUCUUGUGGAUAAUUAUUAGACAUGUGACCAGUGUCGAAAUGUCCUCCAAAACCAUAAAAUACUUUAAUGGUCCGCAUUUCUGGAUAGAUAAGUCCACAUAUCAUGUUGUAUUCUUCGUAAGAAUGAAAUAUUUUGGUUAUCUUUAGCAUAGGGAGGUCUCGAUCUUGUUUUUGCUAAAGAACAGGCUUUGCAAAAUGAGUGAUGUGCCUUUGAACUAGUUAAUAAGGCAUAAUGGGAAGCAUGUUGUGUAUCAAGUGUUUUAGAAUGCAAUGACUGCUUUGAAGCAGCACUAGCCGAACCAACCAGUGUCUGGCACUCAGAGUCGGUGCCGUCACCUUGCAGUGUGACGAACUUUUGUCCCAUUUUACUAUUGACUCAAAUUAAGGGAUGUCCAUGUGAGUUCUUUAAAAUAUGCACCAUCGUGUCAUGACCAAGGUAUUUCUAGGCGGUCAUGCGAAAGCCUGUGUGAGUCAAUAUCCUACAUUUCACUGUAGGUCACUCGUGUGUUUCUGUUCACAUUUAUGUGAGGUAAUUCCAUUCCAUUUCAUUCCACAGUUGGUUUUCAUAUGAUAACUGUUGGCACAGAUAUCUUUGAAAUUUUACAAGGUUCGAUUAGUGUGGGCAGUUCCACAGUCAGCGAAGCACUUGAAUUCUCCGCAAUACAUUCCUUGCAAGCCAUUUUUGUCGACUGAGUCCUGCGGCAGAUCCAAAUCCUCCACUGCUGCUGUCAAGAUCGUCUUUGGUGAAGACCGGGUCGGAUCUAAAGGAGGGAAGAGAUGCAGUGGGUAGACCAUGUGUUGAUUACAGGGGUAGACCAUGUGUUGAUUACAGAUCGGGUCCAUGUGUUGAUUACCUCGACCUGAGGCGAUGCUACCUGGCUCUUCGCCGCCCAAGUCGAAGUGAUCUUUGGAGAUCACCCUUGUUCCGGCUUCUUCCUCUCUCGACAAUGGUUCGGUGAUGUAAGACGAUUCACAUAUGAUAAUGAUUCGGUGGUGAGAGAGAUUAGUUAAUGUGGUGAUGAUGAUUUAGUGGUGAGCAAUUGACGAUGAUGAUGAUUGGAGGAAAUCAGGCUGUUGCUUUGGAAUUAGAUCGAUGUCUGUGAUCAUUUUCACGACUGAGACGGCGUCGGAGUCCUUCAGCUUGGCACGAAACGCCGAUAAAGUCGAGCCUCCCUAUGUCCAAAUGCUUGUGAUGUUCUCAUAUUUUUUCAUCGGUCUCUUUUUUUCUUUUUUGAAUUCUUCAAUUCGGUUAUUUAAUAAGCUUGUAUGUUUGUUUAAAAUGCAUGUGAAGUGGUUAUAUUGUUCAAUUGUUGUCUCGUAAUUGAGUCACUAGAGGUUAGUAAUUGAGUUACUAGAGGCCAGUAACUGAUUAUUAGGAGUCAGUAACCAAGAUUGUUGGGUUCAGUAACUGAUUAUUAGGGUCAGUAAUUGAUUAUAGAGGCCAAACUGAUUAUUGAGGGUCAGUAACCAAGAUUGUUGGGGUCAGUAACUGAUUAUUGAGGGUCAGUAACUAAGAUUAUUAGGGGUCAGUAACUGAUUAUUAGGGUCAGUAAUUGAUUAUUGAGGGUCAGUAACUGAGUAACCGGUGACUAAAAUCCAGCGGCUGGAGAAAAUCUGAGUUACUAGGGGUCAAUAACCGACGACCGAAGAAAUUCCGGCAACCGAUAACCGGAGUCCGGCGUCCAACGUCCAGAUUCCAGUGAGGUUGCGACAAAAUCUUCUCACUCUUUCACUUUCUCUCUCCUUAUACAUGUUGAAGUGGCAAGGAUAAAAUUGUCUUAAAAAUAUAUAAAAAUUAUUAUUUUAUUAUGACUUUAAUACAUAUUUGUGUAUUUGGGUACAAAUAAGAACACUUUAUAUUGGAAUGGGCUUAUGUCUAAUAAAUUCAUUGGAAUAGGCAAUAAGGGUUUAAAUUAGUAACUUUGAACAAUGCGUCAUCCUCACAAACAAAGAACUGUCAAGUAAAAAUUAAUCAUAUUCAAUUUUCUUUUAAAAGUACAGAGCAUUCUCUCUCAAAAACCCCAAGGGAAAGAGCGACGGCCUCCCUCUCUGUCAAACCAAACUCGUCCGGCAGCGCUCAUGGCAGGAGUCUUUCUCCUUGCCUGUAUGAGUUGUUGUCGGACGGGAUCUGAAUUUUCAAUUGCUAAGGAGUUCUAAGAUCUGGGUGCUUUGGCUCAAGGUUUGGCUUGGUGGCUGAGAUGAGUUUGGGUGCUACUUCAGGCAUGGUGGCUAUUUUGUGUUGGGUGACCGGUAGGGUUUCUUCAAGAUGUGGUGGUCUCUCAGUUUUGCGCUUUUGGCGGAGUCGUGUGGCCUUAGCAGAGUGGAUCUGGGCGACGCAUGGAUCAACUUGGAAAACUCGACGGCGAGACGGGAAGGAGGAGCACCUACGCAGGAGGCUACUCGGGUUGAAGAUGGCGGCUAGGCUUCCUCAGGCCAUUUCGGGUUGAACCUUGGGUCCUGGGCCUCUGUUAUGGGGCUGCUACCUUAGGGCCAUCUAAAUGGGGCUGCUUUCUUCAGGGCCCAAUAAAUGGGGCUUACUCUUUUAGCCCAUUAAUUUUUAAGUUUUCCUGUUUUUCGGAACAAUUGCUCUUGGUCCAUGCUUUUCACAUGGGGGAGCUUUAUUUUCUUGCUCUAGUUUAGUUAGAAACAUUUGUGAUCUAUUUGAUAUUAGAUUAUAGGCUCCUUGUGAGCCUCAAUUUGUAAUGAGGAUAUAACCCUCAUACGAAUUAGAUGAUCUUGUUUGUCUUCUGUACGCAUGGCAACGGAUCGAUUUGUAUUGUACCCUCUAAUUACUUGAUUCUAAUGACAAAAUUGUCAUUAAGUUCAAAAAAAAGGGUUUAAAUUAGUACCAAAUAAGUAUUUUCCCUUUUUGAAAUAGUCAGUUACGACUUUCAUAUAAUUUAGGUAAAGUGAAGGCCAGAAGUAGUCAUUACAUACUUUACCGUUAUCAUCCAUAGAUAGACAAGUAGUUGUGAGGCAUACCUCAUCCAUAUGAUAGACUACUCUUUAAUAACCGCAUUCAUAGAGCCCAUAAGACCUAUAUAAUAUCCUAAGGGUGAACAAAACUAGACUAAAAGAAAAACAUAGAAGAAAAUAGAAUCUAGACAAAAGCUAAAGAGAGCUAUGAGCUGAGGCUAAUCUCCGACCCAUAAUAGCUGCUAAUCCAUCUGAUCCAAGAGAAGACCCAUUCGAGGCCCACAAGCCCAUUUGACUGAUCACCAUCUUCCACCUCCACACCACCCUCCAAACCAGUGUCGCGUCGCCGCCGUUGAUUGCAUGCUGCCCCACCCAAGGAACCACAACCACAACUAUGGGACCGCUUCUCUCCUUGUUUGCAGCCCGUCUGAUCCACAACCUCAGCAACAUCAAGCGCUUCUGCCGUCGAGUGAAGGCCACCACCUUCAAUCAAUCUGCACCACCCCGACUCGCCAAAGAACAACGCAGAUCUAGGCCUCACACAACCGCCAUUCAACUCCCAGAGGUAGAACGAUAGAUCAAAAUCAAAGAAUAUGCAUACCACAGCCGAAUUGCCUUACCUCCUUGAUGUGAAUGGAUAGCCAUCGAUCCCUGCCCGGCAGACAAAAACUCAAGGCGUCGGCGAGGCCAAACGACCAAGCCAUCAGCCUGAGCCGCCGCCGAACGAAGAAUUUUCCUUUGAGAGAGUUUUUCUUGUAUUAUUUACUAUGUAUUUUUUUGGUCAAGAAUUUACUAUGUAUUUAGAGAAAUUUUAAAUACACACCCUUAAUAUCUGAAUACACACCUCUAUUAUUUUAUGUUUCUAUUGAGAUGUAAUAGGUAAGUUAAAUAACCAAAAUAUACAUCUAUUAUUAAAAAAAAAAAUUCGCGCUAGAAGUAUUCUUUCUAACGUCUUUUACUUUAAAAUCGUCGAAAACACGUAUUCUCCUUUAACCCCAAUUCUUCUCCACAAUUCAUUUGGGUUUGUUUUUUUUUNNNNNNNNNNNNNNNNNNNNUUUGGUUUUGUUUUUUUUUUUUUUUUUUUGUAUCCGUAUCAGCUUUAGUUUGAUCUUACAGAUCAUAUUGUCAAGUACUGCAUCUUUAUCAGCUUUAGUUUGAUCUUAGAGAUUAUAUUGCCAAGUACUGCAUCUUUAUCAUGACAUGUUUUAUCGAAUAACUAGCUAUCUAUGUUUAAUAGCUACUGUACUUCUACAGUUGUACUAGCUAGCUUGUGAAUUUUGAAAACUUGUAUUGGUGAUUUGGAGUUGGAAUAUAACAAUAAUCAUUUGAUUAUAAAUUGAGCGAUGAUAAUCAAAAAUUUCUAGCAAAAAUUAGACGAAAUAAUAUGUAAAAAGAGGUACCAAAUAGUAAAUAUAUAUUAAUUAUAUUAAAUAACUGAAUAUUUCAUAAAUUAAGGACAUUUUAGGUAGUUUGGGAUGUGUAUUAAGUAUAAUACUGAAAUGAAAAACUUGAUAGGUGGUGUAUUAAGUAAGGGGUGUGUAUUAAGAUAUUAGGGGUGUGUAUUUAAAAUUUCUCAUGUAUUUAUUGUGUGUUUUUUACUUAGAUCCUUAAUGAUGCGAGUCUGGUAAACAAGCUGUUGACCUCUUAGCCAAAUCUGAAAGGAAUUGAUCGCAAGUUUUGGAAAGAAGAAUGGGACAAACACGGAAGAUGUUCCUCGCAGACGUACGACCAAAGACAAUAUUUCGAGCGGUCACACAACAUGUGGAUGGAAACGGACUUGACCAACACCUUUGGCAACCUUAUCAAAGGAAACAGUCUACAACGGAACGUCGCAGAUAUAGAAAACCUGAUUCAAAAGGUAACUGCAACGGAAAAAAAACCACUCCUCCGUUGUAAAAACAAAAGAUCCACACCUCACGAUGAAGUAUUAACUGAAAUUAUAAUUUGCUAUGCACACAAUGGAACUAGUCUGAUCGAUUGUGUCGGUCCAUCCACCUGCACGGACGGAUUUUACUUUCCUUGACAGUUUUUAGAUUACUAUUUUAUCUUUCAAACUAUUUUAUAUUGGGCUCGAUCAAUAUCUCAAGCAGCUUUAAGUAUGAGCAAUAAAAGCUAAUAAACUUUUUGUAUUGUCAUGUCGCAUUUGUAUUCACAUAUCUCAAAUACAAACUUUAGUCUAAGUCUACGUCACUAAACCAAAUAGUACUAGACAAAACACACAUUUUUGACUCAUAAAAAUAAUAAUGAAAGUAUUACAUCAUGUGUUAGAAAUUUCAAACUUUAAAAUUAAAUUUAUUUCUUUAAUUAUUGUAUUAGUUAUUUUCAACGGUAUGAUUUUACUGCUGACUUUCUCUUUUAUCAUGUAAUGAAUCUAACCAUUCCGUGGUUAAUGAGGCUAAUAAUCAUCAUGGUAAGUCUGACACAUAUAAAGGUGGAAGGCUAGAGUACGUUGGAACUUGUUCAAUUUGAUACACUUAAAUACUUAAAUUUCACAAUUAAGUACACAUGUACUUACAUUAAGCAAGUCAUAUACAUGAUCCUGACUCUUGUACUUAAAUUUCAAAAGUUACAUGAAUGAUUACACAUAGAAAUCACCCUGAAGAUUUGCUAUGAAACUUUUUGCUUGUCCCAACCUGCAACUCACAUCCAAUCAAAUCAGAUCUUAACUAUUACGAACCAUACUCUCUUAACAUUAACUGUGUCCUCUUGUUGGAUUUUAAGUUUAUAGCUCCACUCUCUGAUAUUGGUUUCUGCACAAUAGUACCCUUUUUCUUUCAAUGAAACCACCUAAAUCAACCUCCUAUCCACCACAAUUUGGGUAAUGGGGCUGUAUCCAGCUCCACCCCCAGCUGCUGCCACUGGAGUCAAAUUCUCACUGUCACAAUACAAAGCAGGGACUAAUAGAGGAAACUUAUAAAUCAUUUGUCAAAUUUAAUAGAUGUCACAAAUAUUUGAAAUUUGUUACCAGUAGAUUUAGGGAAAAUUGUGAAGACCAUGUUGGACAUUUUGGGAUUCAUUCCACCGUUUCCUUAUUUAUUUUGGUAGUUGCGAUUACCACAUUUGUUUCCUUCACAGUUGUUAGUUAGACUUAAGUCAUGUACGUACAUAUGUCUUGGAAUUCUGCGAUUGUUGUGUGGCCGUUAAAGAUUGAAAUGUUUUCACCUCCUCUUUUUUCUCCGAGCCUUAGGUUAAUUGGGACCUGAUCCACCUCAAUUCAAUCUUCUUUCUCAUCUAUCUAUUUGAUGUCAUUAUUUUUCUAGUUAUCUUUACAUAUUGUACUAACUGUAAGAGAAAGAAGAAAGACGAAAAAAAGUGUAGUGCAGCCUGAAAAAUGGCGCAGCUUUCCAAAAUGGGGGAAGAGAUGGUUACUCAAUUUCUGUCGAGAUUGCCUCCUAAAGCACUAAUGCGAUUCAAAUGCAUUCGUAAGUCAUGGUACAAUCUAAUCAACAGUCCAAGUUUCGUGGCCCAGAAUCUUUCAAAUUCCAUGAACAACAAAUUCAUCUCUUCCACUCGCAUCAUUGCCAAGCAUAUUAUCGUCAAAGACAAUAGCAUUACAGAUAAGAAGGACAUUGUUAAUAUCAUUAUGCAUGGAAACGAUGAAGAGAAGCAGUUUUUACUUUCGUCACUUAGUCUUUGCGAUGAUCCUGAUGGCGAUGACCAAGAGCUUUCUUGUGUUAUUGAGGACGAGCUCAUUAUACCUUCACGGCUAUACCAAUAUUGCCUAUGUUCUCGAAUUGUAGGUCAUUGUGACGGGAUCAUUUGUCUUAGUGGCGAUGGGGAUACUACUGUUUUAUGCAACCCUUCAAUCAAGGAAUUCGAUCUUGUUCCGAAAUCCUGUCUUCUCCCGGAUGAAGACUGUUCUAAAACAAAUAGUGUGGGUUUUGGGUAUGAUUCCAAAGCUAAGGUUUACAAGGUUGUCAAUAUUCUUAGUUAUUGUUAUUCACAUUUAAAAGCAGAGGUGUACGAAUUAGGUACAGAUUGUUGGAGAGAGAUCGAGUUUAACGUAGAGAUUGAUGAGGUCCUCCCAGAACCUGGUUUUGAUAAGUACUUCAAGGGAGUUUAUUAUUGGAAUGCGUUUCGUAAACCUCUUUCGGAAAAAGAGACACAUCGAGUUUGGAAAGACACCCUUCCUUAUUCUGGGCUUCCGUUGGAGUUUGUCAUAGUUGCAUUUGAUAUGAGUAAUGAGGUCUUUUAUUUGAUAUCUCAACCGGAGGAGGAUACUUUUGCAAUUGACAGGAGCCUUAUUGUGUGGAAAGAAUCCCUUCAUCUUAUCACGUAUACUUACGAGGGAGACGCACCUAAAUGGUUCGACAUAUGGCAAAAUGAAGACCCUGAUUUUUUGAAAGGGUCAUGGACAAAAUGCUUCGCUAUCAAUCCUAUUGAAGCAGUAAUUCCGUUAGCAUUUUGGAAGAGUAACGAGAUUCUUAUGGGAGAUGCCGAUGGAUACAUAGUUUCCUAUAAUCUAGAUACCCGAUCGCUCAAGUGUCUCCCAAUUCAUGGAGCAGAAAAACCUAGAUAUAUUGGGGCAGUUGAAUAUGUAAAUAGCAUUAUUUCUGUAAACAGAGCCAAUAAGAUCAAGUACCUGAAUACAUCUUAGGGUCCAACCAAAUAAUAAUAACAUUAAUUAAUUGUUGUGAAAUGCGUAUAAAGGAAUAUUUGCACAUUUGGGGUUUUAUAUAAACUCGUAUAUAGUCAUCUCUCGUCCAUUACGAUUUGAGAUAGAUUAAGAACCAAGACAUUGAGUCGAUAAGUUCUUUCAGUUCUUUCUCAUUAUAUAUACUUCGACUGAGACGUUUUUGAGGAAAACAGGGAGGUCGACACAUAUGCAACCGCAACAAAAACUUAGCCAAUAACUCCCAGUCAUUGAAUGUAAAUUCAAAGAAUCUUUUGGUCAAUUAUUGCCAGAUGAACAUGGCUGAAGAUAAAACAUCUAUCCUUCUUCAAUGUAGAUCAAAAUUUGCAAGAAAAAGUAUAAACAGCUAAUGGCUUGACUGGAUGCCAAUGUAUUUUGGCCACACAAAGACACCUGGUUCAAAAUAACAUUCAAAUAAGAAUUAAUUUAAGUUUCCCCUCUUCAUGUGGGGUUAACAUUAUUUCAGCCCCUAUAUUCUUAAUUUUAGAAAUUUACCCCCUAAAGUUUUCAUUUUUUAUAAAUCAUGCUCAAUUGAUGAAUUUAUAACGUCCAAUUUGAAUGUUAAAUGCUAACAUGAAAUAUUAGAAGAAAAAAAAUAUCUUAAAAAACGUUUUUUGUUGUUAUAAGACUGUUUUAGCCCUUAAAAUGACUUAUAAAAUCAAAAUUAAUGUCCAAAUUGGACAUAAUUUCAACAAUUAAACAUGAUUUAUAAAAAUUAAAAACUUUAGAGAAUAGAUUUUUAAAAUUGAGAAAACAUAGACUGAAAUAAAGUUAACCCCAUACCUCAUGGAAUAAAAAGAUAAAAUGAAUUCUAGAUCACUGCAUCUCACGUGCAUAACUCAUCACAUCUUCAUGUGAUACCAGCUACCAUAUCAGAUAGCUGAGGUAUGGAGCACUUGGACACAAUUUAUUUUGGUACCCCAAAAAUUAGUCCAAGUGCAGUUUCUAGUGUCGCAAUGUAAUGUAAUGGUACGACAACUAGUAUAUUACCAAAAGACUUGAGGUUCACGAAAUUGAUAUUAUAAACGAUUUAGAACCAGAAAGAGAAUAUAACAUACCAACAGUAAUAUUAGUCAAAUGCAUACAUAAGUGCAAAGAAGAUAAAAAAUUUUUUUUUGACAAACAAGAAUACCAAAAAGAAAAAAUAGAGUAGACUUUAUCCAUUCUUAAAAUCAAAGUCUGCUAGCAAGUCUUGUAAUAAAAGCCUGCUCGAACAACGAAAGUCGAAUUCAUUUCCACUUCUCGCUUCAAUUAUGAGAUAAAAUUAUCACCUGCCGAAAAGACUUGCAGUAGGUUAUAAUCUAGAAGCAAAAUGUUCAUCAAAAUCCAAAAAUAUAGACAACAAAACUAGAAGAAAAAACUAUACCGCACACAGAUAAUUACCGUGACAAACUCUUGCUCCUGCUCCUGCUACGGCUUGGACUUCGACUGCCACUGCGCUUCUUCGGACUUUUACUAGCGUCUUUCUUCGGGCUUUUACUUAUGCGCUUCUGAUGAUGACAAAGAAAUAAAUUUUGAUAUAAAAAAAGGCGAAAUCCGUAUCCAACAACAUUUUCCAAGAAAACCAUCCCUUAGCAAAUGAAUUAAAUAGACUGCCAUGUCAACUAUAUAACCAUUAGAUUCUUAUCACAAUCAAGGGAAAAAAAGAUAAGUAUGCUUCCAUAUAUUUCAACUGCUGCCAUACAGCCUCUAACAUCUUAAUUUGACAACAUCACAUAAGAACCUACUAAAUGGAGUGAAUUCUCGUUCUUAGGAGUCACUAAAUGGAAUUCAGCCUCACAAGCAUUUUGUGCCCCUAAAGGAGGAACCAAAUAAUUACACAAAUUAAAACUUAUUAUUUCAAUGGUUAAUGUUUUUAGUAUAGCCCAAAAUAACUGAAAUUAAACAAUGUGUUGCAACACCUCCAUAAUGAGAGGAAGAAAAGGCUUACCGAAGGCAAUGGAGAUCUGCUUCUCGAUCGUGAUCUGCAAAAGUUCCAGAAACAACCCAAUUUAAUACCAUGUUCCUUUACCAAUUUGAUCCAAGGUCCUUGAUGCCUCUUCCAUGCGAGAGUUACAUAUCCAAUAGGAUACAAGAAAGAGAAUAAAACAUUUGGCACUUCAAUGACAUGGAAAGUAAGAAAGCUUCCCCACCAAAACACAACACAAAUUCAGAAACAAAAAUAUUGUUAAAUUAGAGGCAGCAAAAUUAUUUUCAAGACACCAGUGGAAAGAAGGGGAGCGUUCUUCCCUACUGUAACAUAAGAAUACGCAGAAUCCAGAUAGUGCGCCCUAUUAGCUUGGCAAAAUGUUGGAGCAGGAAAUGAAAAUCAAAUCUCUACUGCUCAUUGUUGAUGACUUCCAAUCCAAUGGCACUUAGUUCACAGAUAUCCAGCUUUAUUAUUGCAAUCCAAGACCUCCAUAGUUCCCAAUCUAGCACCCAUGGACAUUUACAAUGCUAAAAGCAUUAGAACAACGGCACCACGAAGGUUUCCAAAGCUGCCUAUCUAAAUAACAGCAUACCUCCACAUAAAAAGUUGUAAGCAAUUCACCAUAUCCAAUCAAGAUCCUAAUAUCCAUUCCCCAGUUUGCCGCACAUAUCCGUAUCUAAAAGAAAAACAAAGGUAACUUUCACGCAAGCAAACAGGGAAAGAUAAUGAAAAGUAGGCAGAUACCUACUUCCUCAGCAACGCCUCUAUUGCUUAAGCACUUUACAAGCAAAUCAUGGAACGAGGCAAUAAGAAAAUAAAAUGGAAAAUCAAAGGACACGGUUAAUUUACAACUUCAAGAAAAUUUUUAUUUUUACAUAAUAUUUUUUAUUCUAGACAAUUGACUCUAGCCAAAACAGCAGACAACCGUUAAAUAUAUUGUCAUAACCAAAAACCUCGUUAAUCUGGUGAGGACAGGACAAUCCCCCAGUCAGCACAGCGAUUGGUCAAAUUCGAUGCAAGAUCCAAUAGAGCAUACUGAGGCAACUCAAUUUGAUUAUAUAAUUAUUGUAAUGCAAUUUCUACACUCAAGGUACAAUGAAGACCGAGACAACAGGAAUAUCAAGAACUGCAUUAAAACCAUCAAAGACUGAGGAAAUAUUUGCUUACCCCGACAGAGAACGAGACUUUGAUCGUGAACGAGGUGGAGACCUGGACCUUGAUCGAGAUCUACCAGGAGAGCGGCGUGAAGAUUUGGGUUUAGGAGACUUGCUGCAAUUAAGGUUUAGGGUAAGUAUGUGAGAAAAAGAAUGAUUACCCACAUUUUACUAUGUUGUGUAAUUUAAAAUGGCCAAACCUCCUGCUUUUGCUCCGGCUAUAACUUCUACUACGACUGCGACUGUAGCUUCUACCUCUUGAAGGAGAUCGACCACGACCGGGGCUCAUAGAUGAAUCCCGCUUCGCGUCAUACUCCCUCACCUAUAACAAAUGAAAAUGAUAAAAAAGAUUUGCAUAUACAAGUGAGGAAGAAGACUUCAUUACUUUCAAAAGAAAAAAGUGAGGAAGAAGACAGCAAUCUUCAAAUUGUAAGAUGUCAUACCCGAACAGCGGACCGGGAAAAAGCAUUCCUAAAGUCAGAGCCGUCAAGUUUCUUUAUCUGUAGCAAUAGUUUCAUCAAAAUUUGAGUUCAAUAUCUUCAUACUCUAUAAAAACUUCAGACACAUCACAUGAUUAACAAAAAUCAAAUUCAGCAUCCAGCACUCGUGAGGUUCACUCAUAAGGUAUAGAAUGACUUACGGCAUACUUCAUGUCUUCAUAGUUAGUGUAGUCCACUACUCCUGUUGUGCCUACAGAAACGAUCGUGGUACAGAAGGUUAAAAAGUCAACAUCAAAUUAACUAGGCCUUUUAGAGUAUAAAUAUUGGAACACAGAGAGCAAACUCGGUGCAAGCAAAUCAGAACCAUACAUGGGCAAAAGAUUAAAAAAAAUCAAGGAACUGUCUACAGCUGCUUAAGAUAUGAGUCUUCCAAUUUUCACCAUAUUGCAGAUGUCAUGAAUAUCAUUCUAUAUUCUGAUGCUAAAGUCGUGAUAUAAUUACAAUACACCAUAAAAACUCUCAUAAAGUAUAAAAAUCUUACCACUACCAUCACGGAAAACUUGGGAGAAACAGACAUCCCCAGCCCGGCGCAUGUGAUCCUGAUUAAAUGCAGCGUAUGUUGUCAGUCAACACACAAACAGACGGUAAUAUUGAAGCAUCUCCAACUGAUAUAUGUAAAGCUCACCUUAAGAUCUUGCCAUGAAGCUGAAGAAGGUAGUCCACUGACCAACACUGUGUACGGAAAACAAACAGGUUUAGAGCAUAUCAAUCGCAUUCCACCGUUAAAAACAAAACUGCAUGAAUCAAGUAAUGUAGAAUACACACCACGAAAGUCGGAGCGCCUAGACAUUCCACGUCCACCUCGACCACCACCACCACCACCACCGCUAUCUCUAUGCCGAUCUCCACCAGAAGAAUGCCCACGCCCACCGUGUGCAAGUUCGACCUACAGAGACGUCCAAUUUCAUUAUUAAUCAUUAUUAUUAUUAUUAUUUCCGAUACAAAAGUGACAAGUAAGAUUGAGCCGCCCACCCUCAAGCGAUGGCCAUCAAAAUCAUAGCCAUCACGGCCGCGGAUUGCAUCUUCGGCAUCACGAGCAUCUUCAAACUGUAAAAUUAAAACUUGGAUUAGAUAAAUCCACCAAAACAGAAAGAACAAAAAGAAAAAGCCUAAGACCUCACUCACCUCAACAAACGCAUAGCCGGGAGGCCUUGGCGGCACCUUCAGGUCGAUAUGAGCUAUGCGUCCAUACUACAACAAUUCCAACAAAUAUCAACCAUAAUAAUUCUUCAAUAAUUUCGAACGGCGACGAUUGAUUGAUUACCUUGUAGAACAAAUCUUCGACCUCUCUCUCGCGUAUGUCACCGGGGAGGUUCCCGACGUAGAGAGUUCUGCUUGCGCGGCUACUCAUGGCUCUUCUUCCUGAGAGAGAGAGACGAGGAUCAGAAAUUCUCAAAGAAUCCUAAUUCCACACGGGAGGUCGGCGCGACGAGACGAGAGAGAUUUACCUGCGAUGAAGAUGAAAUUGGGAUCCGCCUCUCGAUUUAGGGUUUUCGAUUAUAAAUGAUUUUUCACAAUUCCUCUCUUAUCUGCUUUUUACGUAUUUGCAUCUCGUCCGUUCGUUGAAACUCAACCGUGUGGUCUCGCACGUGCCGUCGUAAUUGGGUUUUCCUUUUUUCACCCAAUAGUCCAAUACACCUUUUUGUUUCACUUUUUUCACCUCAAUUUAUCUUUUCACCAUGAGCUCGUACCUUUUUGAGAAAAGGGGAGAGAUAGUGGAGGCGAACGAGGAAGAAAGUUCAGAAUCUAAAAGACCUGGAAGUGUAGGAGAAUUCAGAAUCCAAUCGAGUCAUACGAUAUACCAAUAACUUCCUGAAAGAGAAUAAUAAACAAAGAAACUUGAGAAGAAAUGGGUUUAUAUUCCACAAGUCAUAUGAGUCUGGAGAGCAGAAACAGCAUUCUAAUACACCAAGCAAGUCGAUGUACAAGGUCGAUGUACAAGGUGCACAGCUACUGCAAAGCAAGGCAGAGCGACCACAAUCUUAUUGCAUAGACCAACGAGGGCUACACUCAUCAUUCCAGGAGAAACAAAACAGAUAACAUAAUCAAGUAAAAUGCCGGUCUGGACAAAAAACAGAAUACAACAUGAUCUCCACACAUUUUAUUAAUUCUCGAGUUCAGUAGAG
rnacentral:lncRNA from 1 species